rnacentral:lncRNA from 1 species
GGAAGAAAACUAUUUUCUCUUAUAUCUUCUAUUUCCCCCUCUGAUCAUUUCUGAGUUCUCUCCGAUUUUCCAAUGUUUAGAUGGCCACCUUCAUCCGUGUUAAGUUCACGGAGUUUUGCCAGCCCGACACCACUAUGCCGUUCGGAAAAGAGCUGGUGCAGAUCACCAAGGAUUUGAGGAUUGCUCUGCCGACUAUCACAGGGAAGCCAACUUCGUCUUACCCGGAGGAUUCACGCUACAGGAUCGAGGUGCAUAUUCCCGGAAGGACAUUCGAACCGCGCACUGAGCCGAUCGAUUUCAAGUUCAUCGCACCCAGCUGGAUUCUCGGAAGGGACAUGGCGAUCCAUUGUGCACUCGGACGUAUCAAGGAUGAAUACAAAGGCUGCCCUAUUUCUCCAGACCUAUUCGCUGUAUCCCGGAGAAAUGAAGACGGAGACAUCAUCUCAAGCAAGACCAACGACGCUCUCUUGUCUUAUGCCCAGACCUUGGAGAAGCACAGCGGAACUCUGGAGUAUCACGCGAUCAAGGACGCCAGGAAGAUGAAGCAACUGUCACUCCGCGAGCUUGACCUUGAAGAUGCAGCCCGGGAAGCCCACUAUGAGCAUGAGCUGGAAGUGAAGGACUUUCUGGAGAGGAUCGAGAAGCUGAAGACUCGAGUUGCAUACCUGGAGGAGGAACUGGACAUGGGAGAGAACCUUCAUCCCGAAGGAGACGUAGCCCCCGUGAUCAGCAACGACGAGGACUAUGAAGAAAGCUCCACCAAAGGACCCGACACCAUGCUAUUCUGAGGAGGACACUUAGACUAGACCACCAAAUUUACUUUAUCAUUUUAUGUUUUAGGCCGAUGUUUAGGAUUAUCGAAUUUUGUAUCCUCGUGUGAACCUUUGUGAUGAUUGAAUAAAAUGUGUGGUGUGAUACUUGUGUGUUACAUUCAUAUGGGUAGUGUAAUUCCUCUUAGACCAUUGUUCUAUGCUAAUCUCACCCCUCUACAAACAUCAGAUGCCUCCAAGACGCGCCCAUGAGUCGAACUUUCCGCCGGAACUCACCCAGUUGAUCCAGCAACAAAACACCCUCAUGCAGCUGAUCAUCCAGAACCAGAACAACAACAACCGUCCCCCACCCCAGGCAGACAACCUUACCCGUUUUCUGAGGUUGAACCCUCCAACUUUCUCCAGCAGCAUUGAGCCCAUUGUGGCAGAUGAUUGGCUUCACAAGAUGGAGCGUGAACUUAUCACUGCUGGUUGUACUCAAGCUGAGAAGGUGCGUUUUUCCGCGCAUCAACUUGAAGGCCCUGCAGCUGCUUGCUGGGAAAACUACACCACCACUUAUCCCAUUGCUGGAGUCACUUGGGAGCAAUUCAAGCAAGCCUUCCGCACCGCGCAUGUCUCAGCUGGUGCAAUGAGUCUGAAGAAGCGUGAGUUUCGCAACUUACGCCAGGGGAAUCACACUGUGGCCCAGUACGUUGAUGAUUUCAGCAUGCUUGCCCGUUAUGUACCUGGAGAUGUGGCCGAUGAUGCGGCCAAGCAGGAGAAGUUCUUGGAAGGACUGAAUGAUGAGCUGAGCAUUCAGUUGACGGUAGCCACUUUCAACAACUACCAGGAGCUGGUUGAUAAGGCCCUCAUCUUGGAGGGGAAACAUCAGUAGAUGGAGAACCGCAAGCGAAAGUAUGGGGUUGGAAAGUUCAACUCCGGCACUCAGCAGAAGCCUCGCUAUACCUCCUACUCAGGGAAUACAGGGACUGGAUCCGGUAAGUUUGGUGGACAUGUUCAGCAUAACCACCCAGUGCACAACCAUGAAGGCCACAACCAUGGAGGCCACCACCAUGGAGGAAAUGGGAACCACCGCAACAACAGCAACUUCAAGAAUGGCGGUACUGGCACUCAGCAGAAUUCAGCUCCAGCUCAGAAGGAUCUGACUCACAUCACUUGCUUCAAGUGUCAGAAGAAGGGACACUAUGCCACUGAUUGUCCCCAGAACAAGCAGGGAAAUGGAAACGGCAACAGCAACGGCAACGGCAACUCUGCAGCAAAGAAGCCCAAUCCUUUUCCUCGAGCUCAGGUGAACCACAUUGAUGUGGAAGAAGUCUAUGGUCACCCCGAUACUGUGGUUGGUAAGUUUUUGCUAAAUUCACAUCCAGUAUUGGUACUUUUUGAUUCUGGUGCAACGCAUUCAUUCAUAUCAAGGGUAGUUGUGGAAAAGUAUAGUUUGCCAACUAGAACCCUCAGCCAACCUAUUAAGGUCAGUUCCCCAGGAGGCAUGAUGAUAGCCGGGAUAGGAUGCCAUGCUUUGAGUCUCAACAUCGGGAACCAUAAUUUUCCCACCGACCUCAUCGUAUUAGAGUCCCUAGGAUUGGAUGUAAUUCUAGGCAUGGAUUGGUUGGCCAAGUAUGAAGGGAAUAUCGAUUGUGCCCUUAAGCCUAUUUUGCUCACCACCCCCGAGCGGAAGCGGAUUAAGUACGUGUCUCAGCACCCGACACGGAGUAAGCGAGUAAACUCUCUCACGGGAGUAGUCCAGGAGGAAGUACCGAUUGUACAGGAGUACCCAGAUGUAUUUCCGGAGGAAUUGCCGGGCAUGCCACCCGAUAGAGAGAUUGAGUUCUUGAUUGAGCUAUUACCCGGAACAGCCCCGAUAUCCAAGAGACCUUAUCGGAUGCCCGCAAAUGACUUGAUAGAAAUCAAGAAGCAAAUUAAGGAGUUAUUGGACAAAGGGUAUAUUGGCCCAAGUUCUUCACCUUGGGGAGCCCCAAUGCUCUUGGUUGAAAAGAAGGACAAGUCCUUGAGAAUGGUUGCCGAUUAUCGUGCACUGAACGAUGUGACUAUCAAGAACAAGUACCCCUUGCCGAUGAUCAACGAUCUGUUCGAUCAGUUAGUUGGAGCUUGCAUAUUCUCAAAGAUCGAUCUUCGAUCCGGGUAUCAUCAGUUGAAGAUUCGUGAACAGGAUAUACCCAAGACAGCCUUCACCACUCGGUACGGCUUGUAUGAGUACACGGUCAUGUCAUUUGGACUCUCUAAUGCUCCGGCAUAUUUUAUGAAUCUGAUGAACAAGGUAUUUAUGGAGUACUUGGACAAGUUUUUCGUGGUGUUCAUCGAUGACAUACUGAUAUUCUCCAAGAACGAAGAGGAACACAAGGAACAUCUGCGUCUACUUCUGGAUAAGCUUCGAGAGCAUAAGCUAUAUGCACAGUUCAGCAAAUGUGAAUUUUGGUUGAAGGAAGUCGGAUUUCUCGGACACGUCAUCUCAGGAGAAGGCAUAGCAGUGGACCCUGCCAAGGUCGUAGCAGUCACCGAAUGGGUAGCACCCACGUCAGUCAAGGAGAUCCGCAGUUUCCUCGGACUUGCCGGAUAUUACCGGAGGUUCAUUGAGAAUUUCUCAAAGAUUGCCAAGCCCAUGACAGAGUUGUUGAAGAAGGAAUCCAAGUAUAUUUGGACUGAGGAAUGUGAAACCAGUUUUCAAGAGCUGAAGAAACGUCUUGUUACAGCCCCAGUGCUGAUAUUGCCGAACAUUCGGAAGGAUUUCCAGGUUUACUGUGACGCUUCUCGUCAAGGACUUGGAGGAGUGCUCAUGCAAGAAGGCAAAGUUGUAGCCUAUGCAUCGAGACAGCUCAGACCUCAUGAGUUGAAUUAUGCCACACAUGACUUGGAACUAGCAGCCGUAGUGCACGCUCUCAAGACCUGGAGACAUUUCCUAAUCGGAAAUAGUUGUGAUGUUUACACUGAUCACAAGAGCCUGAAAUAUAUCUUCACGCAGAAGGAGUUAAACCUCAGACAGAGGCGAUGGGUAGAGUUGAUCAAGGACAAUGACAUGAGAUUGCAUUAUCACCCAGGCAAGGCAAAUGUUGUGGCCAAUGCGUUGAGCCGCAAGAGUUAUGUGAACACGCUCACAGCAGGAGGAUUACCCCAGGAGUUAGUCGAUGACCUCCGAGAGCUCAAAUUGGAGAUAAUUCCAAGAGGAUUUGUUGCCACUCUGGAAAUUCAGUCUACUUUGACGAAAAAGAUCCGUGAAGCACAGAAAGCUGACAAAGAGAUAGCUGAGAUUAAACAGAAAAUGGAAGACGGGAAAGCUAAAGGUUUUCUUGAGGAUGAACACGGAACUUUAUGGUUUGAGGAUCGCAUCUAUGUGCCCAAUGAUCCCGAACUCAGGAAGUUGAUACUUCAGGAAGCUCAUGAUUCCCCAUACUCGAUACACCCCGGUAACACCAAGAUGUAUCUGGAUCUGAAAGAAAGUUUCUGGUGGACAGGAUUGAAGAAAGACAUUGCCGAGUUCGUAGCUAUAUGCGAUGUUUGUCAGCGAGUAAAAGCCGAGCACCAGAAACCAGCAGGUUUGCUCCAACCUCUACCGGUACCCGAAUGGAUAUGGGAAAAGCUUGGUAUGGACUUCAUCACAGGAUUACCCAGGACCCGUUCUGGCUAUGAUUCUAUUUGGGUUGUGGUCGAUCGUUUGAUUACUAUGAUGUGGAGCAAAUAGAAGAGUUUGUUUCUUUUAUGGGUGCUUAUGAAAUUGAAGCUCUGUUUAAAGGGUAUGAUGAUAAUGAUGAUGCUCCUUACAGAUCUAAAAAUUUGGUUAUGAUUCGUUAUUGUUAUACUCAUUAUGAAUAUAAUGCCCAUAUUUAUCGAUUUAUGGAGAAAUUCUACGCUGCCCAAGAAGAGAUUAAUACUUUGCAAGAAACUAUGGAAGAAGAAAAUGCUGAAACUGUGAGCUCAUUAGAUGAAAAAGAUGAUGAAGAGAGCGAAUAACAAAAGGAGGAAGUGCGGACUAGCUACCCGUGCCCACCUUCUAAUGAGAGUAACUCUUCAACUCAUACAUUGUUUAAUUCCCCUUCGUUCUUACCGAAGGAUGAAUGCUAUGUUGAUUGCUAUGAUCCCUUGGAUUCGUUUGAAAUAUCCCUUUUUGAUGAACUUGAUGCUUGCUAUGCUUGUGGCCAUGAUGCCAAUAUGAGUGAUGCUUAUGAAGAUGAACUUGCUCUAGUUCCUUAUGUUAAACAUGAAAUUGUUGCUAUCACACCCACUUAUGAUAGUCCUAUUAUCUUUUUGAACUCUCCCAACUACACUAUAUCGGAGAAGUUUGCUCUUAUUAGGGAUUACAUAGAUGGGUUGCCUUCUACUUUUACACAUGAUGAUUUUGAUGAAUAUAAUAUGCAUGUGCUUGCUGCUCCUACUUGCAAUUAUUAUGAGAGAGGAACUACAUCUCCACCUCUCUAUGUUUCCAAUACGAUAAAAUUGCAAGAAACUGCUUAUGCUAUGUAUUGGCCUUUACUUGAUGUGCAUGAAUUGUUCUUUUAUGACAUGCCAAUGCAUAGUAAGAGAGUUAGACUUCUUCAUUGCAUGAUAUAUGUUACCUUGUGCUCACUACUGAAUUACAAAUCAUUGUUAAUUAAAAUUGGCUUUGAUAUACCUUGGGAUCCGGGUGGAUCCAUUACUUGAGCACUUUAUGCCUAGCUUAAUGUAACAUCCCAAUUUUCUUAAAUUCGGAUGUUAAUAGAUCAUUCAUAUGCAUCUCAUAUUUUAUGCAUCAUUUCGUUCUUCUGAAAAUUUUUAUCGUUAUGUGACUGCGGGAAAUUUAGUGGAGUGGAGAUAAUAUGACUUCUCCCCCCCGUCGAAUUAAAGUGCAUAACGUUUCGAAUUUUUAUUUUAAAGUCACCAUUUGGUUUUGCAAAUUUUCUAAACUCCGAAGUAUUUUUUUUGUUGAGUUUUUCGUUCGCGUUGUGUGACCUAUUGCAUAAAACUUUUUUUUUAAAAGUGGCAUUAGGUGGAACUAGGGUUCCUAUAUAUAUUAUAUAUAUAUUAGUAGUAUAUUUUUCUGCCUUGUUUUUCUCCUAGUAUUCUAGUGCAUAUAUGUAUAUUAGCACCUAUUUUUUUUCUAGUAUUUUGUUAGCUAGGAAAAUAUUUUUUUUUACUGUUUUGUUUUUUUUGUUUUUUUGCUGCUGUUAGUUUGUUUUUCAAAAAAAAGGGACCUGCCAGGCCGAGCCAAGUGGCUCAGCCCAGCCGCCACCAGCAUGCAAUCGCACGCAAGCCUGCAUGCAUGCAACCACCGCCUCCAUCUUCUCUCUCUCUCCCCACGUAUUUCUCUCUCUCUCCCCCACGUUAUUCUCUCUGCCUCUCCUCCAUUAUUUUCUUUCCUCUCUCUCCCCGUUUCCUUCUUCUCCUUCCUCCCUCUCUUUCCUAUUUUCUUUUCCCAGUCACCAAACCGAGCCAGGGAACCAGCGGGUUCCUUCCACCCCGUGCUCUCUCCCCUGCUCCUCCCUUAUUCUCUCCACCGCCUCCCUCCUCUCCUGCCCAAGCCCCCCACGUCACUUUCCUAUCUCUCCUCUCCUCUCUUUUCCUUCUCUGCACAAGCACCGAACCGAGCCCAGGAACCAGUGAUUUCUUUACCAAGUACUCCCUCUCCUCCUUCCUUUCUACUCCCUCCACCCAGCCUAUAUAUACCCCCACCCCCGAGCCACCCCUUCCCAACCCUAGCCGCCGCCGCCUCCACGAGCCGCCGCCGCCACAAGCCUCGCCGGAGCAGCAGCAGCCCGAGGCUGCGCCACCCUCGGCCUCGCCUGGGAGAACCUCCCCCGAGCUCUCUCUCUCCACCGCCGCCUCCCCCGCGGAGGAGGACCCCGCCGCCGCCUCCCCCCGAAGCCCCACCGCCCCCGGAGCUCCCUCCUCGCCNNNNNNNNNNNNNNNNNNNNNNNNNNNNNNNNNNNNNNNNNNNNNNNNNNNNNNNNNNNNNNNNNNNNNNNNNNNNNNNNNNNNNNNNNNNNNNNNNNNNNNNNNNNNNNNNNNNNNNNNNNNNNNNNNNNNNNNNNNNNNNNNNNNNNNNNNNNNNNNNNNNNNNNNNNNNNNNNNNNNNNNNNNNNNNNNNNNNNNNNNNNNNNNNNNNNNNNNNNNNNNNNNNNNNNNNNNNNNNNNNNNNNNNNNNNNNNNNNNNNNNNNNNNNNNNNNNNNNNNNNNNNNNNNNNNNNNNNNNNNNNNNNNNNNNNNNNNNNNNNNNNNNNNNNNNNNNNNNNNNNNNCCACUGUGCUGGAAAGUCUCUCUCUCCACCGCCGCCUCCCCCGCGGAGGAGGACCCCGCCGCCGCCUCCCCCCGAAGCCCCACCGCCCUCGGAGCUCCCUCCUCGCCGGCCAUCUCCAUUCUUGCCGGUGCAAGCUACAGCCAGCAGGUAGCUAUCCAUCUCUCUCUCUCUAUUUGCAUGCAUCUCAUCCUAGCCUUUAGAUCUCCAUGCAAUGGCUAGGAUUAGAACACUAGUAACCCUUCGGUUUAUUCCGGAAAACCAUUAGGUUCUUUUAGCCACUUAUGCAUUAACCGGCGACCUUGUUAGCCUUAGGCCAUUUGCUCGAAGUCACGAAACAAACAGCCACUACAGCCCGUAGAAUCUUGCCACGUGUGCCUCUUUUUAGCACUAGCAGUUUUGUAACUUUCUGCCCAGAUUUCGAAAACAGAAACUUUCAAUCUUGUUUUGAUCACAACUUUUUAUCCCUACGUCCAAUGACAUUGAUUCNNNNNNNNNNNNNNNNNNNNNNNNNNNNNNNNNNNNNNNNNNNNNNNNNNNNNNNNNNNNNNNNNNNNNNNNNNNNNNNNNNNNNNNNNNNNNNNNNNNNNNNNNNNNNNNNNNNNNNNNNNNNNNNNNNNNNNNNNNNNNNNNNNNNNNNNNNNNNNNNNNNNNNNNNNNNNNNNNNNNNNNNNNNNNNNNNNNNNNNNNNNNNNNNNNNNNNNNNNNNNNNNNNNNNNNNNNNNNNNNNNNNNNNNNNNNNNNNNNNNNNNNNNNNNNNNNNNNNNNNNNNNNNNNNNNNNNNNNNNNNNNNNNNNNNNNNNNNNNNNNNNNNNNNNNNNNNNNNNNNNNNNNNNNNNNNNNNNNNNNNNNNNNNNNNNNNNNNNNNNNNNNNNNNNNNNNNNNNNNNNNNNNNNNNNNNNNNNNNNNNNNNNNNNNNNNNNNNNNNNNNNNNNNNNNNNNNNNNAAGUAUUUUUACUGGUGUUUUCAACAGAAACAAGUUUCUGCCCUACCGGCGCGCGAUAAAUUCUUUUGCGUAGUCUUUUGCAAAUCUUUGCAUGUGAUGUUAUUUCUACUUGUGGCAUGAUUGAAUUGCUUAUGGUGUGCUUUGUGUUUGUAUCGGUAGAUCAUCCGGAGUGCGAAGCGUGUUACUUAGAGACGCUCGAGCAGGACAACUAUCGUCAAGGCAAGUCAUCUUUGAUCAUGUUAUUUUUACCUAUGUUUUCAAUGCAUAGUAGAUCACCUUCUUUGCCCUAUUUUGCAUGCUGCCUAGGUACUUGGAAACUUUAGUCAUAGGUGUAGUAUCAUGUGGUAGGAACACCAACACCCCGAUACUUGGCCCCGGGACGACAUUGUUAUAUAUGCUAUGCUCUAGUAGACGGGUUAUCGGUUGAGUGUAUACCACGAGUGAAUGCGAGGUUGAUAUAAUAAUCAAGACCGGACUAAGACAAGAUUUUCAAGACCUCGNNNNNNNNNNNNNNNNNNNNNNNNNNNNNNNNNNNNNNNNNNNNNNNNNNNNNNNNNNNNNNNNNNNNNNNNNNNNNNNNNNNNNNNNNNNNNNNNNNNNCCUGCGCCGCCCUCAAGCUGUCCUCCCACCUGCUGCAGCGAAUCUGGCCUUCCAAGCCCGACGCCGUUCUCGCCUUCCUCGCCGGCCUCGGCCUCUCCGGCGUUGACGUCGCUGCCCUCGUCUCCAAGGACCCACAGUUCCUCUGCGCCGGCGUGGAGAGCAACCUGCGCCCCGCCGCCGUCCGGUUCACCAGCCUCGACCUCUCGCGUUCUGAGCUCGCGCGCCUCGUCUCCAUCUGCCUUGCCGCACGGAGGCGAGCCGCGGGUCCGCGAGCUGUCGGGGUUCGAGUCCCGCGUCCAGCUAUGCGUGGUACGUCACUGCAUUUCCACUAUGGAGAGAUCAAUUUGUUCUGUGAGUGUCCACUAUACACAAGUGCGCAUAUCAGUAUGUGGUGAAUUUGGUAACUGGGAUUGGGAACGCCGACUGGGGAGACAAUAGCUGUAUUUGUGCUACUCAUAUCCUCUGAAUUGCACUUGGUCCAUUGUGGAUCCGCAGUACUUUGCUGAAACCAUUGUUUCAUGUGACAUGGAGGGACUCAUAUCCCCUUCUCAAUAAACUGAAGCUGUUUUCUGCCAGUUUUACCCAGGGUGUGUUCACCAUGUUUGCAAGGUAGUUAGUGAGCUAGUGCCUGAACUAUUAAACACAUCCGAGCUUUGUUAUGGUUUAUACUUCCUUGUGUACCAGCUUGAAUUUAGUGAUGCCAUCUGUAGGAUAACAUGCUAUGAAUCAAUAAGGAAGUUAUUGUCAUGUCUACUGGAAAGGAAAAUUGGUCAUCAUAUUAUGCAACUAUGUUUAGCUCAGAUUGAACCUUCUCAAGAACUGAAAGUUGACACAAUAUUCCAACACUUCCCAGAUAACUGAAGAAAACUGAAUUUUAAGGUUUAUUUCAGACUUGUCUCUUGCUAAAAUGUUGCAGGUCACAUAGCUCUUUCUACAAUCAUUUUUUAGUCCACUAUUAGAGAACACUGAAGGAAACUGUUCAGGGCGACGAGGAACAAUUAUCUGUUUUGAGUACUGUAGAAAACUUGUGCAGUACUCAGAACAUGUGCUCUUGUAACAAUCAGUUCUCUGUUUUGGUUGCACAUAGUAACUGUUUUGUGUAAUGAAAAAAACUGCAUUGCUGCUUGUGAUGGCUUGUGAUGAUUAUUAAUUCUUGCUGUUGAUAUCCACUACAAUAUCCUUGAAGUUUAAAAGGACCCUGUGUUUUUAGGAAAUGCAUGAAGUUCAACAAUGCACCCUGGAUAUUUAAAACCUUUGUUAACUGAGAAUACUUAAAAUGGUGCUAUGGCAGCCUCUUUGCCCUGUUUCAAUUAUUUGUCUCUAUCAUUUGUAUAUUGGGAAGAAUGCUUCAUUUGUUUACAUUAUGGUGCUAACCGGAUUCAUCUAUCAAUGAUUAUAGAUAGAAGCAGAGGAACGACUAUGGAUUUGAACUUGAUGGCUGAAGAGGAGGAAGGAGCUCGAGAGGGUCAUGNNNNNNNNNNNNNNNNNNNNNNNNNNNNNNNNNNNNNNNNNNNNNNNNNNNNNNNNNNNNNNNNNNNNNNNNNNNNNNNNNNNNNNNNNNNNNNNNNNNNGACAAAUUCUGAAAGUUCUACCACAGUAAUAUUUUAUCACUAGAAAACAGUAGCAAAAAGAAUCAACUCAAUAUCAUUUUUCAAACUCCUGGAAUAAGCAAAACAGUGUUUAAACUAAAUCUUCUCUAACUUAUAUUUACAAAUUUCAAACACAGACAAACUAUAUGUUUUUAAAAACUACAGGAAAUUUGUGAGCUACUGGAAAACGAAUCAAUGUCAUUGGACGUAGGGAUAAAAAGUUGUGAUCAAAACAAGNNNNNNNNNNGCUCUAACUUAUAUUUAAAAAUUUCAAACACAGACAAAUUAUAUGUUUUUAAAAACUACAGGAAAUUUGUGAGCUACUGGAAAAAGAAUCAAUGUCAUUGGACGUAGGGAUAAAAAGUUGUGAUCAAAACAAGAUUGAAAGUUUCUGUUUUCGAAAUCUGGGCAGAAAGUUACAAAACUGCUAGUGCUAAAAAGAGGCACACGUGGCAAGAUUCUACGGGCUGUAGUGGCUGUUUGUUUCGUGACUUCGAGCAAAUGGCCUAAGGCUAACAAGGUCGCCGGUUAAUGCAUAAGUGGCUAAAAGAACCUAAUGGUUUUCUGGAAUAAACCGAAGGGUUACUAGUGUUCUAAUCCUAGCCAUUGCAUGGAGAUCUAAAGGCUAGGAUGAGAUGCAUGCAAAUAGAGAGAGAGAGAUGGAUAGCUACCUGCUGGCUGUAGCUUGCACCGGCAAGAAUGGAGAUGGCCGGCGAGGAGGGAGCUCCGAGGGCGGUGGGGCUUCGGGGGGAGGCGGCGGCGGGGUCCUCCUCCGCGGGGGAGGCGGCGGUGGAGAGAGAGAGCUCGGGGGAGGUUCUCCCAGGCGAGGCCGAGGGUGGCGCAGCCUCGGGCUGCUGCUGCUCCGGCGAGGCUUGUGGCGGCGGCGGCUCGUGGAGGCGGCGGCGGCUAGGGUUGGGAAGGGGUGGCUCGGGGGUGGGGGUAUAUAUAGGUUGGGUGGAGGGAGUAGAAAGGAAGGAGGAGAGGGAGUACUUGGUAAAGAAAUCGCUGGUUCCUGGGCUCGGUUCGGUGCUUGUGCAGAGAAGGAAAAGAGAGGAGAGGAGAGAUAGGAAAGUGACGUGGGGGGCUUGGGCAGGAGAGGAGGGAGGCGGUGGAGAGAAUAAGGGAGGAGCAGGGGAGAGAGCACGGGGUGGAAGGAACCCGCUGGUUCCCUGGCUCGGUUUGGUGACUGGGAAAAGAAAAUAGGAAAGAGAGGGAGGAAGGAGAAGAAGGAAACGGGGAGAGAGAGGAAAGAAAAUAAGGGAGGAGAGGCAGAGAGAAUAACGUGGGGGAGAUAGAGAGAAAUACGUGGGGAGAGAGAGAGAAGAUGGAGGCGGUGGUUGCAUGCAUGCAGGCUUGCAUGCGAUUGCAUGCUGGUGACGGCUGGGCUGAGCCACUUGGCUCGGCCUGGCAGGUCCCUUUUUUUUUUAAAAACAAACUAACAGCAGCAAAAAAAGAAAAAAAAACAAAACAGUAAAAAAUUAUAUUUUCCUAGCUAACAAAAUACUAGAAAAAAUAUAGGUGCUAAUAUACAUAUAUGCACUAGAAUACUAGGAGAAAAACAANNNNNNNNNNGUGCGAUUGCAUGCUGGUGGCGGCUGGGCUGAGCCACUUGGCUCGGCCUGGCAGGUCCCUUUUUUUUGAAAAACAAACUAACAGCAGCAAAAAAACAAAAAAAACAAAACAGUAAAAAAAAAUAUUUUCCUAGCUAACAAAAUACUAGAAAAAAAAUAGGUGCUAAUAUACAUAUAUGCACUAGAAUACUAGGAGAAAAACAAGACAGAAAAAUAUACUACUAAUAUAUAUAUAAUAUAUAUAGGAACCCUAGUUCCACCUAAUGCCACUUUUAAAAAAAAAGUUUUAUGCAAUAGGUCACACAACGCGAACGAAAAACUCAACAAAAAAAAUACUUCGGAGUUUAGAAAAUUUGCAAAACCAAAUGGUGACUUUAAAAUAAAAAUUCGAAACGUUAUGCACUUUAAUUCGACGGGGGGGAGAAGUCAUAUUAUCUCCACUCGAAUAAAUUGCCCGCAGUCACAUAACGAUAAAAAUUUUCAGAAGAACGAAAUGAUGCAUAAAAUAUGAGAUGCAUAUGAAUGAUCUAUUAACAUCCGAAUUUAAGAAAAUUGGGAUGUUACAUUAAGCUAGGCAUAAAGUGCUCAAGUAAUGGAUCCACCCGGAUCCCAAGGUAUAUCAAAGCCAAUUUUAAUUAACAAUGAUUUGUAAUUCAGUAGUGAGCACAAGGUAACAUAUAUCAUGCAAUGAAGAAGUCUAACUCUCUUACUAUGCAUUGGCAUGUCAUAAAAGAACAAUUCAUGCACAUCAAGUAAAGGCCAAUACAUAGCAUAAGCAGUUUCUUGCAAUUUUAUCGUAUUGGAAACAUAGAGAGGUGGAGAUGUAGUUCCUCUCUCAUAAUAAUUGCAAGUAGGAGCAGCAAGCACAUGCAUAUUAUAUUCAUUAAAAUCAUCAUGUGUAAAAGUAGAAGGCAACCCAUCUAUGUAAUCCCUAAUAAGAGCAAACUUCUCCGAUAUAGUGUAGUUGGGAGAGUUCAAAAAGAUAAUAGGACUAUCAUAAGUGGGUGUGAUAGCAACAAUUUCAUGUUUAACAUAAGGAACUAGAGCAAGUUCAUCUUCAUAAGCAUCACUCAUAUUGGCAUCAUGGCCACAAGCAUAGCAAGCAUCAAGUUCAUCAAAAAGGGAUAUUUCAAACGAAUCCAAGGGAUCAUAGCAAUCAACAUAGCAUUCAUCCUUCGGUAAGAACGAAGGGGAAUUAAACAAUGUAUGAGUUGAAGAGUUACUCUCAUUAGAAGGUGGGCAUGGGUAGCUAGUCCGCACUUCCUCCUUUUGUUAUUCGCUCUCUUCAUCAUCUUUUUCAUCUAAUGAGCUCACAGUUUCAACAUUUUCUUCUUCCAUAGUUUCCUGCAAAAUAUUAGUCUCUUCUUGGGCAGCGUAGAAUUUCUCCAUAAAUCGAUAAAUAUGGGCAUUAUAUUCAUAAUGAGUAUAACAAUAACGAAUCAUAACCAAAUUUUUAGAUCUGUAAGGAGCAUCAUCAUUAUCAUCAUACCCUUUAAACAGAGCUUCAAUUUCAUAAGCACCCAUAAAAGAAACAAACUCUUCUAUUUGCUCCACAUCAUAGUAAUCAUAUAUACCAUUAGCAUAAGAAGCCAAGGUUUCAUUAGCAUUAAAUUUACAAGAAAAUGGAAGGUGUUUAGCCUUCAUCCUGGAGCAACAAGUAAUAUCAUAUCUCGAGCAUAGCUCCCAAGCAUACAAUUUCAACAUAUGAAUUUGAUCCCAUAAUAGUUUCCCUUUUUGAGUCAAACGAUAAUCCCUAAAGUAUUCACGUUGAUCCAACGUGUAUCCCGUUAUAUAAUUUAAUGGGGUUUUCUCAGGAUUAUUAAAGAAGUACAUAAGAUUUUCCACAUAACGAGCGUCGAGGGUUUUAGGAGGUUCCCCGUCUCCAUGAAUAGCAAGUACACCUAUUUUUUUGGUAUUUCGUGUUCCAUAUCCAUAACUAAAGAUAGAGAACAACUUAGAACAGCAAAUAAAUCUACUUAGUGAUAAAGCAAACAAGAACACACGGGAAUAUUCACCCCACGCUAUUGCUCCCCGGCAACGGCGCUAGAAAAAGGUCUUGAUAACCCACAAGUAUAGGGGAUCAAUUGUAGCCUUUCUCGAUAAGUAAGAGUGUCGACCCCAACGAGGAGCUAAAGGUAGGACAAAUAUUCCCUCAAGUUCUGUCGACCACCUAUACAACUCUAUGCACACUUUACGUUCGCUUUACCUAGAAAAAGUAUGAAACUAGAAGUACUUUGUACGAGUGAUAGGAUAGGUUUGCAAGAAAAGAAGGAACACGUAAAUAAGAACUAGGGGCUGCUAGAAACAACUACGUUAGUUUAGCGAGUGUGGAAAAGUGGUGGUAGGAGUUGCGGAAUUGUCCCUAAGCAAUUGACUAUGUUACUAGACCGAUAGCAAGUUUUAUGUGGGAGAGGCCACUGCUAGCAUGUCAUCCCUUACAUGNNNNNNNNNNNNNNNNNNNNNNNNNNNNNNNNNNNNNNNNNNNNNNNNNNNNNNNNNNNNNNNNNNNNNNNNNNNNNNNNNNNNNNNNNNNNNNNNNNNNCUCAACCAUCCAGUCGGAGACUAGCAUUCGGAGGAUACCAAGCUAACCGACUGGCUACACUCGGUACAUCGUAACCUCUCUGGAGGGAAACUGCCGUACAUUUCUGGGUGCAUUUAUUAGCAUUUAGAGCAUACGUUACCUGUAACGUACGCAUUCAAUCCCCAUUACUCCACCCCUGUAUCGGAAUCGUUGUGGAGGGCAGCGCACUCUAUAUAAGACGCCCUCCCCCACUGGUAGAGGGGUUAGCAAAUCAUUGUAUUCCAUAUUCCACUCGACAGCAAGCUCCGAGAGCACUAAGACGUAGGGCUGUUACCUCCACCGCUGAGGGGACCGAACUCAUACAACCUCGCCGUAGCUAGGACUCUGCCCAUCUCAUUCGUAACCUACACAUCUACUGUCAGGCUUAUACCCACGACAGUUGGCGCCCACCUUGGGGUAGGCGUCUAAGCGACUUCCGGCGAGUUUGCGACUACUUCCUUUCGUCAUGUCGUCCGGUGGAGGUUCGAGCAUGGGUCACCAGAUCUUCUUCGGCGCUCUCUCCUUCAUCGUCGAUGAUUCGGCAUGGCUUCGGGAUGCGCCCCUCGACAUCGAGGCGCUUCCCCGUUGCGGCGCUACGCAGUUCCGUGCCGGCGCCCGCGGCAUUCUUCUUCUCCAGCGGUCGGCUCCGGUGUCGACCUACACCGCGGUCACGCGCCGCGUCAAGCGGUCCCGCCGUCCGCGGCUCCAGCGUUGGGUGCAACACGCCCAGGCGCGCCAGAACGCAUCUUCGCAAGUGGCGGUUCUUGAGUCCGUUGUGGUUGCCCCGUCGUCCCAGCAUUCGGACUCGGUUCCGACUGAGUUUCCUUCCGAGUAUGCGGGUCACGGGCCCGCAGCAGAAGUACACAUGGCCAACUCCCAUGAAGAUCCCCGUCAGGCUGGCCGAAACGAGCACGAGAUCGGCGAAGCAUCCGGCGCACGUCGUCCACCUCGCCGUUCUGCUAGUCGGCACACUCGGCGGAGCAAUGUGGAGCUGUUCCGCACACCACUCCUCAACUUGGCUGCAGCUGCCAAGAUAGCCGAUUCCCUCCAGCCGACUAAUUCAGAGGUUGGUAGAGGAAUCGAGCAGAUCCGAGCCCUGUUGCACACGGCGCAGCAGCAGAAUUCUGCGCUCUCCCAGUCGCACAACCGGAUCUAUAAUAGUUCCCUCCACGCGAAUACGCAUCGGUCGGUUCACAGCCCUGGUUCCCAUCAGCGCCACAGGGGAGGCAGUCGUUCCAUGAUUCAUGAAGAUCGCCGCCGCUCACGCACCCCUCCGCGGGGUGGCCCAUAUGGGUCCCGACAUCAUGAUGAUCGGCGUUCAGUCAGCGACACUUACGACCCAAGACCCGACGCAAGAGCACAUAUUGCCCAGCGAAGAGUCGACAGAGGUCGAACCCACCGCGAUGGUCGCGAUACCGACCGUCCGAGUGGAAGCAGGGCCAUCGUGUCUGGUCCCGAGUGUUUCAGUUGAGCCAUCUGUUCGGCUGACAUCCCUCCCAACUUCCGGUUGGUGACAGGAAUUAGCAAGUUCACAGGAGAGUCCAAGCCAGAAACGUGGCUGGAUGACUACCGAGUGGCGGUCCAGAUCGGAGGAGGGGACGACCAUGUCGCCACGAAGCACCUCCCUCUGAUGCUCGACGGCUCGGCGCGAGCGUGGCUAAACCAGUUGGCCCCCUCAAGCAUCUACAGAUGGGAAGAGCGUUCAUCAGGACCUUCGAAGGGACGUGCAAGCGCCCUGCUGGCCUUGUGGACCUCCAGCACUGCGUCCAGAAGCAGAAUGAGCCCCUGCGUGACUUCAUCCAGCGCUGGACAAUUCUCUAUCACACGGUGGAGAACGUCACCGAGCAUCAAGCAGUCUGCGCUUUCAAGGCAGGCGUGCGGUACAGGGAUCUGUACCUGAAGUUCGGCUGAACAGGCGACAUCUCCAUGAGCAAGAUGAUGGAGAUAGCAACACGCUACGCAAAUGGCGAAGAAGAGGACCGCAUCCGGAGCGGCAAGCACAAAACAGUCGCUGAUGGCGAUGGGAGCAACACUCGGAAGCAGAAGCAGAAAGCUCCGACCGCUCCGCAAGCGGAGGCUGCAGCCGUAACCAAUGCCAAGUUCAAGGGUAAAGGGAAGGCUCAGUUCACACCCAAGAAGAAGAAGUUCAAUAACCCCAUCCUGGACCAGCCAUGUACGGUUCAUACGAAGAUGGACGAAGAAGGCAACCCCAUAUAUGCGAAGCAUACCACUCGACAGUGUCGCCUCUUGAUCCAGGGGUUCAGCGAAGGGCAACCGAGUGAGAAGGACCAUGAACAGGAUGAGGAGGAUAAGGAGGAUCCGUUCCCCCAAGUCCAUGCAACCCUGAUGAUCUUUGCUGACGUCGAGAGCAAGAGCCGACUGAAGCUGGUGAACAUGGCCACCCCUUCCAACCCCAAAUUCCUCAAAUGGUCUCAGACUGCGAUCACCUUCGACCAGUCGGAUCAUCCGGCACAUGUACCCACCCCGGGGAGAUAGGCCCUAGUCGUCGACCCGGUGGUAGAAGGAGUCCGACUGCACAAAGUCCUCAUGGAUGGCGGCAGCGGCUUGAACAUCAUGUACGCUGACACCCUCAAGGGGAUGGGCAUCCCGAUGUCCAAACUCAGCGAGAGCAGCAUGCAGUUCCACGGAGUCGUCCCUGGACGGAAGGCCAAGUCACUCGGCCAGAUCGCGUUGGACAUCGUUUUUGGCUCCGACAAGAACUUCCGCAAGGAAAAGCUGACGUUCGAAGUGGUUGACUUCCAGAGCGCUUAUCACGCAAUUCUGGGUCGCCCAGCGUAUGCGCACUUCAUGGCCCGUCCAUGUUACGUGUACCUGAAGCUAAAGAUACCAGGCCCGAAAGGUGUGAUCACCAUCACAGACAAUCGGCAGCGGGCUGAAGAGUGUCUGCAGCAGGGAUCAAGAAUCACCGACGAGCAGAUGGCCGUCCUCGAGCUGGACGAGUACAAGAAAACAGUCGACCCCGCCGACCUGAUGCGCUCGAAGAAGCCGGCUUCAGAGUCUGCAUUUCAGUCAGCGGGAGAGACGAAGAAGGUCAGCAUCCACCCGACGGACGCCACUGCUGCCCCGACGAACAUCUCCACCACCCUCGAUCCUAAAUAGGAAGCCGAGCUCACCUAAUUCCUCCGUGCGAACUGGGACAUCUUCGCAUGGAAACCCUCUGACAUGCCAGGUGUACCCAGGGAGUUGGCUGAGCACCGACUGCACGUGGAUUCCACGGCUCGGCCUGUCCGAGAGCGCCUGCGCCGGGCCGCCGCGCACAAGAGGAAGGCAAUCGGGGAAGAGGUGGCCAAGCUGUUGGUAGCCAACUUCAUUCGCGAGGUUCACCACUCCGAGUGGUUCGCCAAUGUUGCCAUGGUGCCCAAGAAGGACAAGUCGCUCUGAAUGUGCAUCGACUUCAAGCAUCUCAAUAAGGUCUGCCCGAAAGACCAUUUUCCGCUCCCCCGCAUAGAUCAAAUUGUCGAUUCAACUGCGGGCUGCGAGCGUCUAUCAUUUCUCGAUGCCUACUCGGGCUAUCAUUAGAUCCGUCUGUAUGGCCCCGAUGAGUUAAAAUCAGCCUUCAUCACCCCAUUCGGAUGCUUCUGCUACAUCACUAUGCCAUUCGGUCUGAAGAAUGCAGGAGCUACCUUUAUGCGCAUGAUCCAAAAAUGUCUCCUCGAUCAGAUCGGUCGCAAUGUGGAGGCAUAUAUGGAUGAUAUCGUAGUCAAGUCACGCAAAGGUUCCGACCUGCUGACUGACUUGGCAGAAAAAUUGCCAACCUUCGUAGGUACAAUAUCAAGCUCAACCCAGCCAAAUGUUCAUUCGGUGUUCCCAGCGGAAAGUUACUCGGUUUCUUCGUUUCCGAAUGAGGGAUCGACGUCAACCCCGAAAAGAUCGGGACCAUCGUCCGAAUGGAGAGGCCGGUCCGAAUACACGAUGUUCAACGGCUCACAGGUUGCCUAGCGGCUUUGAGGAGGUUCAUCAGUCGACUCGGCGAAAAAGCACUUCCUCUGUACCGACUCGUGAAGAAAUCAUAUACUUUCGAGUGGACAGAUGAGGCCCAAGUCGCAUUCGACGACCUCAAAGUCCUGCUUUCCACCCAGCCGGUUCUUACUGCUCUGCUCAGUAAAGAGCCCCUUCUUCUGUAUAUCGCGGCUACAAAUCAAGUCAUCAGUACCGUUCUUACAGUCGAACAAGAUGAAGAAGGCAAAGCAUACAAAGUUCAGCGGCCAGUGUACUACGUAUCCGAAGUCUUGACCCCUUCCAAGCAGAGGUAUCCCCAUUAUCAAAAACUUAUCUACGGGAUUUACAUGACUGCGAAGAAAGUGGCCCAUUAUUUCCAAGACCACUCGGUGUCUGUCGUUUCUGAUGCUCCAUUGUCGGAAAUUCUCCACAAUCGAGAUGCGUCAGGCCGAGUGGCGAAGUGGGCGAUGGAGAUGCUGUACUGUGACAUCAAGUUCGAGGCCAAGAAAGCUAUUAAGUCUCAAGCUCUCGCUGACUUCAUAGCAGAAUGGGUAGAACAACAGCAACCGACCCACAUCUGCUCGGCCCAUUGGACAAUGUUCUUUGAUGGGUCCAAGAUGUUGAAUGGCUCCGGCGCUGGCGUUGUGAUCAUAUCACCAAAGGGAGACAAGCUCAAGUACGUGCUUCAGAUACACUUCGAUUCCUCCAACAAUGAGGCGGAGUAUGAAGCUCUCUUCUACGGGUUGCGUAUGGCCAUCUCACUCGGUGUCCGUCGCCUGAUGGUCUACGGCGAUUCAGAUCUGGUGGUCAAUCAAGUGAUGAAAGAGUGGGACGUCAGAAACCCCACCAUGACUACAUACUGCAAUGCAGUGAGGAAGCUUGAGAAGAAGUUUGAAGGUCUAGAACUUCACCAUGUUCCAAGACUGAAGAACCAAGCAGCUGACGAGUUAAAAAAACUCGGAUCCACUCGGAGACCAGUCCCGAGUGACGUCUGCCUCGAGCACCUCCACCUCCCCUCAGUCAAAGAAGAUCCUUUCACAGAGGAACCAGUACAACCCAAGAGCACAACAGAUCCGACUGAAGUCGAUGUACCUGCUGUGGUUGAUCUGGUCAUGGAGAUUCUGGCUGUCAUUCCCGAUUGGACUGUGCCGAUCAUGGCAUAUAUCUUGAGGCAAGAACUUCCAGAAGACGAAGUCCAAGCCAGGCAGAUAGUCCGCAGGUCGAAGUCAUUCACUGUCAUUGAUGGCCAAUUGUACAAGGAAAGUAUCUCAGGCGUUCUUCAACGAUGCAUCUCCCCAGAGGAGGGGCAACUGAUUCUGGAGGAUAUUCACUCGGGGACCUGCGGUCAUCACGCUUCUUCGAGAGCAAUCGUCGCCAAGGCAUUCAGGGCUGGCUUCUUUUGGCUGCAGACUAACGAGAUGGCUAAGGAUAUGGUUGAUCGAUGUGAGGGCUGCCAGUUCUACUCCAACAAGUCUCACAAGCCAACGUCUGCGUGGAAGACGAUCCCUCUGGUGUGGCCGUUUGCAGUGUGGGGAUUAGAUACAGUCGGCCCAUUCAAGACAGGCCAAGGUGGAUACACACAUCUGUUGGUGGCAGUCGACAAGUUCACGAAAUGGAUCGAAGCGAAGCCCAUCAAGAAGCUCGACGCCUCAACAGCCGUCAAGUUUGUCACGGACAUCAUCUUCAGAUUCGGUGUACCUCACAGUAUAAUCAUAGACAAUGGGACAAACUUUGACUCGGACAGAUUCAAAGGUUUCUGUACAAGCCAAGGCAUCCGAGUGGAUUUUGCUUCCGUAGCACAUCCUCAGUCCAAUGGACAAGCAGUGCGGGCAAACGGACUUAUUUUGCAAGGUUUGAAGCCCCGACUCCUGCGAGAAAUAGGACAUGCCGCUGGCGCUUGGGUUACCGAGCUACCUUCAGUGCUUUGGGGACUUCGCACAAGCCCGAACAGAUCUACAGGGCGAUCACCGUUCUUCCUCGUUUAUGGAGCAGAAGCGGUCCUUCCGAGUGACUUGCUUCACAAUGCGCCACGAGUCGAACUCUUCUCCGAAGUCGAAGCAGAACAAGCAAGGCAAGACGGAGUGGAUCUUCUGGAGGAGGAGCGCGAGAUGGCGUUAACUCGCUCGACCAUUUAUCAACAAAAUCUACGGCGUUUUCAUGCACGCCACGUCAGAAGUCGCACGUUCCAAGCAGGCGAUCUGGUGCUCCGAGUGGAUCAGCAAAGACCUCACAAGUUGGCUCCGGCCUGGGAAGGACCCUUCAUCAUCUCCAAGGUGCUGAACAACGGAGCAUACAGACUCUACAACAUCGAGAGGGAGACAGACGAGCCGCGUGCAUGGAACGGAGCUCUCCUGAAGCGCUUCUACACGUGACCGUCGACUCAAGCAAUGUAAAGAACAAGUGUUGGCGAAAUAAUAUAAAGCAGAUUGAGUUUUUUGCAGGUUCAAAGUUCUUCCGCGGUCGCAGACUUCGGUCUCAAAAAAAAACUUAGCUGCUAUCCAGAAUCGCCUAAGUAUUAACCUUCUCCGAGUGUGCACUACACGUCACACUCGGGGGCUUAGCUGCGAUCCAGCAUCGCCUAAGUACUAACUAUCUCCGAGUGUGCACUACACGUCACACUCGGAGGCUUAGCUGCGAUCCAGCAUCGCCUAAGUACUAACUAUUUCCGAGUGUGCACUACAUGUCACACUCGGGGGCUUAGCUGCGAUCCAGGAUCGCCUAAGUAUUAACCUUCUCUGAGUGUGCACUACACGUCACACUCGGGGGCUUAGCUGCGAUCCAGAAUCGCCUAAGUAUUAACCUUCUCCGAGUGUGCACUACACGUCACACUUGGGGGCUUAGCUGUGAUCCAGAAUCGCCUAAGUAUGAACCUUCUCCGAAUGUGCACUACACGUCACACUCGGAGGCUUAGCUGCGAUCCAGCAUCGCCUAAGUACUACCUAUCUCCGAGUGUGCACUACACGUCACACUCGGGAGCUUACCUGCGAUCCAGAAUUGCCUAAGUACUACCUAUCUCCGAGUGUGCACUACACGUCACACUCGGGAGCUUAGCUGCGAUCCAGAAUCGCCUAAGUACUAACUAUCUUUGAGUGUGCACUACAUGUCACACUCGGGGGCUUAGCUACGAUCCAACAUCGCCUAAGUACUAACUAUCUCCGAGUGUGCACUACACGUCACACUCGGGGGCUUAGCUGCGAUCCAGAAUCGCCUAAGUAUUAACCUUCUCCGAGUGUGCACUAAACGUCACACUCGGGAGCUUAGCUGCGAUCAAGAAUCGCCUAAGUAUUAACCUUCUCCGAGUGUACUCUUAACGUACACUCAGAGACUUAGGAAAUUCCACGGACCCUCAAUGAGGCUCACGCAGAUGUCAAAACAACUGACAUGUUCCGAAUGUUUGCCUUUGGCUUCACCAAGAAACGCCAAACAAAAACCCGAAUCAAAAUUGCAACAGAACAGCAAAAAUUCGAUUCAAAGCUCUAGCAAAGAUAGUUUACUCGGUGCGGAUCAAGCUUACCCGCACCGAUCUAAGAAUGUGACGGCCAACAGCAGUGGCCAGAGUUUCUUAUAGAUUAACACUCGGCAUACCGAGGAUAAAGUUUUUUCAAGCGUCAGCUGGGUUGGCGCCAGGACUGGAGGGCUCCACGAAGGUGUCCAAGUCGAUUCCGUCGGCGAUGCGGGUAGCACUCUCAAGGAACGUCUCCAUGAAGUCUUCGAAUCGAAGCUUCUUCGUGUUGGCGACCUUCAGUGUCUUCAACUUCUCCUCACACACCUCCUUGCAAUGGACUCGGACCAGGGACAGAGCAACAUCUGCACCGCAACGAGCUGUAGAUUUCUUCCACGACUGCACUCGGUUGGGAAUCUCCUCCAGUCGGGCCAUCAGGUUCUCCAUCUCCUGCCGCGACUCAUCCUCUAGCCAAAGUUCCUUCUCAAUUCGGCCGACGACCUCUCUCAGUCGACCGAUGAAAGGACCCACUUUGCCUAUGCGGAUAUGCGCCCGGAGCAGAUCCCGAUUGGCGUCCUCGCCGAGUGGCACGUUGUCACGAAUGGACCGCUCCACGUCCGCCGCUUCAGCUUCAGCAUCAAUGCAAAAGUCUGCAACAAAAGGGCAAGCAUUUAAUAAACGUCGAGUGUCACGCACACAGUACCAGCACUCGGCAAAACAUAAGACUUACCAGCCAGACGCCUCAUCAUCUGCCCAGCCCAGUCGCUGACAUACUUCUCCUGAGCGGUGCAUCGCUUAUUCAGGACGACAAUCUGAUUCGUGAGAGCAGUCCUCUGUUUCUUCAUUUUUUCCACUUCCUCUGUCAACACCUUGUUCGCUUCACGCGCCUCCUCCAAGUACUUCUCUCGUUCCUCCAGAGCAUCCUUCAUGCCGGCCAUUGCGAGCAUAGCCGCAUCAAGCUCCGCAGCGAAUUGGUUCCUCUCCGCUCUGAGAGCCUCAUAGGCCGUCCCCAUUUCACAAGUUUUCUCCCACCAAGCACCAAGGAGCAAUCAGAAAGUUCAACAGUUAAAAGUCUAAGUUCUUCAGACCACUGCCGACGCUAGUAGUCGACAGCGGUCUCGGGGACUACACCCAGUGGGUUCACUAAGAGUGAGCCCACUGGCAUGCAGCUCAAGCAGGCUUGCCCCAUUGAGAUGCAUGUUAUCACCUACGCUUACGAGGCCAAUAAUACCCGACCUGAGUACAAAUUACUAUCGGGGACUCUUACAGUAAGUGCACUCCGAGUGCCACAACUACGCGCACUCGGUCAUGUUAUUUACAGACCUGACCAAAGCACAGACAGAAGUCUCGGGGACUACACCCACCGGGUUCACUAAGAGUGAACCCAUUGUGAACAACAGAUGCUAUCCAAAAACACUCGGUGGGUUACAAGAGAAAAGUAAAUACUUACUAGCCCACUCACUCGGAUAUCAUCCCGCAGCUCCAGGCUCCGCUGGUACAAGGACGUGACGGAAUCGUAGGUCCUCUUGGCCUCCCGAGCCAUCAGCUCCGCCUGCACCAUGGCUCCCUUGGCCGCUCCCACCUGCUCCUCCGGGGGACGCCGGAUGUUGAACUCGGCAUUCGACGAGCCUGGCAUCGUCGGAAGCUCCUGAGGCAUCCCGAGGUCCGCUCCAGUCGGCACCUCAACCACCAGUGCCGGUUAGUCGGCGGCAGCGCCUCAGUCGCCAGCACGUCGGCGGCGAGAGCGGCAGUGGGAGGAGCAGCCUCAAGAACAGGCUCCACGGCUGGGUCAGCUCUCCUCUGGUCCCCCUCGUCCAGGCAAAUCGCCCAUGACAGGCCGAAUGGCACAAGGUCUCAGAAAAAGAAAGAGGCAGAUCCUAUGGUAGAAUAAAACACUCGGAGUCACUACAACACACCUGGCUGGGACGAGACGACGUUGUACGUGUCCAUGGGGUCAUCUUCUUGACGCGCCAUAGAGGUGGCAGAAGUAGCGACUCUGUCGAGUAAAAUCCAUUCGACCAAUGAACAAAGAAUUCACUCGGAUAUCAGAAGAAAUUAGAGGAUCGAUACACUUAUGUGGAGGUGACGGGGACAUCAACCCUCAUCCGCGGCAGAGACUUCCGAGGUUUGGACCCACUCGGUCUGGCCGGCUUGGAAGACUGACCCGUAGGCUCAGCGGCAGCAUCCCUGGCCCUUUUGGUGCUCCGAGCACUCGGGACCACCGGGGCAGUAGGCGGAGCACUCGAAGAUGCUGGAGGGGCCGAGGGAACGACAGGCUCAUGUCGGCGCUUGGUCCGAUGCUCUGUUUGUGGAGGCGGAGAGUCCUGCUCUUCGUCUUCCUCGUCUUCCUCGCUGGUCUCUUCCUCCGACCCCCCGCUCUCGGAGACAUAUUCAGCGCUCUCCAUGCUGCCCUCCUGGCUGCCUUCCUCCUCCUCGGCCGGGUUCCCGUUCGAGACGGGAGAAAACCAGUUGGUCCACUCCUGCAUAAAAUUCAGUCGGCGACAUCAGACAUCACACAGAGAUAUAGACAAACGACAAGAAUUAAGACAGUUCAGUGCACUCGACAAGUGUCACUCACCUGAUUCGGUGGAGGAUGAUCCGCGCUGUAAGGCUUCACUCGCCGAGAUCCUUUGGGAUUCUCGCAAGGGCCCGUGAUUUGGAGCACCCACGAGGUCACCCUCUCCUCAGUCACGCCCACCACAUUGGUCCGAGUGGAAUCUUCGGGCCCCGUGUAAUGCCACAUGGCAUGGUCGCGAGCCUGCAGAGGCUGGAUCCGCCGACCAAGGUAGACCUCCAGCAAGUCUAUGCCGGUGACCCCCCUCCUGACGACGUCCACGAGUGCCUCAACCAAGGGCUGGAUGUCGAUCAUCUCCGCCUUCGAGAGCGCGAGUUGCUUAGGCGGAGCGGGCCGAUCUAAACUAAAAGGAGGCAGCCCAGUCGACGCAUUCGGACAGGCGAUAUCCUGGCAGUAGAACCACGUCGUCUGCCAGUUCCUGACCGACUCAAUUAACUGAAGAGCAGGAUAACUACUCCGACUCUUCUUCUGAAAGCCUAAGCCCCCGCAGAGCUGGAGGAGAUGCGUCUUAUCAUCCGACUGGCUAAGUCGUUUGAUGGUUUGGGAUCUGGCGGAAAAGAUGUGUUUGAACAAACCCUAAUGGGGAGGGCAGCCGAUGAAACACUCGCACAAAACUAUAAAGGCAGAAAGAUGGGCGAUGGCAUUCGGAGGAAAAUGGUGAAGUUGGGCCCCGAAGUGAUUCAUGAUGCCCUUGAAGAAAGGAUGCGGGGGCAAAGAAAAACCUCGGUGGACGUGGCUGAGGAGCAGGACACGCUCCCCCUCCCGAGGCGCUGGCUCGACCUCGUCCUCCGCCGGUAGCCUCCAGGACUUAUGAACGAUCAUUCCGUGCUCCACCAGCUGCAGCAGAUCCCCCUCCGUCACCGUGGAGGGGAGGAAGUCGCCCUGAAUCCACCCCGCCGGCAGCGGCCGCUGCCGCCGCUAAGCAGGCGCCGCCGCCUUGCCCUUCUUCUUCCUCGCCUCCAUCUUGCUGGUCUAACCCUUGGUCAUGGAGGCGACGGCGAACCCUCGGGAGGAAGGAGAAGGAAGGAGUGUAGGAGCACUAGAGGUGGCGAGGAAGAUGGAGCAGGCGAGAGCGAAAUAUUCGGGGAGCGUAACAAAGAAGCCUCGCCGCCGAGAUUUAAAUAGGGUUCCGACUGGGUCACUGGCGGGUGGCCCCGAAACCUUAUCCGCCCGAUCGGCCGCGGCGAUAUAAGUGGAGGAGUUGAAGGCGCGAGAAUCGAGGCGUCAGGCGCUACUCGAGCGCUCCGGCGUCAUCCCAGCUGGACGCCCGGAAACCGAAAUUUGAAGAUCCCGGAAAAUCCGCCGCUGCCAGUUGACCGGUCGCGUCAAAAGAUGCUGCGGAAGCACUCGGCUUCCGACAGUCUGUUUCGCGAGUACUUCCACUCGGAUCGUUGGUCAGAAAAGAUAAAAUGGAUAGAGGCAAGCAACGCCCAAGCCAAAUCUGUUCCAGUCGGAACCAAACUUCAAGCACCGCUUCGUCGUUUCAACCCCAAUCCAUUCGGGGACUAAUGAUGGGGUCAUAGUCCUAGGGUAGGGUCAUAGGCCUGUCAUAUAGGUCCUACCCAAGGACUACCCCUCACAAAGGACAAGGCCCUAGUCAGUCCCGACUGAAUUAAGGGGUCCCCAUCAUCCAGUUGGUAACAGGUCCUCAACCAUCCAGUCGGAGACUAGCAUUCGGAGGAUACCAAGCUAACCAACUGGCUACACUCGGUACAUCGUAACCUCUCUGGAGGGAAACUGUCAUACGUUUCCGGGUGCAUUUAUUAGCAUUUAGAGCAUACGUUACCUGUAACGUACGCANNNNNNNNNNNNNNNNNNNNNNNNNNNNNNNNNNNNNNNNNNNNNNNNNNNNNNNNNNNNNNNNNNNNNNNNNNNNNNNNNNNNNNNNNNNNNNNNNNNNUAGGGCGAAUUCUAUACACUUACGAUUGCAACUAUUAGCAAGCAUCCGCAACUACUAAUGUUCAUUAAGUUAAAACCCAACCAUAGCAAUAAGAUAUAUUGGUCCCCUUUCAAUCCCAUAUGCAUCAAUUUCUAUGCUAGGCUGAAGCUUCUGUCACCCUUGCCCUCCAAUAUAUAGUCCUAUUAACAUACUACUAACCCUAUGGUGUGAUCCACGGGCGCGCUCAUAUGAUGGGCACCAAAGGACACCAACAUAACCACAAGCAAAUUAAACCAAUCAUAGCAAUUCAUCAAUCACCGAUAGGACAACAAAAAUCUACUCAGUCAUCAUAGGAUGUCAACACAUCAUUGGAUAAUAAUAUGAAGCAUAAAGCACCAUGUUCAAGUAAAUUAUACAGCGGGUUGCGGGAGAGUGGACCGCUGAAUAUAGAUGGGGGAAGGUGAUGGAGGUGUUGGUGAAGAUGACGGAGGUGUUGGUGUAGAUCACCGUCACACGAUGAUGUCCCGGGCGGCGUUCCAGCGCCACCGGGAGAGAGGGGGAGAGCCCCCCUCUUAUUCUUCUUCCUUGACCUCCUCCCUAGAUGGGAGAAGGGUUUCCCCUCUGGUCCAUGGUCUCCAUGGCGGCAGAGGGGCGAGAGCCCCUCCGAGAUUGGAUCUCUCUCUGUGUGUCCUUCUGUUUCUGCGCUCCCAGAUUUUGCCUUUCACCGUUUCUUAAAUUCCGGGAGAUCCGUAACUCGGAUUGGGCUGAAAUUUUAACACGAUUUUCUUACGAAUAUUAGCUUUAUUGCGGAGAAAGGAGGGCCCCAACCUCCUUAUAUAUUAGUCACAAGCCUGCCAGGUGCGGCCGCACCCCGGGCUGCGGCUACGGGACUUGUGACCCCCUCGGGCAUCGUUUCGCAUAGAUUCUUCUUCCAAAAAUCAUAAAUAUUCCAAAUAAAAUCCCCAUAUGUUUUUUAUUUCAUUUGGUAUGGUUAAUCUGCGAAACAAAAAACAUGCAACAACCAGGAACUGGCACUGGGCACUGGAUCAAUGUGUGAGUCCCAAAAAUAGUAUAAAAAGUUGCCAAAAGUAUAUGGAAGUUGUAGAAUAUUGGCAUGAAACAAUCAAAAAUUAGAGAUACGAUCAAGACGUAUCAAUCAUCAUUAUUAGAGUAUUGUCCCGUGUGAGGAAAUAAAAAAAGAGGCCAAAGAGCCCAAAUAAAAAAGGAGAAAACAAAAAAAGAGAAAAAAGGAGGCCCAAGAGCCAAAAAAAGAGAAAAAAGAGAGAAGGGACAAUGCUACGAUCUUUUCCACACUUGUGCUUCAUAAUAGCACCAUGUUCUUCAUGAUUGAGAGCUUCUUGCUUUGUCACUACCGUAUGCUAGUGGGAAUUUAUAUAGCUUGGCUUGUAUAUUCCAAUGAUGGGCUUCCUCAAAUUGCCCUAGGUCUUCGUGAGCAAGCAAGUUGGAUGCACACCCACUAGUUCUCCUUUUGAGCUUUCACAUACUUAUAGCUCUAGUGCAUCCCUUGUAUGGAAAUCCCUACUCAUUCACAUUGAUAUCUAUUAAUGGCCAUCUCCAUAGCCUUUUGAUACGCCGAGUCAAUGUGACCAUCUCCUCCUUUUUGUCUCACAACCACCACCACACUCUAUACCACCUAUAAUGCUAUAUCCAUGGCUCACGCUCAUGUAUUGCGUGAUAGUUAUAUAAAGUUUGAGAAAGUAAGAGUGCAAAAACAAUUACUUGGCCAAUACCGGGGUUGUGCAUGAUCUACAUUAGUUGUGUGAGGAUGAUGGAGCAUAGCCAGACUAUAUGAUUUUGUAGGGAUAACUUUCUUUGGCCUCGUUAUUUUGAAAGUUCAUGAUUACCUUGCUAGUUUGCUUGAAGUACUAUUGUUUUCAUGUCAAUAGAAAACUAUUGUUUUGAAUCUUACGGAUCUGAACAUUCAUGUCAUAUGAAAGAAGUUGCAAAGGACAACUAUGCUAGGUAGCAUUGAACUUCAAAACUUCAGUGUUUAUCACUUCCCUACUCGAGGACGAGCAGGAGUUAAGCUUGGGGAUGCUUCAUACGUCUCCAACGUAUCAAUAAUUUUUGAUGGUUUCAUGCUAUUAUCUUGUCAAACUUUGGACGUUUUAUAUGCCUUUUAUAUCUUUUUGGGACUAACUUAUUAACUCAAUGCCAAGUGCCAGUUCUUGUUUUUUCGUGUUUUUGACCCUUUUCAGAGGAAGAUUUGAAACGGAGUCCAAACGGAAUAAAAUCCCCGAAAAUAUUUUUUCCGAAACAAAAGAAGAUCGGGAGACGUGAGAACCAAGGUAGGGGGUCCCCAGGGACCCCACAAGCCCCUCAGCCCUGGCCAGGGGGGAGGCCGGGCCUCAAGGGCUUGUGGGCCCCUGGACCUCCUUUUUUCUAGGUUUUGCGCCUAUAUAUUCCCUAAAAUCCCAAAAAAAUCAGGAGAUCAUCGAAAAUACUUUUCCGCCAUCACAAGCUUCUGUCUCUGCAAGAUCCCAUCUGGGGCACAUUCUGGUGCCCUGCCGGAGGGGAGAUUCGGACACGGAGGGCUUCUUCAUCAACACCAUGACCUCUCCGAUGAUGCGUGAGUAGUUCACCAUAGACCUACGGGUCCAUAGUUAGUAGCUAGAAGGCUUCUUCUCUCUCUUGGAUCUUCAAUACAAAGUUCUCCAUGAUCUUCAUGGAGAUCUAUCCGAUGUAAUCUUCUUUUGCGGUGUGUUUGUCGAGAUCCGAUGAAUUGUGGAUUUAUGAUCAGCUUAUCUAUGAAUUUUCUUAUGAUCUCUCUUAUGCAUGAUUUCAUAUCCUAGUAAUUCUCUUCAAGUUGUGGGUUUUGUUUGGCCAACUAGAUCUAUGAUUCUUGCAAUGGGAGAAGUGCUUGGUUUUGGGUUCAUACUGUGUGGUGACCUCACCCAGUGACAGAAGGGGUAGCGAGGCACGCAUCGUGUUGUUGCCAUCAAGGGUAAGAAGAUGGGGUUUCAUCAUUGGUUUGAGAUUAUCCCUCUACAUCAUGUCAUCUUGCUUAAGGUGUUACUCUGUUCGUCAUGAACUCAAUACACUAGAUGCAUGAUGGAUAGCGGUCGAUGUGUGGAGUAAUAGUAGUAGAUACAGAAAGUAUCGGUCUACUUGUCUCGGACCGGAUGCCUAUAUGUAUGAUCAUUGCCUUAGAUAUCGUCAUGACUUUGCGCGGUUCUAUCAAUUGCUCGACAGUAAUUUGUUCACCCACCAUAAUACUUGCUAUUUUGAGAGAAGCCUCUAGUGAACACUAUGGCCCCCGGGUCUACUCCACACGAUAUUUUCAGCCUUACACUUUUACUUCGUUGCACUUUCCGCCUUCUGAUCUCACUUUGCAAUCAAUCUUGAAGGGAUUGACAACCCCUUUUAGCGUUGGGUGCAAGCUCUUUUAUGUUUGCGCAGGUACUCUGGACUUGACGAGAUGCUCCUACUGGAUUAAUACCUUGGUUCUCAAACUGAGGGAAAUACUUACUGCUCCUGUGCUGCAUCACCCUUUCCUCUUCAAGGGAAAAACCAACGCAAGAAAGUCUCCAUCAACGUGUCAAUUUCCGGUGCUGUUGUUUGAGAAGUAGUAGAAGGAUUCUUGGCGUCAUUGAUUGGGAAGGACUUUUGUUGCCGUAGGAAUUACAAGUUCGCCAUAGCUGCAACUUCGCGUUCUUUGUUUGUGUUCUACGACCAGACAAAGGCGUCAUAUAACUCGACCUUCAUCAAUAAAGCUUUCCUCUUAUAUUCGCAAUAUCUUGAUUGCAUCUUAGUUUCUUGCUUUUCUUUGUUUGCAUGCAGGAAACAGACCUUCGUGGUGAGGUUGAUCGUGCUCCGGCGUGGUCAAUAACCUCUCGGAGUUGGUUUAGCGAUUGCUAAGGCGCGACGUCCUCACAUGUUUGUAGUCGGAUCGUCAAAGUUGACUCUACCAAAAUGAUAACCACGAUUUCAUCGAAAGACAGGGAUAACUUCGCCUCUAUCAUAUCGUUCCAUCUCAAGAACAAGAGAGAGAAAGAGAGAGAGAGAUCAAACACAUAUAUACUCAUACAUACCUCAGCCCCGAGGGUGAAGUACCCCCUCCUCAUCAUGGCCUCCAUAGAGAUGAUUAAGAUGGCCACGAGAGAUGAUUUCCCCUCUUUGUCAGGGUACUGGAAAGGCUCGAGAUGGGUUUUUCGUUGAUACAAAGAGUUGCGGUGGUUGAGCGGAAGUUCUCUCUUUAUUUCUGGGGAUCUCAUAUAUAUAGGAUUUUUCAGAUUUGGAAUCAAGCCAAACGGAGCCACGUGGGCCCCACAAGCCAUUAGGGCACGCCCUAGGGGGCACACUCCGGGGUUAGUUCCAAAUAAAUCAUAUAAAGUAAAAAAAACAUAUAAAAGUAUUGUAAACAUAUGCAAACAUGGCAUGAAUACUUCAUAAAUUAUCGAUACGUUGGAGACGUAUCACUUACUUUCAUGAGAGAUGCCACUAGGGAAAACUAUGAACCCCAGGUCUAUUCACUUAUAAGUUUACAAAUUCUACAAUACCUUGUUGUUCUUAUUUACUAUUUAUUUUAUUUUGCAUUUUUCAAUUACCUACUACCAACCACACUAAUUACAAGCUUGUAAAUUACAAGUCCAAGGGGAUUGACAACCCUCUUGCCCAUGUAGGGUGCAAGUGUUUUCUCAUUUGUGUGUAGCCGCUGAAGAUGGAGGUUGGUUGUUACUCCUAUUGUUCGAUAAACCUGGAUUCUCUACUGAGGGCAAUACUUACCUAUACUGUGUUCCAUCACCCAUUCCUCUUCACGGAAAACCCAAUGUAGAUCACAAGUAUCAGGAAUCCCCAAGAUUGAUCUUUUGUAUCUCUUUCAAUCCUCUCAUAUCCCGUUUUCUCCUAAGUCUCCAGUACUUCAUCCACACGAAACUUGAACAGAACCCGUGAGAUCGGUUAGUACAUAUAAGAAUAGAUCAACACUUCAUGUGCUGCCAAGACAAGUUGGAUAGUAAUUUCCAAACAUUACAUACUGUAUACUAUUGAUACGACCAUUUUGCAACAUGUUUUCAUGUUGAUAUUUAUCGCUUUAUGGACUGUUAUUAUACUUUGUGGUACCAUACUUAUGCCUUUUCUCUCUUAUUUUGCAAGGUUUAUUUGAAGAGGGAGAAUACCGGCAGCUGGAAUUCUGUACUGGAAAAGGAGCAAGUCUGAGUCCUCUAUUCUGCGCAACUCCAAAUGCCCUGAAAAUCAACGUGGAAUUUUUUGGGAAUAUAUAAAAAAUAUUGGGUGAAAGAAGUACCAGAGGGAAGCUGCAAGGGGCCCACAAGCCUGGUAGCCGCGGCCUGCCCCCUGGCCGCGGCUACAGGGCUUGUGGGCACCCUGGUAGCCCACCGGCCCCCCUCUUCUGCUAUAUGAAUGGUUUCGUCCAGAAAAAAACAAGGCGGAGCUUUUUCGAGGAGGCGCCGCCGCCACGAGGCGGAACUUGAGCAAAACCAAUCUUGAGCUCCGGCAUGUAGAUCCUGCCGGGGAAACUUCCCUCCCGGAGGGGGAAAUCGUCGCCAUCGUUAUCACCAACACUCAUCUCAUCGGAGGGGACUCGUCUCCAUCAACAUCUUCAUUAGCACCAUCUCAUCUCCAAACCCUAGUUCAUCACUUGUAACCAAUCUCCGUCUCGCGACUCCGAUUGGUACUUGUAAGGUUGCUAGUAGUGUUGAUUACUCUUUGUAGUUGAUGCUAGUUGGAUUACUUGGUGGAAGAGUUUAUGUUCAGAUCCUUGAUGCUACUCAUUACCUCUCUCGUCAUGAAUAUGAUUAUGCUUUGUGAGUAGUUACUUUUGUUCCUGAAGACAUGGGAUAAGUCAUGCUAAUAGUAGUCAUGUGAAUUUGGCAUUCGUUCGGUAAUUUGAUAUGUUGUAUGUUGUUUUUCCUCUAGUGGUGUUAUGUGAACGUCGACUACAUAACACUUCACCAUUAUUUGGGCCUAGAGGAAGGCAUUGGGGAGUAGUAAGUACAUGAUGGGUUGCUAGAGUGACAGAAGCUUAAACCCCAGUCUAUGCGUUGCUUCGUAAGGGGCUGAUUUGGAUCCGCUAGUUUAAUGCUAUGGUUAGACUUUGUCUUAAUUCUUCUUUCGUAGUUGUGGAUGGUUCCGAGAGGGGUUAAUCAUAAGUGGGAUGCUUGUCCAAGUAAGGGAAGUACCCAAGCGCCGGUCCACCCACAUGUCAAACUAUCAAAGUAACGAACGCGAAUGAUAUGAACAUGAUGAAAACUAGCAUGACAGAAAUUCCCUUGUGUCCUCGGGAGCGUUUUUCCUCCUAUAAGACUUUGUUCAGGCUUGUCCCCUGCUACAAAAGGGAUUGGGCCACUUUUCUACACCGUUUCUACUACUUGUUACUUGUUACUUUUCACCUGCUACGUUUCACCUCACUACACCAUCAAUUGUUACCGCUACUUCCAAUGCUUGCAGUUACUACCUUGCUGAAAACCGUUUUUCAGAGCCUUCUGCUCCUCGUUGGUUUCGACACUCUUACUUAUCAAAAGGACUACGAUUGAUACCCUAUUCUUUUGGGUCAUCAAGACUCUUUUCUGGCGCCGUUGCCGGGGAGCGAAGCGCCUUUGGUAAGUGGAAUUUGGUAAGGAAACAUUUAUAUACUAGGCUGAAAUUUAUUGUCACUUGUCACUAGGGAAACUGUUCCUUUGAGGAAUUUGUUCGGGGUAUAUUCACCACGAACGGAAGCACGAGAAGUUGCUCCUCAACCUAAGGUACCCACUGAAAAUAUCUUUUAUGAAAUUCCUUCGGGUAUGCUUGAGAAACUGCUGGCUAAUCCUUUUACAGGAGAUGGAUCUUCACAUCCAGACUUGCAUCUAAUCUAUGUAGAUGAAGUUUGUGGUUUAUUUAAGCUUGCAGGUUUGCCCGAGGAUGAGGUAAAGAAGAAAGUCUUUACUUUAUCUUUGAAGGAUAAGGCGUUGACAUGGUAUAGGCUAUGUGAUGAUACUGGAUCGUGGGACUACAAUCGGUUGAAAUUGGAAUUUCAUCAAAAGUUUUAUCCUAUGCAUUUAGUACAUCGUGAUCGGAAUUAUAUUUAUAACUUUUGGCCUCGUGACAGGGAAAGCAUAGCUCAAGCUUGGGGGAGGCUUAAAUCAAUGCUAUAUUCAUGCCCCAAUCAUGAGCUCUCGAGAGAAAUUAUCACUCAAAACUUUUAUGCUCGACUUUCUCAUGAAGAUCGUACCAUGCUUGACACUUCUUGUACCGGUUCUUUUAUGAAGAAGGAUAUUGAUCACAAGUGGAAUUUAUUGGAAAGAAUCAAACGUAACUCUGAAGAUUGGGAGCUUGAAGAAGGUAAGGAGUCAGGUAUGAAUUUCCAGUUUGAUUGCAUUAAAUCUUUUGUUGAAACAAACACUUCUAGAGAUUUUAGCGCUAAGUAUGGACUUGACUGUGAGAUAGUAGCUUCUCUAUGUGAAUCUUUUGUUGCUCAUGUUGAUCUUCCCAAAGAGAAGUGGUUUAAGUAUCAUCCUCCUGUAGAAGUCAACAUAGUUAAACCCAAUCUAGUUGAAGGGAAAGUCAUUGCCUAAAAUUAUCCUAUUGUUCCUUGUGCCUACACUAAGAAACCACCUUACCCUGCUAGGAAAAAGGAUUAUUCUAAAGCUCCAAUUGUGAUACGUAGGGGUUACAUUAGACCACUUGCACCCCUGAGGAAAUUAGAGUUGAACCUAGUGUUGUGGGUAUAAGCCUGACAGUAGAUGUGUAGGGUACGAAUGAGAUGGGCAGAGUCCUAGCUACGGCGAGGUUGUAUGAGUUCGGGCCCCUCAGCGGUGGAGGUAACAGCCCUACGUCUCAGUGCUCUCGGAGCUUGCUGUUGAGUGGAAUAUGGAAUACAAUGAUUUACUAACCCCUCUACCAGUGUGGGAGGGCGGCUUAUAUAGAGUGCGCUGCCCUCCACAACGAUUCCGAUACAGGGGUGGAGUAAUGGGGAUUGAAUGCGUACGUUACAGGUAACGUAUGCUCUAAAUGCUAAUAAAUGCACCCAGAAAUGUACGGCAGUUUCCCUCCAGAGAGGUUACGAUGUACCGAGUGUAGCCAGUCGGUUAGCUUGGUAUCCUCCGAAUGCUAGUCUCCGACUGGAUGGUUGAGGACCUGUUACCGACUGGAUGAUGGGGACCCCUUAAUUCAGUCGGGACUGACUAGGGCCUUGUCCUUUGUGAGGGGUAGUCCUUGGGUAGGACCUAUAUGACAGGCCUAUGACCCUACCCUAGGACUAUGACCCCAUCAUUAGUCCCCGAAUGGAUUGGGGUUGAAACGACGAAGCGGUGCUUGAAGUUUGGUUCCGACUGGAACAGAUUUGGCUUGGGCGUUGCUUGCCUCUAUCCAUUUUAUCUUUUCUGACCAACGAUCCGAGUGGAAGUACUCGCGAAACAGACUGUCGGAAGCCGAGUGCUUCCGCAGCAUCUUUUGACGCGACCGGUCAACUGGCAGCGGCGGAUUUUCCGGGAUCUUCAAAUUUCGGUUUCCGGGCGUCCAGCUGGGAUGACGCCGGAGCGCUCGAGUAGCGCCUGACGCCUCGAUUCUCGCGCCUUCAACUCCUCCACUUAUAUCGCCGCGGCCGAUCGGGCGGAUAAGGUUUCGGGGCCACCCGCCAGUGACCCAGUCGGAACCCUAUUUAAAUCUCGGCGGCGAGGCUUCUUUGUUACGCUCCCCGAAUAUUUCGCUCUCGCCUGCUCCAUCUUCCUCGCCACCUCUAGUGCUCCUACACUCCUUCCUUCUCCUUCCUCCCGAGGGUUCGCCGUCGCCUCCAUGACCAAGGGUUAGACCAGCAAGAUGGAGGCGAGGAAGAAGAAGGGCAAGGCGGCGGCGCCUGCUUAGCGGCGGCAGCGGCCGCUGCCGGCGGGGUGGAUUCAGGGCGACUUCCUCCCCUCCACGGUGACGGAGGGGGAUCUGCUGCAGCUGGUGGAGCACGGAAUGAUCGUUCAUAAGUCCUGGAGGCUACCGGCGGAGGACGAGGUCGAGCCAGCGCCUCGGGAGGGGGAGCGUGUCCUGCUCCUCAGCCACGUCCACCGAGGUUUUUCUUUGCCCCCGCAUCCUUUCUUCAAGGGCAUCAUGAAUCACUUCGGGGCCCAACUUCACCAUUUUCCUCCGAAUGCCAUCGCCCAUCUUUCUGCCUUUAUAGUUUUGUGCGAGUGUUUCAUCGGCUGCCCUCCCCAUUAGGGUUUGUUCAAACACAUCUUUUCCGCCAGAUCCCAAACCAUCAAACGACUUAGCCAGUCGGAUGAUAAGACGCAUCUCCUCCAGCUCUGCGGGGGCUUAGGCUUUCAGAAGAAGAGUCGGAGUAGUUAUCCUGCUCUUCAGUUAAUUGAGUCGGUCAGGAACUGGCAGACGACGUGGUUCUACUGCCAGGAUAUCGCCUGUCCGAAUGCGUCGACUGGGCUGCCUCCUUUUAGUUUAGAUCGGCCCGCUCCGCCUAAGCAACUCGCGCUCUCGAAGGCGGAGAUGAUCGACAUCCAGCCCUUGGUUGAGGCACUCGUGGACGUCGUCAGGAGGGGGGUCACCGGCAUAGACUUGCUGGAGGUCUACCUUGGUCGGCGGAUCCAGCCUCUGCAGGCUCGCGACCAUGCCAUGUGGCAUUACACGGGGCCCGAAGAUUCCACUCGGACCAAUGUGGUGGGCGUGACUGAGGAGAGGGUGACCUCGUGGGUGCUCCAAAUCACGGGCCCUUGCGAGAAUCCCAAAGGAUCUCGGCGAGUGAAGCCUUACAGCGCGGAUCAUCCUCCACCGAAUCAGGUGAGUGACACUUGUCGAGUGCACUGAACUGUCUUAAUUCUUGUCGUUUGUCUAUAUCUCUGUGUGAUGUCUGAUGUCGCCGACUGAAUUUUAUGCAGGAGUGGACCAACUGGUUUUCUCCCGUCUCGAACGGGAACCCGGCCGAGGAGGAGGAAGGCAGCCAGGAGGGCAGCAUGGAGAGCGCUGAAUAUGUCUCCGAGAGCGGGGGGUCGGAGGAAGAGACCAGCGAGGAAGACGAGGAAGACGAAGAGCAGGACUCUCCGCCUCCACAAACAGAGCAUCGGACCAAGCGCCGACAUGAGCCUGUCGUUCCCUCGGCCCCUCCAGCAUCUUCGAGUGCUCCGCCUACUGCCCCGGUGGUCCCGAGUGCUCGGAGCACCAAAAGGGCCAGGGAUGCUGCCGCUGAGCCUACGGGUCAGUCUUCCAAGCCGGCCAGACCGAGUGGGUCCAAACCUCGGAAGUCUCUGCCGCGGAUGAGGGUUGAUGUCCCCGUCACCUCCACAUAAGUGUAUCGAUCCUCUAAUUUCUUCUGAUAUCCGAGUGAAUUCUUUGUUCAUUGGUCGAAUGGAUUUUACUCGACAGAGUCGCUACUUCUGCCACCUCUAUGGCGCGUCAAGAAGAUGACCCCAUGGACACGUACAACGUCGUCUCGUCCCAGCCAGGUGUGUUGUAGUGACUCCGAGUGUUUUAUUCUACCAUAGGAUCUGCCUCUUUCUUUUUCUGAGACCUUGUGCCAUUCGGCCUGUCAUGGGCGAUUUGCCUGGACGAGGGGGACCAGAGGAGAGCUGACCCAGCCGUGGAGCCUGUUCUUGAGGCUGCUCCUCCCACUGCCGCUCUCGCCGCCGACGUGCUGGCGACUGAGGCGCUGCCGCCGACUAACCGGCACUGGUGGUUGAGGUGCCGACUGGAGCGGACCUCGGGAUGCCUCAGGAGCUUCCGACGAUGCCAGGCUCGUCGAAUGCCGAGUUCAACAUCCGGCGUCCCCCGGAGGAGCAGGUGGGAGCGGCCAAGGGAGCCAUGGUGCAGGCGGAGCUGAUGGCUCGGGAGGCCAAGAGGACCUACGAUUCCGUCACGUCCUUGUACCAGCGGAGCCUGGAGCUGCGGGAUGAUAUCCGAGUGAGUGGGCUAGUAAGUAUUUACUUUUCUCUUGUAACCCACCGAGUGUUUUUGGAUAGCAUCUGUUGUUCACAAUGGGUUCACUCUUAGUGAACCCGGUGGGUGUAGUCCCCGAGACUUCUGUCUGUGCUUUGGUCAGGUCUGUAAAUAACAUGACCGAGUGCGCGUAGUUGUGGCACUCGGAGUGCACUUACUGUAAGAGUCCCCGAUAGUAAUUUGUACUCAGGUCGGGUAUUAUUGGCCUCGUAAGCGUAGGUGAUAACAUGCAUCUCAAUGGGGCAAGCCUGCUUGAGCUGCAUGCCAGUGGGCUCACUCUUAGUGAACCCACUGGGUGUAGUCCCCGAGACCGCUGUCGACUACUAGCGUCGGCAGUGGUCUGAAGAACUUAGACUUUUAACUGUUGAACUUUCUGAUUGCUCCUUGGUGCUUGGUGGGAGAAAACUUGUGAAAUGGGGACGGCCUAUGAGGCUCUCAGAGCGGAGAGGAACCAAUUCGCUGCGGAGCUUGAUGCGGCUAUGCUCGCAAUGGCCGGCAUGAAGGAUGCUCUGGAGGAACGAGAGAAGUACUUGGAGGAGGCGCGUGAAGCGAACAAGGUGUUGACAGAGGAAGUGGAAAAAAUGAAGAAACAGAGGACUGCUCUCACGAAUCAGAUUGUCGUCCUGAAUAAGCGAUGCACCGCUCAGGAGAAGUAUGUCAGCGACUGGGCUGGGCAGAUGAUGAGGCGUCUGGCUGGUAAGUCUUAUGUUUUGCCGAGUGCUGGUACUGUGUGCGUGACACUCGACGUUUAUUAAAUGCUUGCCCUUUUGUUGCAGACUUUUGCAUUGAUGCUGAAGCUGAAGCGGCGGACGUGGAGCGGUCCAUUCGUGACAACGUGCCACUCGGCGAGGACGCCAAUCGGGAUCUGCUCCGGGCGCAUAUCCGCAUAGGCAAAGUGGGUCCUUUCAUCGGUCGACUGAGAGAGGUCGUCGGCCGAAUUGAGAAGGAACUUUGGCUAGAGGAUGAGUCGCGGCAGGAGAUGGAGAACCUGAUGGCCCGACUGGAGGAGAUUCCCAACCGAGUGCAGUCGUGGAAGAAAUCUACAGCUCGUUGCGGUGCAGAUGUUGCUCUGUCCCUGGUCCGAGUCCAUUGCAAGGAGGUGUGUGAGGAGAAGUUGAAGACACUGAAGGUCGCCAACACGAAGAAGCUUCGAUUCGAAGACUUCAUGGAGACGUUCCUUGAGAGUGCUACCCGCAUCGCCGACGGAAUCGACUUGGACACCUUCGUGGAGCCCUCCAGUCCUGGCGCCAACCCAGCUGACGCUUGAAAAAACUUUAUCCUCGGUAUGCCGAGUGUUAAUCUAUAAGAAACUCUGGCCACUGCUGUUGGCCGUCACAUUCUUAGAUCGGUGCGGGUAAGCUUGAUCCGCACCGAGUAAACUAUCUUUGCUAGAGCUUUGAAUCGAAUUUUUGCUGUUCUGUUGCAAUUUUGAUUCGGGUUUUUGUUUGGCGUUUCUUGGUGAAGCCAAAGGCAAACAUUCGGAACAUGUCAGUUGUUUUGACAUCUGCGUGAGCCUCAUUGAGGGUCCGUGGAAUUUCCUAAGUCUCUGAGUGUACGUUAAGAGUACACUCGGAGAAGGUUAAUACUUAGGCGAUUCUUGAUCGCAGCUAAGCUCCCGAGUGUGACGUUUAGUGCACACUCGGAGAAGGUUAAUACUUAGGCGAUUCUGGAUCGCAGCUAAGCCCCCGAGUGUGACGUGUAGUGCACACUCAGAGAAGGUUAAUACUUAGGCGAUCCUGGAUCGCAGCUAAGCCCCCGAGUGUGACAUGUAGUGCACACUCGGAAAUAGUUAGUACUUAGGCGAUGCUGGAUCGCAGCUAAGCCCCCCGAGUGUAACGUGUAGUGCACACUCAGAGAUAGGUAGUACUUAGGCGAUGCUGGAUCGCAGCUAAGCCUCCGAGUGUGACGUGUAUUGCACACUCGGAGAUAGUUAGUACUUAGGCGAUGCUGGAUCGCAGCUAAGCCCCCGAGUGUGACGUGUAGUGCACACUCGGAGAUAGGUAGUACUUAGGCGAUGCUGGAUCGCAGCUAAGCCUCCGAGUGUGACGUGUAGUGCACACUCGGAGAUAGUUAGUACUUAGGCGAUGCUGGAUCGCAGCUAAGCCCCCGAGUGUGACGUGUAGUGCACACUCGGAGAAGGUUAAUACUUAGGCGAUUCUGGAUAGCAGCUAAGUUUUUUUUGAGACCGAAGUCUGCGACCGCGGAAGAACUUUGAACCUGCAAAAAACUCAAUCUGCUUUAUAUUAUUUCGCCAACACUUGUUCUUUACAUUGCUUGAGUCGACGGUCACGUGUAGAAGCGCUUCAGGAGAGCUCCGUUCCAUGCACGCGGCUCGUCUGUCUCCCUCUCGAUGUUGUAGAGUCUGUAUGCUCCGUUGUUCAGCACCUUGGAGAUGAUGAAGGGUCCUUCCCAGGCCGGAGCCAACUUGUGAGGUCUUUGCUGAUCCACUCGGAGCACCAGAUCGCCUGCUUGGAACGUGCGACUUCUGACGUGGCGUGCAUGAAAACGCCGUAGAUUUUGUUGAUAAAUGGUCGAGCGAGUUAACGCCAUCUCGCGCUCCUCCUCCAGAAGAUCCACUCCGUCUUGCCUUGCUUGUUCUGCUUCGACUUCGGAGAAGAGUUCGACUCGUGGCGCAUUGUGAAGCAAGUCACUCGGAAGGACCGCUUCUGCUCCAUAAACGAGGAAGAACGGUGAUCGCCCUGUAGAUCUGUUCGGGCUUGUGCGAAGUCCCCAAAGCACUGAAGGUAGCUCGGUAACCCAAGCGCCAGCGGCAUGUCCUAUUUCUCGCAGGAGUCGGGGCUUCAAACCUUGCAAAAUAAGUCCGUUUGCCCGCACUGCUUGUCCAUUGGACUGAGGAUGUGCUACGGAAGCAAAAUCCACUCGGAUGCCUUGGCUUGUACAGAAACCUUUGAAUCUGUCCGAGUCAAAGUUUGUCCCAUUGUCUAUGAUUAUACUGUGAGGUACACCGAAUCUGAAGAUGAUGUCCGUGACAAACUUGACGGCUGUUGAGGCGUCGAGCUUCUUGAUGGGCUUCGCUUCGAUCCAUUUCGUGAACUUGUCGACUGCCACCAACAGAUGUGUGUAUCCACCUUGGCCUGUCUUGAAUGGGCCGACUGUAUCUAAUCCCCACACUGCAAACGGCCACACCAGAGGGAUCGUCUUCCACGCAGACGUUGGCUUGUGAGACUUGUUGGAGUAGAACUGGCAGCCCUCACAUCGAUCAACCAUAUCCUUAGCCAUCUCGUUAGUCUGCAGCCAAAAGAAGCCAGCCCUGAAUGCCUUGGCGACGAUUGCUCUCGAAGAAGCGUGAUGACCGCAGGUCCCCGAGUGAAUAUCCUCCAGAAUCAGUUGCCCCUCCUCUGGGGAGAUGCAUCGUUGAAGAACGCCUGAGAUACUUUCCUUGUACAAUUGGCCAUCAAUGACAGUGAAUGACUUCGACCUGCGGACUAUCUGCCUGGCUUGGACUUCGUCUUCUGGAAGUUCUUGCCUCAAGAUAUAUGCCAUGAUCGGCACAGUCCAAUCGGGAAUGACAGCCAGAAUCUCCAUGACCAGAUCAACCACAGCAGGUACAUCGACUUCAGUCGGAUCUGUUGUGCUCUUGGGUUGUACUGGUUCCUCUGUGAAAGGAUCUUCUUUGACUGAGGGGAGGUGGAGGUGCUCGAGGCAGACGUCACUCGGGACUGGUCUCCGAGUGGAUCCGAGUUUUUUUAACUCGUCAGCUGCUUGGUUCUUCAGUCUUGGAACAUGGUGAAGUUCUAGACCUUCAAACUUCUUCUCAAGCUUCCUCACUGCAUUGCAGUAUGUAGUCAUGGUGGGGUUUCUGACGUCCCACUCUUUCAUCACUUGAUUGACCACCAGAUCUGAAUCGCCGUAGACCAUCAGGCGACGGACACCGAGUGAGAUGGCCAUACGCAACCCGUAGAAGAGAGCUUCAUACUCCGCCUCAUUGUUGGAGGAAUCGAAGUGUAUCUGAAGCACGUACUUGAGCUUGUCUCCCUUUGGUGAUAUGAUCACAACGCCAGCGCCGGAGCCAUUCAACAUCUUGGACCCAUCAAAGAACAUUGUCCAAUGGGCCGAGCAGAUGUGGGUCGGUUGCUGUUGUUCUACCCAUUCUGCUAUGAAGUCAGCGAGAGCUUGAGACUUAAUAGCUUUCUUGGCCUCGAACUUGAUGUCACAGUACAGCAUCUCCAUCGCCCACUUCGCCACUCGGCCUGACGCAUCUCGAUUGUGGAGAAUUUCCGACAAUGGAGCAUCAGAAACGACAGACACCGAGUGGUCUUGGAAAUAAUGGGCCACUUUCUUCGCAGUCAUGUAAAUCCCGUAGAUAAGUUUUUGAUAAUGGGGAUACCUCUGCUUGGAAGGGGUCAAGACUUCGGAUACGUAGUACACUGGCCGCUGAACUUUGUAUGCUUUGCCUUCUUCAUCUUGUUCGACUGUAAGAACGGUACUGAUGACUUGAUUUGUAGCCGCGAUAUACAGAAGAAGGGGCUCUUUACUGAGCAGAGCAGUAAGAACCGGCUGGGUGGAAAGCAGGACUUUGAGGUCGUCGAAUGCGACUUGGGCCUCAUCUGUCCACUCGAAAGUAUAUGAUUUCUUCACGAGUCGGUACAGAGGAAGUGCUUUUUCGCCGAGUCGACUGAUGAACCUCCUCAAAGCCGCUAGGCAACCUGUGAGCCGUUGAACAUCGUGUAUUCGGACCGGCCUCUCCAUUCGGACGAUGGUCCCGAUCUUUUCGGGGUUGACGUCGAUCCCUCAUUCGGAAACGAAGAAACCGAGUAACUUUCCGCUGGGAACACCGAAUGAACAUUUGGCUGGGUUGAGCUUGAUAUUGUACCUACGAAGGUUGGCAAUUUUUCUGCCAAGUCAGUCAGCAGGUCGGAACCUUUGCGUGACUUGACUACGAUAUCAUCCAUAUAUGCCUCCACAUUGCGACCGAUCUGAUCGAGGAGACAUUUUUGGAUCAUGCGCAUAAAGGUAGCUCCUGCAUUCUUCAGACCGAAUGGCAUAGUGAUGUAGCAGAAGCAUCCGAAUGGGGUGAUGAAGGCUGAUUUUAACUCAUCGGGGCCAUACAGACGGAUCUAAUGAUAGCCCGAGUAGGCAUCGAGAAAUGAUAGACGCUCGCAGCCCGCAGUUGAAUCGACAAUUUGAUCUAUGCGGGGGAGCGGAAAAUGGUCUUUCGGGCAGACCUUAUUGAGAUGCUUGAAGUCGAUGCACAUUCAGAGCGACUUGUCCUUCUUGGGCACCAUGGCAACAUUGGCGAACCACUCGGAGUGGUGAACCUCGCGAAUGAAGUUGGCUACCAACAGCUUGGCCACCUCUUCCCCGAUUGCCUUCCUCUUGUGCGCGGCGGCCCGGCGCAGGCGCUCUCGGACAGGCCGAGCCGUGGAAUCCACGUGCAGUCGGUGCUCAGCCAACUCCCUGGGUACACCUGGCAUGUCAGAGGGUUUCCAUGCGAAGAUGUCCCAGUUCGCACGGAGGAAUUAGGUGAGCUCGGCUUCCUAUUUAGGAUCGAGGGUGGUGGAGAUGUUCGUCGGGGCAGCAGUGGCGUCCGUCGGGUGGAUGCUGACCUUCUUCGUCUCUCCCGCUGACUGAAAUGCAGACUCUGAAGCCGGCUUCUUCGAGCGCAUCAGGUCGGCGGGGUCGACUGUUUUCUUGUACUCGUCCAGCUCGAGGACGGCCAUCUGCUCGUCGGUGAUUCUUGAUCCCUGCUGCAGACACUCUUCAGCCCGCUGCCGAUUGUCUGUGAUGGUGAUCACACCUUUCGGGCCUGGUAUCUUUAGCUUCAGGUACACGUAACAUGGACGGGCCAUGAAGUGCGCAUACGCUGGGCGACCCAGAAUUGCGUGAUAAGCGCUCUGGAAGUCAACCACUUCGAACGUCAGCUUUUCCUUGCGGAAGUUCUUGUCGGAGCCAAAAACGAUGUCCAACGCGAUCUGGCCGAGUGACUUGGCCUUCCGUCCAGGGACGACUCCGUGGAACUGCAUGCUGCUCUCGCUGAGUUUGGACAUCGGGAUGCCCAUCCCCUUGAGGGUGUCAGCGUACAUGAUGUUCAAGCCGCUGCCGCCAUCCAUGAGGACUUUGUGCAGUCGGACUCCUUCUACCACCGGGUCGACGACUAGGGCCUAUCUCCCCGGGGUGGGUACAUGUGCCGGAUGAUCCGACUGGUCGAAGGUGAUCGCAGUCUGAGACCAUUUGAGGAAUUUGGGGUUGGAAGGGGUGGCCAUGUUCACCAGCUUCAGUCGGCUCUUGCUCUCGACGUCAGCAAAGAUCAUCAGGGUUGCAUGGACUUGGGGGAACGGAUCCUCCUUAUCCUCCUCAUCCUGUUCAUGGUCCUUCUCACUCGGUUGCCCUUCGCUGAACCCCUGGAUCAAGAGGCGACACUGUCGAGUGGUAUGCUUCGCAUAUAUGGGGUUGCCUUCUUCGUCCAUCUUCGUAUGAACCGUACAUGGCUGGUCCAGGAUGGGGUUAUUGAACUUCUUCUUCUUGGGUGUGAACUGAGCCUUCCCUUUACCCUUGAACUUGGCAUUGGUUACGGCUGCAGCCUCCGCUUGCGGAGCGGUCGGAGCUUUCUGCUUCUGCUUCCGAGUGUUGCUCCCAUCGCCAUCAGCGACUGUUUUGUGCUUGCCGCUCCGGAUGCGGUCCUCUUCUUCGCCAUUUGCGUAGCGUGUUGCUAUCUCCAUCAUCUUGCUCAUGGAGAUGUCGCCUGUUCAGCCGAACUUCAGGUACAGAUCCCUGUACCGCACGCCUGCCUUGAAAGCGCAGACUGCUUGAUGCUCGGUGACGUUCUCCACCGUGUGAUAGAGAAUUGUCCAGCGCUGGAUGAAGUCACGCAGGGGCUCAUUCUGCUUCUGGACGCAGUGCUGGAGGUCCACAAGGCCAGCAGGGCGCUUGCACGUCCCUUCGAAGGUCCUGAUGAACGCUCUUCCCAUCUGUAGAUGCUUGAGGGGGCCAACUGGUUUAGCCACGCUCGCGCCGAGCCGUCGAGCAUCAGAGGGAGGUGCUUCGUGGCGACAUGGUCGUCCCCUCCUCCGAUCUGGACCGCCACUCGGUAGUCAUCCAGCCACGUUUCUGGCUUGGACUCUCCUGUGAACUUGCUAAUUCCUGUCACCAACCGGAAGUUGGGAGGGAUGUCAGCCGAACAGAUGGCUCAACUGAAACACUCGGGACCAGACACGAUGGCCCUGCUUCCACUCGGACGGUCGGUAUCGCGACCAUCGCGGUGGGUUCGACCUCUGUCGACUCUUCGCUGGGCAAUAUGUGCUCUUGCGUCGGGUCUUGGGUCGUAAGUGUCGCUGACUGAACGCCGAUCAUCAUGAUGUCGGGACCCAUAUGGGCCACCCCGCGGAGGGGUGCGUGAGCGGCGGCGAUCUUCAUGAAUCAUGGAACGACUGCCUCCCCUGUGGCGCUGAUGGGAACCAGGGCUGUGAACCGACCGAUGCGUAUUCGCGUGGAGGGAACUAUUAUAGAUCCGGUUGUGCGACUGGGAGAGCGCAGAAUUCUGCUGCUGCGCCGUGUGCAACAGGGCUCGGAUCUGCUCGAUUCCUCUACCAACCUCUGAAUUAGUCGGCUGGAGGGAAUCGGCUAUCUUGGCAGCUGCAGCCAAGUUGAGGAGUGGUGUGCGGAACAGCUCCACAUUGCUCCGCCGAGUGUGCCGACUAGCAGAACGGCGAGGUGGACGACGUGCGCCGGAUGCUUCGCCGAUCUCGUGCUCGUUUCGGCCAGCCUGACGGGGAUCUUCAUGGGAGUUGGCCAUGUGUACUUCUGCUGCGGGCCCGUGACCCGCAUACUCGGAAGGAAACUCAGUCGGAACCGAGUCCGAAUGCUGGGACGACGGGGCAACCACAACGGACUCAAGAACCGCCACUUGCGAAGAUGCGUUCUGGCGCGCCUGGGCGUGUUGCACCCAACGCUGGAGCCGCGGACGGCGGGACCGCUUGACGCGGCGCGUGACCGCGGUGUAGGUCGACACCGGAGCCGACCGCUGGAGAAGAAGAAUGCCGCGGGCGCCGGCACGGAACUGCGUAGCGCCGCAACGGGGAAGCGCCUCGAUGUCGAGGGGCGCAUCCCGAAGCCAUGCCGAAUCAUCGACGAUGAAGGAGAGAGCGCCGAAGAAGAUCUGGUGACCCAUGCUCGAACCUCCACCGGACGACAUGACGAAAGGAAGUAGUCGCAAACUCGCCGGAAGUCGCUUAGACGCCUACCCCAAGGUGGGCGCCAACUGUCGUGGGUAUAAGCCUGACAGUAGAUGUGUAGGUUACGAAUGAGAUGGGCAGAGUCCUAGCUACGGCGAGGUUGUAUGAGUUCGGUCCCCUCAGCGGUGGAGGUAACAGCCCUACGUCUUAGUGCUCUCGGAGCUUGCUGUCGAGUGGAAUAUGGAAUACAAUGAUUUGCUAACCCCUCUACCAGUGGGGGAGGGCGUCUUAUAUAGAGUGCGCUGCCCUCCACAACGAUUCCGAUACAGGGGUGGAGUAAUGGGGAUUGAAUGCGUACGUUACAGGUAACGUAUGCUCUAAAUGCUAAUAAAUGCACCCGGAAACGUAUGACAGUUUCCCUCCAGAGAGGUUACGAUGUACCGAGUGUAGCCAGUUGGUUAGCUUGGUAUCCUCCGAAUGCUAGUCUCCGACUGGAUGGUUGAGGACCUGUUACCAACUGGAUGAUGGGGACCCCUUAAUUCAGUCGGGACUGACUAGGGCCUUGUCCUUUGUGAGGGGUAGUCCUUGGGUAGGACCUAUAUGGCAGGCCUAUGACCCUACCCUAGGACUAUGACCCCAUCACCUAGUGUUGCUAUUAUCAAAGAUCUCUUAGCCGAAGACAUAGACGGGCAUGUUAUCAAAUUCUGUCAGGACUCCGCUAGAAUCGCUAAACCUCACACGAAAGACAAAUACGGACCUGUAGUUGGCCUGCCCGUUGUUUCUGUCAAGAUAGGUGAUCACUGUUAUCAUGGUUUAUGUGAUAUGGGUGCUAGUGUUGGUGCAAUACCCCGGUCCCUAUAUGAUGAAAUCAAAGAUGAGAUUGCACCUGCUGAGUUAGAACCCAUUGAUGUCACUAUUACGCUAGCUAAUAGAGACACUAUCUGCCCUGUGGGAAUUGUGAGAGAUGCAGAAGUCCUGUGUGGUAAGACGAAGUAUCCUACUGAUUUCCUCGUCCUUGCUACUGCACAAGAUAGCUUUUGUCCCAUCAUAUUUGGUAGACCCUUUCUCAACACUGCCAAUGCUCAUAUUGAUUGCAUUAAACACACUGUCACUGUUAGUUUCGAGGGUGUGUCUCAUGAAUUUAAUUUCUCCAAGUUUGGAAGACAACCCCAUGAAAAAGAGUCGUUUGGUAGGGAUGAAAUCAUUGCUCUUGCCUCUAUUAUCGUGCCUCCUACGGAUCCUUUAGAGCAAUAUCUGCUUCAGCAUGAAAAUGAUAUGCAUAUGGAUGAAAGAGAUGAGAUAGAUAAAAUUAUUUUAGAACAAUAUCCUAUUCUUAAGAAUAAUUUGCCUGUUGAACUGCUUGGGGAUCCUCCCCCACCAAAGGGUGAUCCUGUGUUUGAGCUUAAACAGUUACCAGAUACACUUAAGUAUGCCUAUCUUGAUGAGAAGGAGAUAUAUCAUGCUAUAAUUGGUGCUCACCUCUCGAAUCACGAAGAGAAGAAGUUAUUAAAAACUUUGAGGAAGCACCGUGCUGCUAUUGGAUAUACUCUUGAUGAUCUUAAGGGUAUUAGUCCCACUCUAUGUCAGCAUAAGAUUAAAACCGAUCCUGAUUCUAAGCCAGUCGCUGAUCAUCAACGAAGGUUAAACCCUAGGAUGAAAGAGGUCCUGAGAAAAGAAAUAUUAAAGCUUGUGGAAGCAGGAAUCAUUUAUCCUGAUGCUCAUAGUGAUUGGGUAAGUCCAGUACAUUGCGUACCUACGAAGGGAGGUAUCACCGUCGUUCCUAAUGAUAAGAAUGAACUAAUCCCACAGAGGAUUAUUACUGGCUAUAGGAUGGUGAUAGACUUCCGGAAACUGAACAAGGCAACCAGGAAAGACCAUUAUCCUUUGUCGUUUAUCGACCAAAUGCUAGAAAGGCUAUCUAAACGCACACACUUCCGCUUUCUAGACGGUUAUUCAGGUUUCUCGCAAAUACCUGUUGCACAAUCUGAUCAGGAUAAAACCACUUUCACCUGCCCCUUCGGUACCUUUGCUUAUAGACGUAUGCCUUUUGGCUUAUGCAAUGCACCUGCCACCUUUCAAAGAUGUAUGAUGGCUAUAUUCUCUGACUUUUGUGAAAAUAUUGUUGAGGUUUUCAUGGAUGAUUUCUCCGUUUACGGUUCUUCCUUUGACGAUUGCCUCAGCAACCUUGAUCGAGUCUUACAGAGAUGCAAAGAUACCAACCUCGUCUUGAACUGGGAGAAGUGCCACUUCAUGGUUAAUGAAGGCAUCGUCUUAGGACACAAAAUCUCUGAGAAAGGCAUUGAAGUUGAUAAUGCUAAGGUUGAUGCAAUUGAGAAAAUGCCUUGCCCCACAGAUAUCAGAGGUAUAUGAAGUUUCCUAGGUCAUGCUGGUUUCUACAGAAGGUUCAUUAAAUACUUCUCUAAGAUUUCUAGGCCUCUUACCAACCUCUUGCAGAAGGAUGUUCCUUUUGUUUUUGAUGAGGAUUGUGAGGAAGCUUUCGAAAUACUUAAGAAGGCCUUGAUAACCGCACCUAUUGUUCAACCACCUGAUUGGAACUUGCCCUUUGAAAUCAUGUGCGAUGCUAGUGAUUAUGUUGUUGGUGCUGUUCUAGGACAAAGAGUUGACAAGAAGUUGAAUGUCCUUCACUACGCUAGUAAAACUCUAGACAGUGCCCAAAGAAACUAUGCCUCUACGGAGAAGGAAUUUUUAGCAGUCGUGUUUGCAUGUGAAAAGUUCAGAUCUUAUAUAAUUGACUCCAAAGUCAUUAUUCACUCUGAUCAUGCUGCUAUUAAGUACCUUAUGGAGAAGAAGGACGCUAAGCCUAGGCUAAUCAGAUGGGUUCUCCUGCUACAGGAAUUUGAUUUGCACGUUGUUGACCGAAAGGGUGUUGAUAACCCUGUAGCAGAUAACUUGUCCAGGCUAGAGAAUGUCCUUGAUGACCCACGACCUAUUGAUGACAACUUUCCCGAUGAGCAACUGAAUGUCAUCUGCACUUCACAUAGUGCACCGUGGUAUGCUGAUUACGCAAACUAUAUCGUAGCCAAAUACAUACCACCCAGUUUCACCUACCAGCAAAAGAAGAAAUUGUUCUUUGAUUUGAGACACUACUAUUGGGAUGAUCCUCACCUUUAUAACUAAGGAGUAGAUGGUGUUAUUAGACGUUGUGUGCCUGAACAUGAACAGGGACAGAUCCUGCAAAAGUGUCAUUCGGAAGCAUACGGAGGACACCAUGCUGGAGAUAGAACUGCUCAUAAGGUAUUGCAAUCAGGUUUCUAUUGGCCCACUCUCUUCAAGGAUGCCCGUAAGUUUGUCUUGUCUUGUGACGAAUGCCAAAGAAUAGCGAACAUCAGUAAACGUCAGGAAAUACCUAUGAACUAUUUGCUUGUCAUUGAACCAUUUGAUGUCUGGGGCUUUGAUUAUAUGGGACCCUUUCCGAGUUCCAAUGGGUAUACUCACAUCUUAGUUGCUGUUGAUUACGUCACUAAGUGGGUAGAAGCUAUCCCCACUAGAAAUGAUGAUCACCACACCUCUAUUAAGAUGCUUAAAGAAGUCAUUUUCCCAAGAUUUGGAGUCCCUAGAUAUUUGAUGACUGAUGGCGGUUCACACUUCAUUCAUGGUGUUUUCCACAAGAUGCUCGCUAAGUAUGAUGUCAACCAUAGAGUUUCAUCUCCUUAUCAUCCUCACUCUAGUGGUCAAGUGGAGUUGAGUAAUAGGGAGAUCAAAUUGAUCUUACAAAAGACUGUCAAUAAAUCUCAAAAGAAUUGGUCUAGCAAACUUGACGAUGCACUAUGGGCUUAUAGGACUGCUUAUAAGAAUCCCAUGGGCAUGUCGCCGUAUAAAAUGGUUUACGGUAAGGCCUGUCAUUUACCUCUUGAGCUAGAACACAAAGCUUAUUGGUCAAUCAAAGAGCUCAACUUCGAUUUUAAACUUGCCGGUGAGAAGUGGUUGUUUGAUAUCAGCUCAUUAGAUGAAUGGAUAGCCCAUGCAUAUGAGAAUGCCAAGUUGUUCGAGGAAAAGCUUAAGAGAUGGCACGAUAAAAGAAUACAAAAAUGUGAGUUCAAUGUAGGUGAUUAUGUCCUGCUAUACAAUUCUCGCUUAAGAUUCUUCGCAGGCAAGCUUCUCUCUAAAUGGGAAGGUCCCUACGUUGUCGAGGAAGUAUAUCAUUCUGGUGCCAACAAAAUCAAUAACACGGAAGGUAAUUUUCCUAGAGUGGUAAAUGGGCAAAGAAUCAAGCAUUGUAUCUCUGGUACUCCCAUAAAUGUUGAGAGCAAUAUCAUCAAUAUCAUAACUCCAGAGGAGUACAUAAGGGAUGUUUAUCGGCCUGUUUCAGACUCUGAAAACAAAGAGGUAUGUCUUUCGAUAAGUAAUUGGACUCCAAAACUUUUCCAGUAGGAAAUUUUCUCCGUUUUGGAAUUUAUGGAAAAAUAGAAAAAUAAAAAGCAGUCCGGAGAGCGCACGAGGCGGCCACAAGCUUGGUAGCCGCGACCUCCCCCCUAGUCGCGGCUACACGGCUUGUGGGCACCUCGUGUCGCCCCCCCCCCCCGAGACUCCGUUUUCUUGCGGAGCACUCCUUCUGGUCCAGAAAAAAUCAUUAUAUAUACGCCCGAGGGUUUUGAUCUCCGUAUCGCGCAGUUUUCCUCUGUUUUCAUUUCGAGCCUGUUUCUGCCGCAGAUCUAGGUCAAGAUGUCUUCUCAGGAUUCAGAGGGGGAGAGCUAUGAGGCUGAUUACCUUGCUAACCCCAAGGUCUAUGGGGACUUGCAACGAUAUGGCUGGACCACUGAUGAGGAAGAGGACUAUGCUCCCUAGAGGAAGGAACAAACGAGUUCCGAUGAAGAGGAGGCUCCUCUACCUCAACCUGGACGCACUCAUGUGGAGUUCAAGAAGUCGAGCCUCCCUGACCCAAGGAAGAAGCCUAAGAACUUGUUUAUCCCUUCUCGUUUCUUGCAGGAGAUUAAGCAGGAACUUUGUCAAAGGGUUUUGAAGCUUGAGGAGGAAAAUGAUGAUCUGAGAGAGCAGAAUUUCAUGCUCAAGUGGAAAUUAGACAAGCUCAAGACCUCUGCAACAACUCCUCCGUCACCACCAAAGGAAGACAACUAAGCAUUGGUAUGGGAAACUCCCUUGGCUUGUGCCAAGCUUGGGGGAGUUUCCCUGGUAUUGUAUCACCUUUAUAUCUUUUGCUUUUACCUUUGUUUUAGUUCUUUCUUUUUCAGUUUUUACUUUCUUAUCUUAGUGGAAUAAUUCUUUAGUGUUUAGUUUGAGUCUUUUGCCUUGUGUCUCCCCCGAUGUAUUCGAGCUUGCGAGAUAUAUAAUAAAGAGUAUCUUAGUCAAGUGCUUUGUUUUGUGUCGUGAUCAAAAGUAUGAAAAGAACGAUAGCAUGAAAGAUCAUGAGAUGAUCUUAUGGAAAGUGAUAGCUUCACAUAUAACAAGUAUAAUGAUUGAAACUUGUUGAGAAUAGACCAACAUAGACCCCAGUCAUUGUUGCAAUUAAUAAGGAGUAAUAAGGAAAGAGAGGUUCACAUAUAAAUAUAUCAUCUUAGACACUUUCUAUAAUUGUGAGCACUCACCAAACUAUUACAUGCUUAGAAGUAGAUGUUGGACAAGGAAGACAACAUAAUGAAUUGUGUUUUCUUGGUUCCAAACAAUGUUAUAUGUCUAGAGAUCCCUUAGCAUGUGACGAUUGCUUCCACCUCAUAUUAGCCAAAACUUCCGUACUAAGUAGAAAUACUACUUGUGCAUCCAUAAACCUUCAACGCAGUUUUGCCAUGAGAGUCCACCAUACCUACCUAUGGAUUGCGUAAGAUCCUUCAAGUAAGUUGUCAUUGGUGCAAGCAAUAAAAAGUUGCUAUCUAAAGUAUGUAUGAUUUAUCAGUGUGUGGAAAAUAAGCUUUGUACGAACCUGUGAUGAGGAAGACAUAAAAGCGACAGACUGCAUAAACUUCUUUAUCACAGGGGGCAAUAUAAAGUGAUGUUCCUUUAUACUAAGAGGUCGUAUAUCCAAACCUUAAAAGUGCAUGACAACCUCUGCUUCCCUCUGCGAAGGGCCUAUCUUGUACCUUUACUUUUGUCCUUGUGAAAGUCAUGGUGAUCAACACCAAUUCCCUAUUCCGUCUUCAUCUUGGUGAACGUCAUAUGCUAGGGAAAGAUCUAUAUUCAUAUAUCAACUUGGAGAUGAGUACUUAUGCUUUAUUAUUGUUGACUUUACCCUUGAGGUAAAUGGUUGGGAGGCAAAAUUAUAAGCCCCUAUAUUUCUCUGUGUCCAACUGAAACUUUGAUACCAUGAGUACCACGUGAGUUAUAACAAUUGUGGAAAACAAAAGAGAUGAUUGAGUAUGUGGAAUUGCUUUACAAGCUCUUAUUUGACUCUUUCUUAUGUUAUGAUAAAUUGCAAUUGCUUCAAUGACUAUGGACUGUUGUUGGCUACUUCUAGGUAAGGUUUUUGAUUCAUACUUUGCUUUGUGAAGGAAUUGUUACUUUCCCAUAAGAAUCUUUAUGAUGUAUUGCUGUUCUAAGUGUGAUCAUGAUGCCCUCAUGUCUGUAUUAUGUUUUAUCGAUACCUUCAUCCCUAAACAUGUGGACAUGUUUGUGGAUCUUGGUUUUCGCUUGAGGACAAGCGAGGUCUAAGCUUGGGGGAGUUGAUACGUCCAUUUUGCAUCAUGUUUUCAUGUUGAUAUUUAUCGCUUUAUGGACUGUUAUUAUACAUUGUGGUACCAUACUUAUGCCUUUUCUCUCUUAUUUUGCAAGGUUUAUUGGAAGAGGGAGAAUACCCGCAACUGGAAUUCUGGAAUGGAAAAGGAGCAAGUCUGAGUCCUCUAUUCUGCACAACUCCAAAUGCCCUGAAAAUCAACAUGGAACUUUUUGGGAAUAUAUAAAAAACAUUGGGCGAAAGAAGUACCAGAGGGGAGCUGCCAGGGGCCCACAAGCCUGGUAGCCGCGGCCUGCCCCCCUGGCCAUGGCUACAGGGCUUGUGGGCACCCUGGUGGCCCACUGGCACCCCUCUUCUGCUAUAUGAAGGGUUUCGUCCGGAAAAAAAUCAAGGCGGAGCUUUUUCGAGGAGGCGCCGCCGGCAUGAGGCGGAACUUGAGCAGAACCAAUCUAGAGCUCUGGCAGGACGAUCCUGGCCGGGAAACUUCCCUCCCGGAGGGGGAAAUCAUUGCCAUCGUCAUCACCAACACUCCUCUUAUCGGAGGGGACUCGUCUCCAUCAACAUCUUCAUUAGCAUCAUCUCAUCUCCAAACCCUAGUUCAUCACUUGUAACCAAUCUCCGUCUCCCGGCUCCGAUUGGUACUUGUAAGGUUGCUAGUAGUGUUGAUUACUCUUUGUAGUUGAUGCUAGUUGGAUUACUUGGUGGAAGAGUUUAUGUUCAGAUCCUUGAUGCUACUCAUUACCUCUCUGGUCAUGAAUAUGAUUAUGCUUUGUGAGUAGUUACUUUUGUUCCUGAGGACAUGGGAUAAGUCAUGCUAAUAGUAGUCAAGUGAAUUUGGUAUUCGUUCGGUAAUUUGAUAUGUUGUAUGUUGUUUUUCCUCUAGUGGUGUUAUGCGAACGUCGACUACAUAACACUUCACCAUUAUUUGAGCUUAGAGGAAGGCAUUGGGGAGUAGUAAGUAGAUGAUGGGUUGCUAGAGUGACAGAAUCUUAAACCCCAGUCUAUGCGUUGCUUCGUAAGGGGCUGAUUUGGAUCCACUAGUUUAAUGUUAUGGUUAGACUUUGUCUUAAUUCUUCUUUCGCAAUUGCGGAUGCUUGCGAGAGGGGUUAAUCAUAAGUGGGAUGCUUGUCCAAGUAAGUUCAGUACCCAAGCGCCGGUCCACCCACAUGUCAAACUAUCAAAGUAACGAACGCGAAUCAUAUGAACAUGGUGAAAACUAGCAUGACAGAAAUUCCCUUGUGUCCUCGGGAGAGAUUUUCCUCCUAUAAGACUUUGUUCAGGCUUGUCCCUUGCUACAAAAGGGAUUGGGCCACUUUGCUGCACCGUUUCUACUACUUGUUACUUUUUACUUUUCACCUGCUACGUUUCACCUCACUACACCAUCAAUCGUUACCGCUACUUUCAGUCCUUGCAGUUAUUACCUUGCUGAAAACCGUUUAUCAGAGCCUUCUGCUCCUCGUUGGGUUCGACACUCUUACUUAUAGAAAGGACUACGAUUGAUACCCUAUACUUGUGGGUCAUCAACUAUCAUUUCCAUAAUUUAUACCCAUCAAUAUAAGCCAAAAAACUCUAGGAUAAGUAUAUAACAAAACUAUGACAUCAAUCUAUCCAAACAGAACAGUUUGUAGCAAUCAAUUUAACAAAGUGUACUUAGGUAACUCCCAAAAUUAUGAUAAUUUACUACAUGAAAAAAAAUUGUAUGAAAAUACUUUGUAAAAAAUUCAGAAUCUUUCCAUUUUUGAGUAAAAUAUGAUAAUUCAAAGACUACAUCAAAAGUUUCUGUUUUUGUAUAGCACACAUCACACAUGCAAUUCAAGUAUUCUAAAGGCAAUUAAUGGAACUUAUUAUUGAAAAAUAAGAUUAUAAACAGAAAAAAAAUUACUACCAAAAUAAAAUGACGCUCCAAGCAAAACACAUAUCAUGCGAUAAUAAAAUAUAGCUUCAAGUAAAAUAUAUCGAUAAUGUUGGAGACGAAAGAGGGGAUGCCAACCGGGGCAUCCCCAAGCUUAGAUGCUUGAGUAUUCCUUGGAUAUUACCUUGGGGUGCCUUGGGAAUCCCCAAGAUUAAGUUCUUGCUUCUCUUUAUUCUCCUCAUAUCGGUAUCUCACCCAAAACUUGAAAACUUCAAUCAGAGAAAACUUAACAAAACUUCAUGAGAGGGAUUAGUGUAAUAAAGAUAGUUUAUUCAUUUAGGUACUCCCAACACAAGAUUCAUAAUUGUUCCAACAUAAUACCUACUGUAUUAUAUCAUUACCAUAAUUUCUAUCGCUCAAUAUAAGCUCUGGAAACGCUAAAACAAGCAAAGUAUGCAUGCAAAACAGAAUUUGUCAUAAACAAAACAGUCUAUGAAGAUCUAAAUGAACAUCGUACUUCCCUGACUCUAAAUAUUAUGAAUCAUUAGGAAAACACAAAAAAUUCACAUACAAAACUGUGAAAAAAAUUAAGAAAUUUUUGAGCAUCCACUAAAGUCACGGAAAUUCCGCACUUCACGUAAAAUUUUCUGUUUUUGCACAUAAUCAAACGAACAAGUAUCCGCACUAUCCCAAAGGCUUUACUUGGCACCUUAUUGAAAUAAAAGACACAAAACAUGAUUACUAAAGUAGAUUAAUCAUGUGAACACACAGAAAUAUAAAGUGUAAACAUUGAGUUGUCUCCCAACAAGCGCUUACCUUUAAAGCCUUUUGGCUAGCCAUGAUGAUUUCAAUGACGAUCGCAUAAAAAUUAAUAAUUGAAACAUGAAAAAGAGCAUCAUGAAUCCCAUGAAAAGAACAUUUAAGUCUAAUCCAAUUCCUAUGCAUAGGGAUUUUGCGAGCAAACAAUUCAUGGGAUCAAUAAUCAACUAGCAUAAGAAGGCAAAACAAGCAUAACUUAAAGUUUUUCAACACAUAGAGAGGAAACUUGAUAUUAUUGCAAUUCCUACAAGCGCAUGUUCCUCCAUCAUAAUAAUUUUCAGUAACAUCAUGAAGGAAUACUACAAUAUAACUAUCAUAUAAAUAAUUAUCUUCAUGAUCCACAAACAUUGAAAAUUUAUCACUCUCCACAUAAGUAAAUUUCUUCUCAUUCAUAAUAGUGGGAGCAAACUCAACAAAAUAACUAUCAUGUGAUACUGCAGUUGCAUUAUCCAAUUGAAAAUUAAAAUCAUGAUGACAAUUUCAUGGUUAUUAUUACUUUUUAUAUCAUACAUGCCAUCACCAUAAUCAUAGUAGAUAGCAACUUUUUUUCAUAGUCAAUUGAAACUUCUUCCAAAAUAGUGGGCUCGUCACUCAAUAAAGCCAUGACCUCUACAAAUCCACUUUUAUCAUAAUGAAAAGAUUCAACACCCUCCAAAAUAGUGGGAUCAUUAGUUACUAGAGUUGACACUCUUCCAAACCUAGUUUCAUAAAUCUAAUCAUCAUAAAUAGGAGGCAUUCUAUUCUAUCAUCAUAAUAAAUUUGCUCAUUAAAACUUGGGGGGCUAAAAAUAUCAUCUUCAUCAAACAUAGCAUCCCCAAGAUUGUGGCUUUGCAUACAUUAGCAUCAUGGAUAUUUAGAGAAUACAUACUAACAAUAUUGUUAUCAUGCUCAUCAUUCAAGGAAUUCACAUUAAGCGUUUUUAUAAAUUCUUCCUCUAACAAUUCAACACAAUUUUCCAAACCAUCAUUUUCACGAAAGACAUUAAAAAGGCGAAGAAAUUGAGGCACACUAAAUUCCAUUUUUUGUAGUUUUGUUUUAUAAAAGUAGACUAGUUUAAAACAAGAAACUAAGAGAUUUAAUUGUAAGAUCUAAAUAUAUACCUUGAAGCACUCACCUCCCGAACAACGAUGCCAGAAAAGAGCUUGACAUCUAUUACGCAACUUUAUUCUUGUAGAUGUUGUUGGGCGUCCAAGUGCAGAGUUUUGUAGGGUUGUAGAAAAUUUCCCUCAAGUGGAUGACCUAAUGUUUAUCAAUCCAUGGGAGGUGUAGGAUGAAGAUUGUCUCUCUCAAACAACCCUGCAAUCAAAUACAAGAAAUCUCUUGUGUCCCCCAACACACCCAAUAAAAUGGUAAAUUCUAUAGGUGCACUAGUUCGGCGAGGAGAUGGUGAUACUAGUGUAGUAUGGAUAGUAGAAGUAGAAUUUUAUAAUCUGAAUAAAUAAAAAUAACAAGGUAACAAGUAGUAAAUAGUGAGAAAAAUAUUAUAUAAAUGCUUGGAAAUAAGGCCUAGGGUUCAUACUUUCACUAGUGCAAUAUAUCAACAACGCUAACAUAAUAGAAUCAUAUGGUCAUCGCUCAACUCGCAACAAAGAAUCACUCCAAGGUUCAUAUCUAGCGGAGAACAUAAGAUGAAAUUGUUGUAGGCAGCAAACCACCUCAAAGUUACCCUUUCCGAUCAAUCCAUUGGGCUAUUCCUAUAAGUGUCACAAACAUCCCUGGAGUUCGUACUAGAAUAAAACCUAUGAUCAAUGUUGAGGAUAUCGCUUAUUGUUAUCGUCUUGGUGAGUUGGCGAUUAGAGAUUAAUCAGGAAUUGGCCGAUUAUUAGAUUUUACCGGUCACUCAUAGUUGUGGUCUGCGUUGGGUUUUCAGUGAAGAGGAAUGGGUGAUCUAGCACAUUAUAGAGAAGUAUUUCCCUAAGUAGAGAACAAAGGUUUAUUAAACCAAUAGGAGUAACAACCAGCCCCCGUCUUCAGCGACUGCACACAAAGAAGCAAACACUUGCACCCAACGCGCGUAAGAGGGUUGUCAAUCCCGAUGGACUCAUUUUUUGCAAUCAAGCAAAGUGUGUAGAUGAAAGUGAAACCAAAGUAAAUAAAAAGUAAAUAAAGGCAGCAAGGUAAUUGUAGUGUUUUUAAACUUAUAAGUGAAUAGACCUGGGGGCGUAGUUUUCCCUAAUGGCAUCGCUCAUUUAGUAGGCAUACGGUGGGUAAAAAAUUUACUCUUGGGCAGUUGGUAGAAAAGCACAUGGUUAUGUGAUAUUCACGGCAAUGAUCAUGUAUAUAUAGGCAUCACAUUCAUAAUAAAAUAGGCAUGCAUCUAGAGUAUUAAGUAAAACAGAGUAAUCCUUGAGAACAAUGACAUGAUGUAGACAAAGAGAACUCAAUCAAUACGAAUGAAUUAACCCUUUCGUUUUAUCCUUAGUGGCAACAAUACAAAGAUGUGUCCUUUUCCCUUUCUGUUAUCGGGAUAUAGAGCUCCGCCAGAUUGAACCCACUACAACGCACCCCUCUCACUUAAAAAUAUCAAUCUAGUUAGCCAAACUAUUUCAAAAGAUCGGAGAGAUUUACAAAUCUAUAAUAAUCGUGCAAAUAAGAAUCAUAAUAGAAUUCAGAGAAGACUCAAAUAUUUAUCAUGAAUAAUCUAAACAUAAACCCACAAUUCAUUGGAUCCUAACAAAGGCACCACACAAAAUAAUUACAUCGGGUAGAUCAAAGCGAAGAUGUGAUGACCAUUGUAUUGAAGAUCAAGAGAGAGAUAAGCAUCUAGGUACUAACUACGGACCCGUAGGUUUGUGGUGAACUACUCACACAUCACCAUGGGAGCUGCAAGGUUGAUAUAGAGGUCCUUAGUUAUUGAACCCCCUCUCGCAGGACAUCGGAACAGGGCUCUAGAUGGUCACACGAUGGAACGAAGACUUGCGGCGGCGAGAAAAGUGUUUCUCGUGGCUCCCAUAGGGUUUGGGGGAAGUUUAGAAUUUUUAGGCCAAAGAGGGACGUGGGGGGCCACACGAGGGGGGAAAUAGACAUGAGGGCGUGGCCAGCCCCAUGGGCGUGCCCUAUAAUGUGUUCCCUCCCUCGUGCAUCGUAUAGUCUCCUUCCUAAGCUUCGAGGUCUUCUUUUGGUCCAGAAAAAAUCAUAAAAAAGUCUCAUGGUAAUUGGACUCUGCUUGGUACUAUAAACCUGAAAAAGUCAAAAAACAUGCAAAAAACAACAACUGCCACUGGGCACUGGAUUAAUAGGUUAGUGCUCAAAACUAAUAUUAGCCGGUAUAUAAACACCCUACAAGCAACCUAGAAUGAUAAUAUUAUAGCAUGGAACAAUCAAAAGUUAUAGAUACAUUGGAGAUGUAUCAGCAUCCCCAAGUUUAAUUCCUGCUUGUCCUCGAGUAGGUAAAUGAUAAAAACAGUUUUUUUUGAUGUGACAUGCUACCCAACAUGUAGUCUAUUGCAGGUUUGAUAAUUGAGAAACGAUGAGUUAAUAAAUAUUACAAUAGUAAUAUUCAUAAACAUAAGCAAUAUAAUCACCAAGUUUAAAAAUAUACGAUCCUUAAAUAAUGUUCACCCCCUAUUCAUUUUAUCAUAUAAGCAUAGCAUGGUUGUGUCUUGACCUCAUAAAUACAAAUGUUAAGCACCACAAUGUCAAGCCAGGCAAUUGGAUCAUACUCUUUAAUGCAUUCAACUUGUUAUUACUCACACAAUAUAUGAGUGUGAACCAUGUAUAUAUCAUAAAGGUGGAAUAGAAUAUGGUGAUAUCUUUUAAAGGGGUGAAAGUGGCAAAGAAAGUCUCGCAUCAACUAGGUGUAUCAACGGGCUAUGGAGAUUCCCAUCAAAAGAUAUCAAUGUGAGGACUAGGGAUUGCCAUGCAAUGGAUGCAUUAGAGCUACAAGUGUAUGAAAUCUCAACUGAAGUUAAGUGGGUGUGCAUCCAACUUGCUUGCUCAUGAAGACAUCGAGCAUUUUAGGAAGCCCUCAUUGGAAUAUACAAGCCAAGUUUUAUAAUGAAAAACUCCCACUAGCAUAUGGAAGUGACAAAACAAGAGACUCUAUGUAUGAAGAACAUGGUGCCACUUUGAGGCACAAGUGUGGAGAAAGAAGUAGUAGCAUUAUCCCUUCUCUCUUUUCUCUCAUUUCUUUCUUUCUUUUCUCUUUUUUUUACUUUUUCCCUUUUUUGUCCGGAGUCUCAUCCCGACUUGUGUGGGAAUCAUUGACUCCAUCAUCCUUUGCUCACCGAGACAGUGCCCUAAUAAUGAUGAUUAUCACUCUUUUAUUUACUUACAACACAACAUGAAAAACUGUAGUAUGACUCUAUAUGAAUGGCUUUGGUAGUUUACCAGGAUGUGCAAUGAUCAAGCAUAACAUGUAUAAAAAUGAUGAACGGUGGCUUGACACAAACACUAUGUCAACUUAAUUACAUGAUCAUGCAAAGCAAUAUGACAAUGGAAGUAUAAAUCAUAUGAUGUUAUGGUGGAAGUUGCAUGGCAAUAUAUCUUGAAUGUUUAUGGAAAUGCCAUGAUAGGUAGGUACGGUGGAUGUUUUGAGGAAGAUAUAAUGAUGUUUAUAUGAAAUAGAUCAUAUCAUGUCAUGGGUUUUGGGUGCACCGACGAAAGUAGCAUGGUCCUUGUGGUGAGAAUGGGCAAUGCACGGUACACAAGAGGCUAGCAAAUAUGUGGAGGUGAGAGUGCGUAUAUCCAUGGAUUCACAUUAGUCAUAAAAACUCACAUACGUAUUGCAAGAUUUUAUUAGCUCUCUCGAAGCAAAGAACUACUUGCAUACCCCUAGGGAGGAGGUUGGUAGGAGUUAACCAUCGCACGCCCCCGACAUAAACAACACUAGGAUUUCAACGAGGAAUAAGGAUGCUCACACAUCAUCACCAUUCCAUAAAAAAAUUGGAUGAACAACAAGUUAACAACCUGUAAUUCAUGAUACUUAUACUACCCAAUGAUCAUGCACUCAUGCUAUUUCACAUUACCAUAUUAAUAUCACUAAUCAUGAUUUCUCUUUUAUGUGCUACAUGUGGUUUUGAUUAUGCACUCAUUGAAUACCUAUUAUUUUUUGGACUAGUCUUAUAACCCAUGAAAAUUACCAUCGCUAUUUAUUAACUAUCAAACAAAUAUAAGUGAAUAAUGAUAAUGCAAUUAUUUAUUUAAAAUCUAUACACCACCAUGCUCUAAAAGAUAUAAGUGAAGCACUAGAGCAACUCCUAAGCUCAAAAGAUAUAAGUGAAGCACAUAGUAUUCUAAUAAAUCAUGGUGAUCUUGUGUAUCUCUCAAGUGGGUGUAUUCAAAGAACAAUAAUUGUGGAAAACUAAAACAAAAGAAAACUAAAGCAAACGAUGCUCCAAGAAAAACUCAUAUCAUGUGAUGAAUAAAAAUAUAGCUCCAAUUUACCUACCCAUGGAUUCACUCGAAAGAGGGGAUGCCUUCCGGGGCAUCCCCAAGCUUAGACCCUUGAGUAUUCCUAGAAUAUUACCUUGGGGUGCCUUGGGCAUCCCCAAGCUUAGGCUCUUGCCACUCCUUAUUCCUUCAUCCAUCGUCAUAACACCCAAUACUUGAGAAUUUCAGCACACAAAACUCAACAGAAACUUCGUGAGAUCCAUUAGUAUAAUAAACAUAUCAAAUACUUUAGGUACUGUUAUAAAUUGGUUCGUAUUUUAUUAUUGUAUAAGUACUGUAUUCUAAAUUCUCCAAGACUUAUACCCCCCCGAUACUGUCCAUGGCAUCAUCAAAACAAGCAAACUCUGGAAGCAAAAAUAGAAUCUGUCUAAAACAGAAGAGUUUGUAAUGAUAUAAUUAAGUACCAAACUUCUCGAACUCAAAAAACUUCUGAAAUAUAGGACGACAUGAGGAAUUUGUAUAACAAUACUAUGUAAAAAAAUCAGAUCAAAAGGGCGUUCCAGUAAAAUCAUAGAAAUUCUCUAGUGGACGUCAAAAUUUCUGGUUUUGCACUGCAUCAAUUCUACUAUCAUUCAAAUCAUCCCAAAUGCUUUAUUGGCAUAAACACUAAUUGAAACAUAAAAACACAAUCAUUAAAUAGGAAACAAUCAUGUUAUCAAACACAAACAUAAAAUUAAGAUAACUAUUAGGUUGCCUCCCAACUAGCGCUAUUGUUUUACGCCCCUAGCUAGGCAUGAUGGAUAUGAUUCAAGUAUUGUCAUCUUUGAAACUCCGCCCAUAAGUAUCAUUCAUGGUAGAUUCAUAAGGUGGUUUGAUUCUCUUUAUAGGGAAGUGUUCCAUCCCUUUUUUAUGGGAAUUAGAAUCGUAUGUUUCCCUCUUUUAUGUCAAUUAAUGCACCUAUAUUCGUAGAACAAUUCUCCCAAGUAUUGAUGGACAAGAUGGGUUGGAAUCAAUAUCAAGAACUAUAAAAUCUACAAGCACAUAAUUUCUAUUAGCAAUUAUGAGGAUAUCAUUUAUUCUUUCCAUAGGUUUCUUAAUAGUAGAAUCCACAAGAUGUAAAUUAAGGGAACACUCAUGAAUGUUAGUGAGACCAAGUACAUCACAUAAAGAUUUAGGUAUAGUUGAAACACUAUCACCUAGUUCACACAAGGCUUUGCAUUCGCAUUCUUUGAUUUCAAUUUUAGUAGUAGCUUCCCACUAAUCAUGCGAAUUUCUAGGAAUAGAGACUUCUAACUCAAGUUUUUCAUCAUAGGCUUUUACCAUAGCUUCUCCUAUAUGUUGAGUAAAAGCUUUAUUUUGUUCAUAAGCAUUGAGUGAGUUAAUGAUGGAUUGCAGCAAGGAAAUAUAUUCUACUAAACAACAAUUAUCAUAAUUAAAAUCCGUGUUAUCCAAGAUAGUGGUUACAUCGCUAGUUAAAGUUUUAACCUCCCCAAACCCACUUUUUCAGUUUUAUCACUAUAGUCAUCACCCUCCAAGCAAUUGGAACACUCUCUAGCUAGAGUUAACUCAUCUCCAGUCCCUUUAUCGUUCAAUUUCAGAUUAGUAAACAAUGAUUCAAUAGGAAAAGUACCAAGCAGUUCAAGAUCUUCAUCAUGAUUACUAAUGGAGAGAAUUACGGGUUAGCAGCCAUCCUAUUCACUAGAGUGGUUUGUUUAUCUAAAAUCUUCCGUAUUAAUACUUCAGUUUGAGAAAAUUGUAGUUGAAGAUUACAUACUUAUUGAUUGACUUCAUCAAGUUGUUUACUAAUUGCAUCAAGUAUAGUUGAGUGUUACUUAAUUUUCAGCAAAAAAUUAAUUGUGCUCAUAUUAUGGGAUCAUGAAAGUUUUCAUGGAGUUUUCAAUUCAGACCUCUUUUGGUAGUAGAAAAUUUUAUAGAAUCUAUCUUGUGACAUGGUGACCGAGCAAGCAAAGUAACAAGCAGGACAAGUAAACUAGCGAGCAAAGAAGUAAACUAGUGACUAGCAAAAAUACAUAUCUUUGUAUUUUUUUUAUUUUUAUGAAGCAAGCUAAAUAUAACAACAAAUAAAAAGAAUAACAAGUGAAUGAUAAUUUAUGCAAAGUUACUUGACAGUAGGUUGGUGGUACUCCUCGGCUACAGCGCCGUAAAUCCUUCCUCAUACUUGUGAUCUGCUUUGGCUUUUCUGUGAAGAGGAACAAGUGAUGCAACACAGUAUACAUACGUAUUUCCCACGGUAGAGAACCAAGGUUUAUGGAACCAAUAGGAGUAACAACCAGCCCCGGUCUUCAGCGACUGCACAAAGAGAAGCAAACACUUGCUCCCAAUGCGGGCAAGAGGGUUGUCAAUCCUGUUGGACUCGUUUUUUGCAAGCAAGUAAAGUGUUUAUAUGAAGGUUGAUAAAUUCAAAGGAAAUAGAAAGUAAAUAAAGGUAGCGAGGUAAUUGUAGUGUUUGUGAAAUUAUAAGUGAAUAGACCCGGGGGUCGUAGUUUGCCCUAAUGGAAUCUCUCAUGUAGAAGGCAUAGGUGGGUAAACAAAUUAUUGUUGGGCAAUUGAUAGAAAAGUGCAUAGUUAUGUGAUAUUCACGACAAUAAUCAAAUAUAUAUAUAGGCAUCACGUCCAUAAGCAAAUAGGUUGAUUCCUGUCUGCACCUAUUACUAUUACUCCACCCGUCGACCGCUAUCCAGCAUGCAUCUAGAGUAUUAAGUAAAUGGAGAACAAUGAGAUGAUGUAGACAAAGAGAACUCAAUCAAUAUGAAUUAACCCCAUCGUUUUAUCCUUAGUGGCAAAAAUACAAAGACAUGUCCUUGUUACUUUCCGUCAUUGGGAUAUAAAACCCCGCCAAAUUGAACCCACCACAACCCACCCCUCUCACUGAAGAAAUAUCAACUUAGUUGGCCAAACUAUUUCAAUAGAUUGAAGAGAUUUGCGAAGCUAUAACAAUCAUGCAAAUAAGACUUAUAAUAGAAUUCAGAGAAGACCCAAAUUUUUAUCAUGAAUAAUCUGAACAUAAACCCACAAUUCAUCGGAUCCCGACAAACGCACCUCACAAAAGUAUUACAUCGGAUAGAUCAAAACGAAGAUGCGGUGAUUAUUGUAUUGAAGAUCGAGAGAGAGAGAGAGGGAGAGAGAGAGAUAGCCAUCUAAGUAUUAAAUACGGACCCGUAGGUAUGUGGUAAACUACUCACACAUCACCAUGGGAGCAACAAGCUUGAUGUAGAGGUCCUCGCAAUCUGUCCCCCCUCCAGCAGGGCAACGGAACAGGGCUCCCCAUCAGCACACGACGGAACAAAGAUUUGCGGCGGCGGAAAAAGUGUUUCUGAUGGCUACCAUAGGGUUUUGGAAUAUUUUAGAAUUUAUAGGCUAGAGAGGAACGUCGGGAGCCACACGAGGGGGCAUGACAUAUCAGAGUUCGGCCACCCCCUGGGCGUGCAAUGUUGUGUGCUCCCUCCCUCGUGCAACGUCUGGUCUCCUCCAAAAGCUUUCAGGUAUGAUAAAAAAGUUUCGUGGCAAUUGGACUCCGUUUGGUACUGUAAACUAACAAGCCAAAAACAUGUAGAAAAUCACAACUCGCACUUGGCACUGGGUUAAUAGGUUAGUGCUCAAAAGUAAUAUUAAUUGGUAUAUAAACACCCUAAAAGCAUCCUAGAAUGGUAAUAUUAUAAAAUGGAACAAUACAUAAUUAUAGAUACAUUGGAGAGCUAUCAGUCACAUAUUAAUCGAUCAUUUUUUGCAAAUCCUUGGUUCCCAAUACUAAAUUUUGCUAUAUUCAAACACCAAAACAAUAUUGGAGUGAAGUUUUACCUUGAUUCCUAAUGUUUGAAUUCUCGUAUAAUGAUAACCAAAAUAAGACAACAAUACAUAUUGCAUAACAACGCCAACAAAACACAAAUAAACAUAAUUUUUGCAAACAUAGUGAUAUGAAUAGGCCCAAUCUAUCGUAGGUUCCAGAUAAAUCGCUUGCGAGAGUGAUAAAUCUGCCCAAACAAUAAAUGGUGAAGAUAAGGCACAAUCUUAUCGGUCACCCCCUCAGUAGCGAUAAAUCAAACAAUUAAUCGCUGAAUCUGACGUUUUUUUGAACAAUGCCUAGGAUACACGUCAAUCAACCCUAAUGCCACCUAGAUACUCCAAUGUCACCUCAAGUAUGCGUAGAUUAAUUAUUUGACAUGCAUCAAGCAAUUUCAGGUUUAUCAUAUGCAAUCCAACAGAAAGAACUUCAAAGAGUAUCCCAAGAUUUCUAUCAGAGAAAGUAGGACAAGAACGUGUAUCAACCCCUAUGCAUAGAUUACAGCAUUGUCACCACGGAAAUCUGCAAGUUGAGUACAAAGAUAUACAUCAAGUGAUCUCAAAUCCAAUAUUCAAUCCAACAUAACAAAAUCUCAAGGGGAAAGAUUCAAUUCAUCACAUCAAGAUAGCAAGGGAAGAACACCAUAUGAGCCAACAAUAUUAACAAAGCUCAUGAUACAUCAAGAUCAUACCAUCUCAAAAAUCUCAGAGAGGGAGAUCAAACACAUAGCUACUGGUACAUACCCUCAGCUCCGAGGGUGAACUACUCCCUCCGCGGCAUGGACACCGUCGGGAUGAUGAGGAUGGCAACCGGUGAUGAUUUACCCCUCCGGCAAGGUACGAGAAAGACUCCCGAUGGGUUUUUCUUUGAUAUAGAGAGUUGCAGCGGCGGAGCGGAAGUUCUAGGUUAACCUUCGAGGGUUUCUGGAUUUAUAGGAAUUUUUAGCGUUAGAAUCACGUCGGCCGGAAUCACGUGGGUGCCACAAGCUAACAGGGCGCGCGUGGGGGAGGGGCGGUUGGCGCGCCCUGUUGGCUUGUGGCCCACAGGUGGCCCCCCUCCCGUGGUUCUUCGCUCCGGUAUUUCUCAUAUUUGCUAGAACAGAUCGUCAAAAAGUUCCGGACGAUUCCAAGAACUUUUAUUUUCUGCACAAAAAACAACACCACGAUAAUUCUACUGAAAACAAUGUCAGUCCGGGUUAGUUCUAAUUAAAUCAUAUAAAGUGCAUCACAAUCAUAUAAAAGUAUUGUAAACAUAGGCAAAUAUGGCAUGGAUACUUCAAAAUUAUCGAUACGUUGGGGACGUAUCAUCGGCAUUCUUCCUCUCUCUGAAGAAAAUUGUUUACCCAUGUUUAAUAUUUUGCUAGAUGAGCAAGAUUUACCGGAGAAAAUUGUGUUCCAACUGCCGACGGACAAAUACAACAGAAUAAACUACCAUGUGUCAAGGAAUUCCUAGAAAAAAACAUGUAAGUGUGUCAUACAUUCAGUUUUCUUCCUAAUUCUUGACACUUACGAAGUAAGGUCAGUUUAUUGUUCAUGUAGCUUCGACAUCUAAAGUAAUUCAGAUUUCUAUUACAAAUUGUUGCAGGGUAUGAACAACUUGGACUAACUGUAAGUUGUAGCAUGGGAGUUCAUUAUGGCAAGUCAAAGGAGAACUUGAAGUAAUGCAUCUUCGAAAUAAUAGGAGUUAUCUUUCAGAAACUCCUCUUCUUCUAGCUUUGUCAAUUAUAUAUUCGCUUUUCUUCCUAAAUUUUAUAAAUCCUAAUUAGUCAUGCUCAAUUAAGUUCUGCUCAUGUAGCUUUGACACUUGAAUUAAUUCAGUUUUUUGUUUCAAAUUGUUGUUCGGUCUGGACAAGUUGGAGUAAUUGGAACUGUAGCAUGGGAGUUCAUCAUGGCAAAGUAAAAGAAGAACUUAAAGUAAUUCAUCACUACGCAGUAACAUGAAUAUCGGGUCACAAGUUGAAAAGUAGAAAAAAAUUGAGAAGUUAGCACACAUUGGUCUAUCUAUAUAUUUUUCUUAAGAUUGAAGUUAGUGAGUGAAUGUUUACUAUCCAGUAAUUGUCAUUUCAAGUGACUAGUUGGAAACUGUCCAAUAGUUCAUUAUAAUUUGUGCUGAGUGAAUGAUUACUAUCCAAUAGAAAUACUUAGUAUCCGGCUUUUUUCUCUACCUCUUUUAUUAAAGAAUUUAAUACAUUUUGUUGUUGAGAACAACAUUUUUUUAUGACUAUGUACAUUUCAAUGAGGUGUAUGAUAAAAAAAUAAGAAAAAUCAAUUUAAUAUGCACAAAUUACUGAGGAAUAUGUUCAUUUUUCAAAUGAGAAAGAAGAAAAUGUGCUACUAGUUGAAUGUAUCCAAAGGAAAGAAGAAGGCAAAGAAAGAACAAAAAGUGAAACACCAACGAGAAGAAAAGAAAAAGGAAGCAACGGAGGAGUGAGACAAGUCAGAAUUUUUGAAUCAGUCCACUCGCGCGGACGCCAGCUGGACCGGCCUAGUCGCGCCCUCUCUUAAGGGAGAGUCCCCUCUGGUCUCGCGUAAGGCGAGACAUAGGGCCCCCUCUAGAUACGUCAUUCUUAUAAAUUUGCACAAAUAAUGGAUGCAAGAAUUUCCAUUGAUAUUUUAUCUUUGUUUUGACCUGAUUUAUAUGGCAGUUUGCGGCAAAAAAACACCUAGCACCCGCAGUUGCACCGGUGAAUAACCAGUUUUAAAAACUACUCCCUCCGUCCGAAAAAAGUUGUCCAAUGCUUAGUUCAUUUUAAAUUUUGCAAAUACACCCUUUUCGUUUUAAAUCUCGUGCUAAUCCCCCCUCCUCUGCUUCUUCUUCCUUCACCCGUGGCUGGACCAAGUGGCCAUCUUCGCCACCGUCGGCAGCCGCCGUAGAUGUAGCGGGCGGCCGCCACCCACCCGCGCCGCUGCCCACCUGCGCCGCCCUCAAGCUGUCCUCCCACCUGCUGCAGCGAAUCUGGCCUUCCAAGCCCGACGCCGUUCUCGCCUUCCUCGCCGGCCUCGGCCUCUCCGGCGUUGACGUCGCUGCCCUCGUCUCCAAGGACCCACAGUUCCUCUGCGCCGGCGUGGAGAGCAACCUGCGCCCCGCCGCCGUCCGGUUCACCAGCCUCGACCUCUCGCGUUCUGAGCUCGCGCGCCUCGUCUCCAUCUGCCUUGCCGCACGGAGGCGAGCCGCGGGUCCGCGAGCUGUCGGGGUUCGAGUCCCGCGUCCAGCUAUGCGUGGUACGUCACUGCAUUUCCACUAUGGAGAGAUCAAUUUGUUCUGUGAGUGUCCACUAUACACAAGUGCGCAUAUCAGUAUGUGGUGAAUUUGGUAACUGGGAUUGGGAACGCCGACUGGGGAGACAAUAGCUGUAUUUGUGCUACUCAUAUCCUCUGAAUUGCACUUGGUCCAUUGUGGAUCCGCAGUACUUUGCUGAAACCAUUGUUUCAUGUGACAUGGAGGGACUCAUAUCCCCUUCUCAAUAAACUGAAGCUGUUUUCUGCCAGUUUUACCCAGGGUGUGUUCACCAUGUUUGCAAGGUAGUUAGUGAGCUAGUGCCUGAACUAUUAAACACAUCCGAGCUUUGUUAUGGUUUAUACUUCCUUGUGUACCAGCUUGAAUUUAGUGAUGCCAUCUGUAGGAUAACAUGCUAUGAAUCAAUAAGGAAGUUAUUGUCAUGUCUACUGGAAAGGAAAAUUGGUCAUCAUAUUAUGCAACUAUGUUUAGCUCAGAUUGAACCUUCUCAAGAACUGAAAGUUGACACAAUAUUCCAACACUUCCCAGAUAACUGAAGAAAACUGAAUUUUAAGGUUUAUUUCAGACUUGUCUCUUGCUAAAAUGUUGCAGGUCACAUAGCUCUUUCUACAAUCAUUUUUUAGUCCACUAUUAGAGAACACUGAAGGAAACUGUUCAGGGCGACGAGGAACAAUUAUCUGUUUUGAGUACUGUAGAAAACUUGUGCAGUACUCAGAACAUGUGCUCUUGUAACAAUCAGUUCUCUGUUUUGGUUGCACAUAGUAACUGUUUUGUGUAAUGAAAAAAACUGCAUUGCUGCUUGUGAUGGCUUGUGAUGAUUAUUAAUUCUUGCUGUUGAUAUCCACUACAAUAUCCUUGAAGUUUAAAAGGACCCUGUGUUUUUAGGAAAUGCAUGAAGUUCAACAAUGCACCCUGGAUAUUUAAAACCUUUGUUAACUGAGAAUACUUAAAAUGGUGCUAUGGCAGCCUCUUUGCCCUGUUUCAAUUAUUUGUCUCUAUCAUUUGUAUAUUGGGAAGAAUGCUUCAUUUGUUUACAUUAUGGUGCUAACCGGAUUCAUCUAUCAAUGAUUAUAGAUAGAAGCAGAGGAACGACUAUGGAUUUGAACUUGAUGGCUGAAGAGGAGGAAGGAGCUCGAGAGGGUCAUGCUAUGGAUUUGAACUUGAUGGCUGAAGAGGAGGAAGGAUCUCAAGAGGGUCAUGCUAUGGAUUUGAACUUGAUGGCUGAAGAGGAGGAAGGAGCUCGAGAGGGUCAUGCUAUGGAUUUGAACUUGAUGGCUGAAGAGGAGGAAGGAGCUCGAGACGGUCAUGGUAUGGAUUUGAACUUGAUGGCUGAAGAGGAGGAAGAAGCUCAAUAUGGUCAUGCUAUUGAUUUGAACUUGAUGGCUGAAGAGGAUGAAGGAGCUCGACAUGGUCAUGCUAUGGAUACGAACUUAAUGGCUGAAGAGGAGGAACAAGCUCGAGAGGAAGAAGCUGAUGCACAAGGUAAUGCAAAAAAGAAGGAGCUAACAGACAAUGAGAGGUUUGGUGUUUACUUUGCUCUGCGAGUAAUCGAGCUCAGAGAUGGGAAGGUUCAUCCAUAUGAUAAGGUGCUCAUCGCAACGCUGAUGAAUGUAUGCGUACGAACAGUUUCAAGAAUAUGGAAUCUAGCGAAAGAACAACUUGACUUAGGCCAAGAAGUGAACGUUUCAAGCAAGAAGAAGGGGAAUGUUGGUAGAAAGAGAAAAGAGCUAGACUUGGCGAGAACAGCUACGGUCCCACUGAACAGAAGAAGGACAAUCAGAUCUCUUGCAAGGUGUUUGGGUGUUCCCCGCUCGACGCUACAUGAUAGGUUUCAGUUAAAAGAGCUGAAACGCAUCACUAACACUGUCAAGCCCUUCCUCAAGCGAGCUAACAAGAUAGCGAGACUGAAAUUUUGCAUAUCCAUGAUGGAUGAGCACUCGAUAUCAACCCCCUAUCCUAGCUUCAAAUCAAUGAAUAAUAUGGUUCAUAUAGACGAGAAAUGGUAUGACAUGACGAGGGUUAAGAACACUUACUAUGUACUGCCCGGAGAACCUGAACCUGAGCGCACUGUCUCAAACACUAACAGUAUUGGGAAGGUCAUGUUCUUGACCGCCGUGGCAAAGCCCCGGUACAAUGAUGAAGGAGAGAUGACAUUUGAUGGAAAGAUUGGGACUUGGGCGUUUGUUGUUGAGACAGAGGCACAACGGAACAGUCAAAAUAGAGAUAGAGGAACGAUUGAGGUGAAAUCAGUGAAGGUAACCAGACAUGUAUGCAGAGAGUACCUGAUCAAUAAAGUAAUCCCGGCAAUCCAAGACAAGUGGCCCGACGAUGACGAGGGCACCACAAUCUUCAUUCAACAAGACAAUGCAAAGCCUCAUGUUCUUCCUAACGAUCCAGGUUUUCGAGAAGCAGUGGAGCAAACAGAUUUGGACAUUCGAUUGUUACAACAACCUCCAAACAGCCCCGAGUUCAAUGUUUUAGACCUGUGCUUCCACCGAUCUCUCCAAUCCCUAACCGACUACAGAGCGCCUAUGAAUAUCCGGGAACUGAUACAGGGUGUAGAGGAGGAGUUUGAGAACUAUGAGGCUCAUAUUUGAAUUAUUUGGUUUUUUAUGAAUUUAUUUGGAUUUUUUGGAUUUUAUGAAUUUAUUUGGAUUUAUUUGAAUUAUUUGGAUUUUUAUGAAUUUAUUUGAAUUUAUUUAAAUUAUUUAAAUUAAUUUGACAAUAAAAUCUUAUGACAAGAUAUAAAGACAAAAACUCUAGUUGAGAGAAAUAAUAUCUUUAUUAAGAGUCAUUACAAGAUGUACAAGGUCAUUACAAGGAGUUGGAAGAAGAGAAAUAAUAUCUUCAUAAGGGUCAUUACAAGUUGUAUAAGAUCAUUAGAAUAAAUUCUUCUCCUUCUUCUUCUUCUUCAUAUUUUUCUUCUUCUUCUUCUUCUUCUUCUUCUUCAAUACACAUGAUAGUUUCCUAUUCUCCAAAUAAUUCUGCAGUACACAAACAAAACGUUAUCUUUUCAACCAUUUCAGAAACUCCAAGUUGUCAAGUGGCCGUCCUUUAACAAGUUUGUUGACCUCAAUAUUCUGCAGAAAGCAUCCACCCACUAAUUAGCAUAAUAAAGAACAUUUUAUGCUACAGAUUACCUAUAUUCAUAAAGAGUAGAAGCUCUAGAAGAGAGAAGAAGCACCCUUAGCUCGGUUUACUAAAACACAGGCUCUAAAAAUGGGCAAAACAUUCAGAAAGCACAACUCCUUUUCUUGUGCUUGAAAACACAAUGUCUACUGUGAAGGAAACAUAAAAACGUCUCCUCAACAGGAGAUGAAAGACAAGCAGGCCUGGGAUAGAAACUAAAACUAGCCUUUUUGUUCAGAUCUGCUUCAGACCACCACAUAUUCUCCUGAUUGCCUGAGCUUCAGAGGAGGUGCAGCAAUGGCUUGUGGUGACCAACAUGCAGAGAGGAUAGAGACGGGGCUGCUCAGUGUGCAUUUGUCCCUAGGGGCCUUUUCUUGCUCGGGAGUGGUAGCAGUCGUCGUCAUCAGAUACCUUGAGAUUAGGGAUCCCUUCAUUUGAAACCUGCUUCAGCAUCAGCCACUUAGGAUCAUGGGGGGCAGCUGGGUGUAUCUUGUCAGCUCCUCCAAGAAGCCCAACAUCUUCAGCUUGCCAUGUUCUGGUGUCAGUAUCUCCCAGGAUUUGAGAGUCCUGAGGAUCACUCUCCAGACCUGCUCAGCAUAUAUCCAAGUGUUGUUGUUAAAGAUCAUAGAGUUCUUAUACAUCCACCCACUAAUUAGCACAAUAAAGUAAGCAAAGCAACAUAAUUCAGCAUUCCAUUUAAAGAGUAGCCACAUUUGUUUGGGUCUAGAACAUAAGCCUAAGAAUCCAGCAUCUAUGAACGUCGCGCAGUGCUCGAUAUAUCGAACCAAUUGCUGCAAUCAGGUAGGAGGAGAAAUAGCACACUGCCGGCGUCCUCACUGUACGCCGUGGCGGCGGCGGCGGAGACCGAAGAGGAGGAGGAGGAGGAGCCGCAGCGCGCGGCGACGAACGACACCCCUCCGAGCGCUCGCCGCGGCCGCGGACCUCAUCUCACCGUUGCAGCACGGACGCGGUCGCAGCCGCCGCGGGCCUCAUCUCGCCGCCGACGGUGGUGGGUGUGCGGGCGGGCGGGCGAGCGGCGCAGGAUGGCUGCUGAGGGGGCUGUGGACGGACUCCGCGGCGACACGAGGCUUCGAUUGGGCCAAACAAACAAAGCUGUCCCGAUCCAAACAAACAAAACUUACCGGAGACUCGCCGGAGCUGGAGUAUGCACGGGCAGUGCCGCCGCCGGAGCCGGCAAAUCGCGAGCUUGGAAGAAAAGGGUCUCCUUCCAUCUUGAGAUCCUGAUGAGGAAGAAGAGAAGAGGUCGACGGUUGGCGGGGCGAUAGAGACAGCGGCGAGACGAGCGGGAGAAGGCGGUCGGCGGUCGGCGGUCGGCGAUAGAGACGGCGGCGAGACGAGGCCCGGAGCUUAGGAGGCGGCGCGGCGCGGUGGCACCAGGAGUUGCAGCGCGGCGCGGUGGAGGAAGAUGGAGGGGAGCGCGCGUUCGGUCGGGCAAACAUGAAGGGGUUUUUUGAAAAAAUGCCUCGGUGACAUCUUUUUUCGGACGGAGGGAGUAGUAGUUCGUUUAUCUUUUUAUAAAAGCUUAUUUCCACGUGGUGAUGCCCAGCCCUGUCUUUACCAUGACACCAAACGAGCUCUAUGGAGUUACGAUGUCGCCAAAAUGAGCUCAUCCUGUCAACGUUCCGCGCGCGAGUCGCCCCACAAGGUGCCAGGUCACUCUGCAAACCUUGUUAAAACAUCAGACGCACGCACACGAGGUUCUCGGGCCAGGAACGGAGCUCCGACGCAAGGGCAAGGCUUCGCCAUGGCUAGCUACGUUCCUCGCAUCUGGCUCCCACGGACGUUCGUGGAGCAGCAGGCGCACAAGUUCAUAUCUCGGGCUUCGAAUUUCUACACGAGAAUCACAGGGUACACACACAUACUGUACUCCUAUAUUCUUCUAUCGAAUGCUCCUUUUCUGUUCCUACAUGUGGUAGAGUAAUUUCGUAGAGAACUGGUAGUGGUAUCUAGGAUGGCUGUCCCGCUGCAUGGACUAAUCUCAGAGAUUUUCCUCCGCCCAGAUAGCCGCCCCGUGAUUGACCACUUCCCCGACAGUGCCUGAAAUUCUGACUUCGAGCUGAGAGCAGAUACUUGACCACUUCCACUUCCCCAUGAUUAAUUUGUCAGUCUUGCUAUUUGAAUGUGCAUGUUGAUCUCAUGUAGUAGUCCAACCGCGAUACGAUACAUUACAUGUAUCGGCCCGAGAAACAUAUAUUAAUACUGAAACCGGUACCAUUUCAAAAUUACCUCAUGAGAAUCUAAAAACUAACUACUCCCUCAGUCCCGAUGUAUAAGUCAUUUGUGUAGUUCUAGGUCAUCGAUUUAAGGAAUUAAAUAUAUGUUAUAUGUUAUAAAAAGUAUAUCACUAGAUUUCUACACGGAUGUAGUUUCUAAAUAUAUGUUUUUUUGUCACAUAUGAUACAUAUUUACAUAGUUAAAUUGUCGACCUAAAACUACGCGAACGACUUAUACACCGGAACGGAGGUAGUAGUAUGAUGCAAAUAUUGAUUCCUGAACUAUUGAAAAAACCCUGAAACUGGAGAUAGAAAAUAGGAGAGAAAACUUAGACAGGAAAAGGCAAAGAAGAAAAAUCAAAAGGAUAAAUUAGCGUACUACACUCGGUCGAGGGGAACAAACGAUUACAAGCAGUUCAAAGUCUGAGGAACAGUUACGAGCCAACUUUGGAAGCUCAAUGUUGGGCCAAAAGUGUGAGUUUUCUAAUGGAGGGUCCUUUGUGGAAUUCUAUCCAAUGAGACGACAUUGAAGCAUCGACGCAUCAAAGAGCUAUGCAGGUGUAAUAUUUGGAUUAAUUUUACCGUUCUGACCUAUAGCUGAAACAUAAUCAAGAAUUAACCUUGUUUUGAAUAAAAUCUCGAAUCUAAUCUUUUUUGGUCACAUCAAUAUUCGUGACGUCGAGCUUACACGGGAGACGCUAGGAACCAUGACGUCCAGUUUGCACUAGACGACAAGGAACAUCCUUGGAAUUCAGCUUACACGAGACACGCGAGGGACCAUGGCGUCCGCUUUACACAAGACGCUAGAGAACAUCUCUGACGCCUAGCUUACACAGGAGACGUUAGGAACCAUGGUGUCCCAUUUACACGAGAUGCAGGGAUGUUCCCUCGCGUCCAGCUUACAUGGGAGACGUGAGGGACCAUAUGCCAAGGUUCAUGACGUUUGGUGUGUAACCUGGGGGCUAGGAAUGUUGGCAUCACAAAAGAAGUCAGAUUUAAGAUUAAAAAAACAUAUCAUUUCAUGAAUUUGUUUCAACAAAAGGUCAGAACAAUAAAGUUGUCCCAAUAUUUGCCUCGCAAUGGAGCAGAACUUCAUACAUGCACUAGUGUCAUGUGAACAUGCUAGCGAUUCUGGACUGGAUCAAAAUCUUCAUUCAAUUUGAAGUUGCCAAGGCUGCAUCUUGUUACUUGGGCCAUGGGAAUUUAUUGUGACUUAAUGGUAUCAAAGGAAGAUACAUGACACACUACUAUUUUUGCGAGCUAUUUGGUGUUCUAGGAAUCAUUGGACCCAUAACGAGGAGGCCUUCGAUCCAACAGUGACAAUGAAAUGACAUUGCUCCGAAACAGUGUUGGGGGCCGCCCGAUUUAGGUUGUGUGAAGAUUAAUACUGAUGGAGACAUAGGAGUUGAUGAGCAUAAGGAGGAGGUGAAGGGGUAGCUCAUUCACACAUUUUCUAUCUCCGUACUUGGUUUAAGCCUUGUAGCAGGGUAACAUAUCUUCUUAUGCAGAAGCGGUAGCUCUUCGGGAUGGAGUUAUGUUUGCCAAGGUAGUAUAAAUACGUACUCUCUUGAAGUGGCCAGCCUCUGGAAUACUUGCCAAAGUUCUUGGUCAAUUGUGUCUACUAUAUUCUUAAAAACUGGGGAGUUUACUUUUGGUUUUUCUUCAUAUGUUAUUCAAAAUGUUCAUAGGACCCCAAAUAAGUCAGGUCAUCUUUUGUGCUAAGCAUGGAUGCUUGCACUAACCAAUAGGAUGUUGUAUGCAAUGAUCCUCGUGCAAGUUGCUCAAAUUUUAUCCUCCCAUUUAAAUAGCGAAGGACUAACUUGUAGACUUUGUUCUUCAUGGUCAUUAUUAUCAACUUUUUACAUUUCUUUGUCCAGUCCCUGCUCUUAUCCUUCUACUUGAUGACGAUAUUCAUUAUGUUUCUCUUCACGGUUUCUCGGGACAACGCAACAUAGAGCUGAAUAAGAGAACACUAGAUCAAGUACAUACAUGCCACAAUCGGGAUGGUUUGCCUUUGCACCCUAGUGAUCAUCAUGGCAAAGCUAAACCUAAUCGGAAGCUGUUUCCUCUUGAAUAUGAAGGAGAACAUGUUGUCCUUGCAGGUCAGAAAAGUGUCCAAGGAAGGACACCCUCUUACCGAUGUGCUAUCCUAGCGCGACUUAUGUGUGGAUGCAUUUGUGUGGGAAUCGAGACAAUAAGCCGUGUGUCAUCAUUACGAUCUAUCAACUAGAUCGCUCGGUGGUAUAACAUGACAGUUUAUCUUCAAUCUAAGUACAUGCGAAGGUAGCCUGUUGAGAGUCAACGAGUUGAGGACCUAAAGAGCGCAAUACUCGUCCUUCGCACCAUCAAAGUUGUGGUAGAUUACCUCUUCACCCGAGAGUGCUUUAUCAUGCAUAUAUUUAUCAUUUCAGCUGCCAUGCUUCUCUAGCACAUGUAUAUGAUUGUCAUGCUUCUCUAGCACACGUAUAUGAUGUCAUUUCAUAUGAUUUUUUCAUAUUCAACAAGCAAAAAUACAGUAAGAUAACUUCGGCCAACCAAGAAAACAAGUUAACAUAUAUCUCUCAAAUGUGCAAUUUCCUCCCAUCAACGAUUCUAUAUACUUGAAAGAAAGUGUAAAUGCCCUAUAAUAUGAAACUUUCAGCAAUAUAAUUUUUUUUGCCACAGUGUGUUUUAUGGGUAUACACAUGAAAUCUUGAUAUCCUCUUCAUGUUGAGCGGUGUGUUUGGUGCAUAAAUUUGAAUGCCUGUUGUCGCUUGCAUAUUUGUGUGCUUGCUUAAUUUUCACCCCAAUGUCAAGAGAAGAAUCUUGCACAAUGCAUAUUUUAGUUUAUUUUUCUUCCUGGUCUAUGUUUUUUGUUGAUAUGUGUGUGUGCUUUAUACUAACAAAUUUUAUUUAAACAUCAGACCCAUGUUCUGGAUGGUAGUAGUAUGUAUAAAAAAACCUUGGACAUUUUGUUGAUUCUUAUAAUUUUCAAUACUACCUAACUUGUAUGUGAUGCAUAAUGAUUGACAUGUAAACUUGGAUUGCUUUCUGAAUUUGUAACUUCAAGAGAAACAUGGGUGGUAAUAUAAAUCUACUAUCGAGGUUGCGUUAUUUAGACUUGUUUGUGCAACUUUGCAGGUUCUGAGAUAAACCUGAACACCUGAACUACACACGGUGUCAAAGUUAUGGAAGAACGCUUAGAAGAUAAGCCAAUUGUCAUAUGCAACUGGUGGUUUGUACUCGAGGAGCUUAGUUCUCAAGGAAACAAGUAAGUACAUUGUUUGUUGCUUUUCACUUUUCUUACUACUUUGAUUGUUGUUGUGCUCUUAGUUAUCUGAAGUAUAUCUCAUGUUUGCAUUGGUAUAAAUUAGAUCAUAGCUAAUGAUAUUCCAAAAAGAAGAAGAACGAUAUAUAAGCAAUCAAAAAAACUGGCUACCAAUUGGUUGGUUGUGAACUUCCUUUGUUAGCCUCACAAAACUUGUCAAUGUUUUGGCAAUUUUUUUAUCUUUCCAAAUGUUGAACAACCAAUUUUGGCUCCUUACCAAUUAUGCUUGAAAGCAUGAUGCUGCUGAAGGCGGUGUUGGGGGGCAUCGACUGGGGUGAGGGAAACGUGAGCUGCUUUGGGUAGUGUGAGGUGAGUUGGGGCAGAAUGUGGCGUCACCGAGGCGAGGGAAGGAAAGGCAUGGUCUGAAGGUGGCUUUGGGCGGCGACAGGGUAGGGGUGGUUGGUUUUGAUGUUAGGACUCAGUGACAUUUUAUCCGCGAGAAGCCUAAGUGACAAUGAUCUUAUCUGCGAGGACCAUGUUUUUUAUUUUUUGUAUCUCCAACUUGAGUUGUGAGGGGGGAAUGAAAAGAAAACCAACGCUAACAAAAUGGAUGAGUGUUAGCAUCCCAUGCCUAGGUCCCAACGUAUGUCCCAGCUUCGGGCAUUUCUGAUGCACAUUUGACAAACCACUAUAAGCGGAGGGUCCAUCACAUCUCAUAAGACUAUCCUGUAGGGAGUGUGACACUCUCUCUUGUAAGGUGGUACGAGCCCCAUGGGUCAUUCGAACGUUUCCGGUGUCCAUCAGACACACCCUUGUAAGCGAAGAGCUCAUCACAUCCCAAAAGAGUAUUCUAAAGAAAGUGUGGCACUCUCACUUAUAAGGUUGUGACGGCCUACCACGUAACGAGGUGCAACUAAAGUACUAACAACGCCCAAUGUCACUAACAUAAAAAUCGAGGAGUACAGAUACAUAGGAGAGACCGGCCUUCCACUUUUUUUAUUUUAGUUCUUAUUUUAUACUCCCUCCGUCCAAAAAAGGAUGUAUCUAGAACUAAAAUACAUCUAGAUACAUUUAUUCUUAUGACAAGUAUAUUCGGACGGACGGAGUAGUAUCUAGUAAAGGAUCUGUUUUUUUCUUUUUCCACAGAGUGGGAGGACAGACGCAAUGGAUAAUAACGACUUCCUGAUAUUAGGCCAAUUUCAACGGGCUACGACAUUUGGUUCGUCAAUAUCCGUUUGGAUCGAAACAAACAGAAUAGCGGCCCAAUGAUGACCCAAACAGAUGGGCGUCUAUUUUUCGUUCGCCCGCGACCCAUUUUCAGCCCAAAUUUUGGUAGGGUCCGCGACGAUGCCCGUCCUUGUCCCCCUGGCCCACUCGCCGGUGGCAUGUAGGAAAUUCUCUCUCCCCCUUUCACAACCGACACCAUCUGCCCUCGCUGCCGCCACCCACUUCCGGUCGCUUGGACGCUGCCGCCACCCAGGCCUGGGCAUAAAAACCGAUGAACCAAAGACCGAACCGAUGCCGAAACCGAAAAAACCGAAUUUUCGGUUUUUCAUGCUGUUAUAGGAAAAUUCGGUUUUGAACUUUACUAACCGAAUUGUAUUCAGCCGGUUCGGUUUUAUAUCGGACACCGAAACAUAAACCGAACUUGCUAUGGAAAUUGCCGCAUGUGUGCAUGCGAGACGUGCUGGGCGCCUCGGCUGGUCACAUAACACAGGUAAUUAGGCCCACUUUUUUGCAUGACAGAUUGUGCCAGGCUGGCCUCGACGUAUCGCCUCUGCUGAAGCCCGCUCGCUCAUUCAUUCCGCAUGCAUUUGGAUUUGUCCCACCUCGCCUAGCUACACGAGAUGAGGCAGUGAGUUCGUCUACUUAAGAAGGCUUGCUGCCAGAGGAAAAAUACAUGCUCGAAACGUGGUGAGAACAAUUGAUGUUUCUCUUCGGUAUAAACUGAAACCGAACCGAAUUUUUCGGUUAACCGAGUUUUUGGUUUUCAAUCUUUUUGUGCUCUUUUCGGUCAGCAAUAUUAGAAAACGAUUUUCAAAAAAGACCGAACAGUAGAAACCGAACUUUCGGUUUCUACCGAACGCCCAGGCCUACCGCCACCCACUUCUGGUCGCUUGGACGAUGCCCAUUCCUCCUCCCGCAUGUACCCAUUCCCCCCACCUCAAUGCCGCAUCCGAAGGCACAUUCUUGCCGACAUUUGUGGCCUCUUCUCUCCACUUUUGGUUCAAGGGCAGCUACAGUUGCCAGCACCGACCUCCACUGCACUUCCACCAGCCUCGUGCUCCAGCGCCGCUCACCGCACUCGCCUCUACUUUCACAUGCCUCCUGCAUGUACGGGGAGGGCGUGGAGCUCUUCACUGGUUGCUACCACAUAACGCCCACAAGGUGUUCGUUGCUUUGCCCGCAAGGUACAAUGGAUAGUGGGGAUGAAUUCUUUUUCAACAACUUCAUUUGUGAUUCGGACGAUUCUUCGUCCGUCGGUGAGGAUUUUGUUGUUGCUACUUUGUUCAUCAAUGAGCACAUUGCUAGGCAGCGGCCGAGGUUCAGAGGAUCCAUUUUGGGCCAUGCUCCAGCGUUGAAUCGGAAAAGAGAAAGCGACCAUUGCCUACUCUUCACCGUCUACUUUGAGUGCAUGUUCACACUCUUCAACCCCAAGCUUUUUUGGCACUGCUCCAGGAUGGCAAGACAUGGGUUCAACCAUAUUCGUGAGGGAGUGAUGGCGUAUGAUGCAAAGAGGAUGCCCUUGGAAAGGUUGAUGUCUCCUUUUAUCACAAAUGCAAUGUGGCUAUUCGGAUGCUUGCAUACGUAAUUCACGGGUUAUCAUGUUUAUGAGUAUGUCUGCAUGAGUGAGUCCUCAUGAAUUGCAUCAUUGUAGAAGUUCCACAAGGUUGUGGUAGCAGUAUUUGGUCUGGAGUACUUAAGAGAUUCAAAUGCCACAGAUACAACCCAUUUAUUGACGAUCAAUGCGAGAGAGGCUUUCCCGGGAAGCUUGGUACCAUAGAUUGUAUGUACUGUAAGUGGAAGAACCGUCCAUUUGCUUGACAUGGGCAAUAUAAGGGGCACAUGAAAGCUUGCACUGUCAUACUUGAAGCAAUCACUUCAAAAGAUAUCUGAAUUUGACAAUCUUAUUUCGUAUGGUUUGUUCUGACAAUGACAUAAACGUGCAUCAACGGUCUCCCUGCAAUCCUCGACCUCCUUGGGGCAGGAAAACCACCCAUGUCAAACGAAGCCUUACUGACGUAGAAGAUGUUUACCAGAGCUAAUGAUUCACCGAGGUGUAUCCUGGUUCCCGGUCUUAUCUCUCGAGCUAAUGAUUCACCGAGCACAUCCUGAUCACACCUUAUUCUGAGCACAUCCUGAUCACACACUUGACCCACUUCAUCGCGACCACACCUCACCGUCGGCCCAGGCCCAAGCAAGAAAACCUUUGAUAAUUGUUGACUGAUACGCGGCGGAGGAUAGCAGCAGGUAGCGGCAUGUCCAUAUCGUCAUCCAUCUCUCGACCGUAAUCCCACGUCCCCCAACGCCACGCAUUCAAACCCUUCAAUUUCCGGCCCCAUCCUCCCGCGUGUGGACCAGGAUCCGUGCCGCGCGAACCGUUGGCCACGAUGGAGCGUCGCGUUAUCGGGAGCCUAUCCGGUGUCCCGCCGGGGGGAUGAGGGCGCCCAUCGCCAGUGGCCGGGAUCCACCGGCCUCGCCGAGCCGCACGCCGCCGCGCGCAACCCGUCCUUGGCUAGCUUGGUCCUCCGCGCGCAGCCGCUCCCGGCACUAUUUCUUGCGCGCGUAUAUAUAAGGAGGGCGCCAGGCACCGCCCAUCUGCAGACAAUGUCGACCGCCGCGGCUAACUGGUGCUACGCAACCGUCGCGCCCCGUGCCCGCUCCUCCACCAUCGCCGCCAGCCUCGGCACCCCCGCGCCCUCCUCCUCCGCCUCCUUCCGCCCCAAGCUCAUCAGGACCACCCCCGUCCAGGCCGCGCCCGUCGCACCUGCAUUGGUACGUACUGCACCUGCACCUGCACCUGCACUACACUACGCACGCCUUGGCAACUGCAUGCACCAUGCAUAGCUAGCAUAUCCGUCCUCUAUCCGGCCCUUCUUAAGCUUUGGCUAUAAGUUUGGCAUCAUGGCAUGUGCCUUUGCUGUUUUGGGAACGGCAUGGGCCAUGGGUCCCUUUGAUCCACGCCACAUGCCUAGAUCUUCUUCCCAGAAUAUGGGAGGAUGCCAGCCACAAUGCCUUGCGAUGGCUGAACCAAAUGCACCUCAUUUUCGCGCUCAAAGAACCAAAACGCAUUACUGCACAGCUGAGUUGACCAGCUUGAUCUGCACAUGGGGCUUGCAUGUUGCCCAUGAUCUCCUAUACUUUGCAAAAGCAAUCAUUGAAUAGUAUAUGGAUCCAACUUCCAACAGACAAAGGCAUUGUUUUCUUUAGUCCUCCCUGCAUCCACCAUCAACAUGAGUGUCAACAAACCGCAUAGAAUACGCGGGAAGAACGGUUUUCCAAAGAGGUGCCCAGCGAUAAUGUUAAUUAAACACAAUAAUGUGCUCUGGAUUGAAAAUAACUUCACAAAGUCUCAAGUGUACAGGAGAAAGUUUAUACUAGUGCAUAAAUAUGUUGCUGCUUUUCCUUAAAGCGAUAAGGUGGAGUCUAUCGGGCAUUAUUGCUAAGACUGAACGACGCCAAUUAAGCUAGGUCUACUCUAUGUUCCUACUCUCCUGGUUCUUCGAGAAUGAUGUCCAUCCUUUUGGCUUGAUGUUGGGUAGUUUGACUUUGAUUCGAAAUACUAACGACUAGGUCAUCCAAUGCGUCAGCUUCCUAUUUUCCUCUUUUUGGAGUUUUCAAACACCACCUAUGCAAGUUAUUACACUCGAAGGUUAUAACAAAUCCUCAUUUAGAUUACUAAUGUCUCAAGAAAACAAAGAGUAAUGUGCAGAAACACCAAACUUUUACGUAGGAGAUUGUACAUAAAAACUUGUAAACCAUAGGUAGAGGACGCCUGGUCUUUUAAUUUGUUGGCAUCAACGCCACAACGCUACACGUAGUGAUGUGAUGCAGAGCUUGAAGCUGAUUGCAACCCUCAACCAUGUGUGGUAGCAGCUCCUCCAGCCGAGAUGCCAUCAACAAAGAAAGAAUCCUACACAUAUGUCGUCCCAAUGUAUUAAUCUUACAUUCUAAAGAACAUGCUGAAGUAUUAUUUGGCAUAAUACAUCAUGCAUGUCAAAAAAAGAGCAGAAACGCCGUCAUAGCAAGCAUUUACAGUCUGUCUUCAAAAAAAAAGAGCAAGCCGUUGCCGUUCGGUCGUCAAUUCAGGAGAUUCGGGAGCAAAUGCCUGCCCCUGGUCGUCGAUUGAGGAGUAGGGAGGGAGGGAGGGAGCGGUACGUUGCAUAGGUUCCUUCCAAUAAUUCAGGAGGCGUUGGUCUCGGCAGUUGGUACGGGAUAGAGGCGUCAUUUCCGCUCCGCCUUCCUCGUCUAUGAAAAGGAAGAUGCUACGUCCCCGUGAAGAGGUGGCCCUUCCUCCGGCCCCAGGAUCUGGAUUUAGACGUUCGUUGGGAGUAGAGGGGCCAAUUGUCCUUGUAUCUGGGAGCUGGUGAUUACCCCAGCCCCCACCUUCACCCCAUGCACCUGGGCAAACGCUUCUGGGGAUCUGACUAGUACUACUACUAGUACUAGGCAGCACACAGUUGAAUGGCUGGCUGGCUGGCUGGCAGAAACGAGUAGAGUAGUACUGGUAUCCUGAUAUGCUUUGACUUGUGAACUUUGUCGGUUCCUAGACCUAGUGGCAAUUGCAUCAUGCAGCAGUUCCUUUGUUCGUAAGCUUUCUCUCGACCCAUCUUAUAUAUAUUUGAUUCCAUAAAUAAUAACAUUAGAAAGUAGUAGUAGUAGUAGUACAAAAGGAAAGGAUAAACAUAAGCAGGUCCGGCCACCUUCAAUUCACGGGUUUAAUGAUCUGACCAAAACAUGCUAGUACUAGAAAAAGAGAAAAGAGGACCAUAGUGACCGGCCAUUUGGCCACAGAGCCAGCCCCUCCUUUGCUGCUAACUUCUUUCGUUGCCUUCUUCUUUCCACUCACCGCGUUCCACGUGCCAUGUUUGCCAGUAAUCCGUCCGUCCAUCCAUCCGGGGAGAGAAGAGAGAAGAGAGAAGAGAGGAGAGAAAACAAAAGAGUAGAGUCGCGAUAGUUGAAGAUGAGCGGCUGCCUGUGCCUCCCCUGCUGCUAUAAGAAGUCCCCCGCCCCCGCCCCCGCUGGGGAGAACAACAAACCAGCAGCGGCAGCGGCAGCGGCAGCGGCAGCGAUAGAUUCUUCCUCCUCGUCACUCAUCCAGAAGCCUACCUACCAUCCACCACCUCCUCCACCCUCCAACAAGGUCCGUCUCCCUCCUCCCCCCUCUCCCCCACACACCACCCACAAACUGCUCCAUCCAUCCAUCAAUCUCUUCUUUUUUCCGUUUCCUUUUCUCCGCCCGCCCCCCUUUCGAUUCAGUUCACAGCUUGCCCUUUCAGCUUUUCUUCUUCUUCUUCUUCUUUUUUGUUGUAAAGCAUUUGUUAUCCUCUUGCAUCGCCUUUGAAUCGCCUUUGUUCGUUUGCGCACGCCCUCCCUCUCCCUCUCCGUGGGCACAGCUCUCUCCCUCGAAAUUCGCAUGAUGCAUGUCAAUGGGUUAAUUUGACGGCAACUGAUUCGGUGCUGAUCCUUCCCUCCCCUUUUGCAGAUGGACGCCGCCGUGGAGCGCCUCAAGACCGGGUUCGAGAAGUUCAAGACCGAGGUCUACGAGUAAGCAGUUACCCCCAAUCCUGUCCUGCUGCGUCAAACCGAUGAUGUUUUCGUUCGAUUUAAGUCUUGUGUUUUAACUGACGAUUCUCUCUCCGUUUCCUCUUCCCCUGACAGCAAGAAGCCCGAUUUCUUCGAGCCGCUCAAGGCCGGCCAGGCGCCCAAGGUAUGUACCCCCCAUCAUUCCUUCUGCCAUAAAAUGUUGCCCUACUCUACUCUAGUUGCUCUGUAGAUUUGGGGAUCGACUCAUCAGGCGCUCACUAGUAUUACUUCUUCUGGUAGCCAUGGCGCAGCAGCGGAAGAAAAGAAAGCCCCUCUGUUCGUUCACAUUAUCCUGGGCAUAACCCGGAAUACACUCUGUGCUGUGGCCUGUGGGUGCCCAUAGCAUUUCCUCCUGCUGCGGUCAAAGCAGAUGAAAGAAAACUGCCGCUUGUCCUGAUGUCAUGGCCUGGCCGUAAGAGGGGACAGCUUGUCGCCAUUGCCGGCCAGUUGAUACUCUACUACUAGUACUAGGUUAUGUGUUAACACAACCACUACUGUACUACCGUAGCAGAGACGGGGCAGGGGGCAAUCUCAGGCUGAAACCAGUACGCUUGUGGAUCUCCCUCCGAAUAAACCCCCCACCUGUCGUGCACAUCCAGGAAAUCGGAUCGCGCUGCGGUAACGACUCCCAUGUGCCGUGCGAUGCCAUGAUAUGAUUUGGCUUAUUGAGAUGUCACCGUCCCUAUCACUCGCUUUGUGGUCUUGUGGUAUUAGAAUAUGGUUCUUUUUUUGCCCUUUUAUUCUCGUGUAGGAGGGGCAGCAGCACCUAGGAUAACUUGACGUCCGGAAUCUUGCAAGUACAAGUACGACUAAGUAUCAUUUUUUUCCCCAUCUCUCAGCUGAGAUUAUCGAUUGGCGUGCUUGCUAAUGCAAUGGUAGUAGUAUUAGAGGUCGUUGAGGUUCUUUUGGCCCUGUUGAAUUUCGAUCCCAGCCGUCUGCUUGCUAUCAUCCUCUUUUUUUUCUUCUCUUUGGAAAUGAAAAUAGCCGUCAGCCCGCACUAUCGGAGUUGAACAUGUAGUAGUACAUCUUUUGAUGAUGCCCAUUUAUAUGGAAGCUUCAUCAUCUUGGCAUGGCACCGGCCGCGUCAGACCCCACACACACAAAGAACCGUGAACAGCAAGCCUUGUUCCUUGGGAUAUUAUUGAAAGCAGAGAAGAAAUACCUCUACCUGAACAGGGCAUAGCUAGCUGUAGCCAGCAUCUUAUGGCCAUGGCGCUGCCGGUCUGCGUAGCUACGAGUACAUGAUUAGGCAGGCCCUACCGAUACCAGGAGCUAUCAACGGGUGGAGCACCCAUCACAAAUUAAUGUGUUUGGACAGAGUCUUGCGUAUACAUAUGUUUGGCGGUACUCUUUUUGAGAUUGGCAUAUGCUUACCUUAAUCUGGCUGGUAUACUUGAGAGAUCGGUUUAGGCCCGAGGCUACUUUACAGGGAGACAGUAAUCCUGCAGCUGACCAUCCAUCCAUGCCACAGCCCAUGGGACGGUAGUGCUGGUGCUGCUACUGCAAGGAAGAAAAGAUCUUUACAGUACGUACUUCCGGCGUGUCGCCAUCGGAGGAGAAAGUUGCGCAGCGUGUGUGGGCCUGUCUUCAUUUGUUGCAGAAACCGCCGGUGGUCCUGUCUUGAUAACUCGCAAAAAAUGCAUGGCCCGUAAUCGAGCCUGUCGUCGGGUCUACUGUCACGCGUCAUAAUCAAGUGCUUAUUUCGGUAAUUUGGUUUUGGUUUGGAGGAGAAGCCUGUGCCAGUAGGCUAUCCAUGGUCCCGUGCCACGGAACCUUCGCGCUACUCCUACUUGCUUUGCUCGCCUUUCUGUCCCCUGUACCGUACGUCUCCGGUUCCUUCCGGCCAACACAUAGUAAUCUCUUUCCCUAGCCCCUCUGCACUGCAUCUGCAUGCUACUACUAUGUUCUCUCUCUCUCUCUCUCUCCUUGGAUAAAAAAGUGCAGUGGAGACAGGUCAAAAGUGGCAGCCUUUAGCUGCAAAGCUGUGUGUGUCAGAAGGAAACGCCUACACCGCCUAUCGCGGUUAUCAGCACAGCUGCUUAUUUGUUUAUGCGCUGAACAACGCAUCUGCUUAUCACUAACCACUGUGAAAUGCUCUAAACUAAAAAGGUGGAUUACGGCUACACGAGUGCUUGCUUAGUGUACGUAGUGGAGCAUCUUUUCUUUCUUGGUUGAUGAUUGAUUGACUGACUGAAUUGGUGUGAUUGGGUGUGCAUGCAGUACAUGGUGUUCGCGUGCGCCGACUCGCGUGUGUGCCCGUCGGUCACCCUGGGCCUUGAGCCCGGUGAGGCCUUCACCAUCCGCAACAUCGCCAACAUGGUCCCGGCCUACUGCAAGGUCCCGUCCCGUUUCCCUCUUCCUCGCUCCCUUUUUCAUCGCCGAGCCGCAUUAUUGACGUUUUUUUUUCUUUUCCCGCGCUCUUGUCAACUAUACAGAACAAGUACGCCGGUGUUGGAUCGGCCAUCGAAUACGCCGUCUGCGCGCUCAAGGUCAACUCCCUCACCCUCUCUCUUUCUUUCUUUCUUUCUCUAGUGCUGUCACUCUAAAAUAGGAGUGCAUUAUUGCACUAGUGGGCUUUGCUGUCAUCUCAUCGUCACAAAGUUCCUUCCAAUUACUACUGCUCUAGUAAGAAGAACAACUGAACAUGGGCACUGGCUGUUUUUUAGAGCAUGCCCUGAUUUGGUACCACACAUGGCUGCAGGUUGAGGUCAUCGUGGUGAUUGGCCACAGCCGCUGCGGUGGAAUCAAGGCUCUGCUCUCGCUCAAGGAUGGCGCAGACGACUCCUUGUAAGUAGAGUAAAACGGCUCAAAUCGUAUUCCCACUACGCUACCGUCUCUCUGAUCAGUUUGUGAUCGUCUUAUUUGAUUGGUCAGCCACUUCGUUGAGGACUGGGUCAGGAUCGGGUUCCCGGCCAAGAAGAAGGUGCAGACUGAGUGCGCCUCCAUGCCUUUCGAUGACCAGUGCACCGUCCUGGAGAAGGUUCGCACCGUCGGCCAUCUGCCAUUUCAUACUUUGCUCGUAUAGUAUUAGCAACUGCUCCUACUAUAGUAGUAUGCUCCACAGUUCUGCAUGUGGAUUGUCUAACUGACGAUUGGUACGCUGACAAAGAGAUAUUUCUGAAUCUUUCCCACAGGAGGCCGUCAACGUGUCCCUCCAGAACCUCUUGACCUACCCGUUCGUCAAGGAGGGUGUGACCAACGGAACCCUCAAGCUCGUCGGCGGCCACUACGACUUCGUCUCCGGCAAGUUCGAAACAUGGGAGCAGUAAAUCUUCCCCACCGGUUAACUCCGACAUAUACAAACGUACAUAUAUCAAGAUAUCGUCCGAUCGAUGUGAAUGCAAUGCCAUGGGAGUGCGUACCCGUUAUUGUCCAGUACUGGAUGCCGGAUGGCCCGAUGUGAAUUUGCCAUAAGCAAUAGAACCUUUUUUUCUUCACCAUUUUCUGACGAGGAAUUGUACUGCUAUGUGAUGCAUAAUUUGAUCGUCUUGUGAUCGAAAGACAUCAUAUAUAAGUUUAAUAUAAUAUUUUCAUGAACCGUUUACCUUUUUAUUACCCUUUCUAUCAGCUGUCUUCAAAGUUUUAAAUAGCCCGCUAUAGUCCAGCUAUAGCGGGGCUAUAACUGUUUGAACAGAUGCCGCUAUGUGGCAUAGCCCGUUAAACUUGCGAAAUAGCGGGCUAUAGCCUCGCUAUAGCUGAUUUGGAAGGCCGUCGCUAUUUGGCAUAGCCUGCUAUUUAAAACAUUAAUUUGAGGUUUGUCUUACACUGCUUACCUGUUUGCCCAACCCAAAAAAGAGUGUAUAGCUAAAAGGAACCGAAAUUGACUAAAAGAUUUGAGGUCUUGUAAUAGGAAAAAUUUAACAUACUCCCUCUUAUUCCUUUUUUUACCUGCGAGAUAAUAAUCAGACCAUUAAUUAACGAAAUUCAUGGUUCAAAUCUAUUAUAUACUGUUAAUUUUUACGUGAAAACAGGAGGUAAGAGGAAGCAUGCUAAAACUGCUCAUACGCCUUCCAGAAGCAUGAGAAAGGUUUCUUAUGGAACAUGUCAUCUUCGGGAAGGUUUCUUAUGGAACACCCCAUCUUAUGGAACACCUCUUAUUUCCUUUCAAGUACUGUCUGCGCCACCAGCCGUGGAGAAUGCCUCGAGGUUACCCAAGGCGCAUGGGCUCUAUUGAGAUGGUCAUCAACAAUGGCUCCCGAAGAUUCGCCUGCUCUGCACGCAGCUAGAGGGGUGUACCUUGACGAUACCCACUAUGUACGAGGAAGGAAGCAACUGAAUAUAUGUGGUACAAUACGCUGUUCCGGGAGCCAUCAUGGCUGCGUAUGCCACAAGAGACCAUGUCGCCCCGGUACGAGCUAAGCUAGUCUAUUAUAUGUUAUAUUCAACCAAUGAUGAUCCACACAAGGGCCCUCAAGAAGAUGUACAAAUAGGGGAGGUCGUGGCCUCGCAAGACGUGAGGUUCAUCCAGAACAAAAGACACGCAUUGUAGCCAACUACCAGUGAAAUAAUAAAACAGAAUAGGAGUAGAGUAUUACCCCAACACGAUGGUCUGAACCUGGGUUCUCCCACGUGUUCUACUCCUCUUUCUCCUCUUUCCGAUCGUCCAUGACUUAGGACGCUAGACGCGUUCAGUCACUCGACGAACUCUCAAAGGGUUUUAGCAGACAACCCAAUGUCGGGUUCUUACACAUCGGCAUUUGACGCGCCAGGUAAGGGACUCAGGCGUAUCCGUCCCCCUUGGUCCGCAGUAACUUUGACGUUGGAUUUCUUCACUCUGUGUCACGGUCAUGGUGACGGCGUCGUGGAUGUCUCAAACAUCUCAUGACCCAAAAAACGAUCGGGGCACAGACUUCACAGCGUGCCACCGAGACCAUGCUGCUCUGAUGGGCAAGCAACCGGCGACGCCAUUUCCACCCUGGCAUUCUCGCGGGGUGGGGAUGGCGCCUUGCGCCAGGACUGUAUUUUCAAUGUGAAAAGCGGCGGCCAUGGCGGUGUCGGCUAUGGGCCUCUUUCCGAAAAACCGCAUGGAUCCCCAUGCGGCGGUCGAGAAUCCUUUAGAGAUAGCGGUCUGGCCUGCACCGGGGGGGGGGGGGUGGGUUUUUCUUCGAGCCACGGUGGUGCUAUCGGCCCCAUGAUCGUACUAAAGCCUAAUGGCAAGGUGCAAGUGUGCGUGUGUUUUCUGAGCAGCGACGAGAAGAACGGGACAUGACGACCUUCGCUACAUAGUUUGGGAGAUACUGCACCCCGUGUUGGCCGUUUGGGAUGAGUAAUGCAGGAGUUACUUGAAAUAAACUCGCAUGCAUCACCCUCGGCUCUCGAGCAAGCGGGGGAGGCGCAAGCGCAUGACACUCACAUCCGGUCCUCCCCAAAGGACCACUCAGGCUGCUCCGGGGCGGUCAACGUGUGGCCCCUGGUGAAGCAGCCCGCUUUGUGUGUUUCUGAAAGUUAGCACGAGAGCUUAUAAUAUUCCAUUGUAGAAGAAGAAGCCAAUGGCUAAAACUGCUUGGUUUGUUAAAGAAAAAUUGGACGAAAACCUGUACAAAGGACACACCACACCUAGCUAAACUAGGUCUAAGAGCAUCUCUAGUAGAACCCUCAAACCCUUAAAUCUAAAACCAGUUUUAAGGAUUGAGAAUUGACCAUUUUUGAUACUUUUAAGGGUUGAAAAACAGGGGCAAAGACUAGAACCCUCAAACCCAACCCUUAUAAUCGAAUAUUCCGUUAUAAGGGUUGGAUAAGGGUUGGGUUUGAGGGUUCUAGUCUUUAUAAGGGUUGGGUUUGAGGGUUCUAGUCUUUGCCCCAACCCCAACCCUUAAAACUGUCAUUUCAUAUAUCACACAUUUCAUCACAUUUCAUCAUAUGACAUAUCACAAAUUCAAUCACAUUUGACAUAAAACAAUAAUCAUUCUAGUUAUUAUUACAACACCGAAUAAAACAAUAAUCAUUCAAAUCAUUACAACAAUGUUUGAGCAAACUACAACAAUUGUUCGAAUCAAAUAGGACAUAGAUAAGUAAAACAAAGAUACAUCAUGCGCCAAUGCGCCGCCCAUCCAAAUGCCAGUGGUGCUCUACUAGAUCAUCCCGGAACCGACCAUGAGCGGUUCCAUCCUCAAUCUCACGAUGUGCUUCAAGAAAAGCUUGUAUGCGAGAAGGGUUUCUUUACGGUUGCACACGGGUACCAACAUUGUCAUAGAAACAAGGGAGAUUUAACCCUCUCUCAUCCUCUAGGAUCAUGUUGUGUAGAAUCACACAACAUUUCAUGAUGUUCAUCAAGGUUUUUUUGUCCCAAAACCGAGAUGGAUCCCGAACUAUGGCAAACCUUGCACGUCGACGAGGAAGCUCAUCAUCUCGACGUCGUCGUCUUGCAACAACUCGUCAAUGUCCGAAUCGUCAGAUGACGACCAAUCCGACGAAUCUGACAACGAGUCCAUCUACAUACCAAGUGGCUACAAUUAGUGCGAAUGAAGCAAAAAUUAAAAACUUAAAAUGUAAAAAAACCUCACCGGGGCAGGGUGGGGACGGCCGGCCGAGGCGGGGCGCGGGCGGGCGGCGUCCGGGGCGGGNAGGGCGGCAGGGCAAGGAAGGCGGCGGUCGGGGCGCGGAGGGGCGGCGAGGCGACGACCGGGGAGCGGAGGGAGCGCGGGGCGGCGGCCGGAGCACAGGGGUAGGCGGGGUGGCGGCGGCCGAGGCGACUCCCUCGCGCGCGGGGGAACCAACUGCCUCCCGCGCGAGGUGGGAAGUGGAGUGCCGGUUGGGGGCAGUUUUCCCUCCCAACCCUCACUUCUAGAGGCUGGGAAGGGGUUUGAGGGUUGGACCUCUAAUUUUUUUACGGGUUUAAGUGUUCUAGUCUACGCCGUUUUUCCGAUGAAAACUGUAAAAAACGGUUAUUUUUAAGGGUUUGAGGGCUCUAUUAGAGAUGCUCUAAAGCACUACAUAGCAUACAAAAGCGCCAAGAAACCAAAUAAACAACAGGAACAUAAGCAAUACAAGCAGUGUCAUCGUACAUCACCAACCGCGCUCACGGCCAGACCACUUCGACUUCGCUGUAACAUCACACAAAUGCACCAAGCUGUCGCAUCGAUCAAGGCAGCCACAAGCAUGUUCAACAACUUCGUCGACACCGAAGAGAAGACAUAUCAGUAGAGGAGCAGACAUGUGCUGCUCUGGUAUCAAGAGGACAACCAACAUGAAUUGUUUGGCGUUGAUUGCAUGCCAAGAGUGCUCCAAUGACCAUACACUGUCUGCCAACAGUCAGCCCCCAAUGGACGCGCCGCCACGGACCCUAUCGCCACCCUGCCACCGCCAACUCCAAACUGGGCACUUUACCACAGAGCAUGUGCUCCCAUCUAAGAGGUCAAAUCUCCAUAGAGAUGCUUUCAACAAAGAAACGACGUGAAAGACGCCGUCAUCGCCGAUCCAACAAUGCAGGUCUAUAUUUUCACCCGGAGACCGAACUCGAAGAUGAGAGAGGUGCAAAGUCUCCUUGAUGAGGCCUUCAACAAGGAAACAACAACAACACCCAAAGGUGUUGUCAUCACCGGCCAAGAGUAGGACUUUCGUCCAAAGAAAUGGCAUACCUACGUCGUGGACAACUCCUGGACGCACCCACUAGCUGAUCUCGAGAUGCCCCUCCUCACGUCCAGGCCGGAGCACGACAAAGCAUCGACAUCCGCACCACGCGCCGCAUUCUGUACCACCUCUCGACAAGCCACGAGCCAGGAAAGGCCUAGAUCUGGCCGGCCCUGUCCGCAUCCGCCGCAACUCACCCACCGGAGGCGCGACACAUGAGCGUCGCCUCCAACCUCCACCAGCACGCGCCACCACCUGCGCGUCCUCCUCCG